AAUAUCGGGAUAUUAUCGAUAUCGAUAAAAAUUGUAUAAAAACCACGAAAAUUGUAAGAAAAACUUUGAAAUUUUUAUGAAAACUUUGGAGAAUGUUUAUUUAGUCAAUUAUCUAUAAGUUUAUCAAAAACAAUUAGAAGGAAAUGCAUUACAUGAUGGAUUUAACUGAUUUAAGUUGAUUGUACAACGAGCUGGCAAACACUGUGAGUGUAGAAAAUAUGUAAUAAUUAAUGAAAAAAAGAUUAAACACACCAUAAUCAUUUAUAUAUAAUGAUUUACUACAAUAUUUUACACUUUAUACAUUGCAUGGUAAGAUACAUGAGUGAUUUAGUACCACAUAAAGUUCCUAUGAGGUUCAAAAUUUUCACUAUCUUCAUCAUCUCUAUGUGUAGAGUAAGUUUAUUGUCAAGAGUAUUCAUCAAAUGAUAAAUCCCCAAAAUAGUUUUGCAUGUAAUUGUUAACAUGCCACUCAUAUAAAUAUAAAUAUUUUAGCAUAUUAUCACUAAAACAUAAGUGAUAUAUGGUGGUUACGAUGUUGGAGGAGUAAAAUGGGAGGGGUUCAAAUCCCUUUUGUUUGUGUUUUUUUUCCUCCCUUUUUCCCUUUUUUUUUUCUUUUUUUUCCUUCCUUUACAUCGAUAUUUUCGAUAUUUUAGCGAUAUUACACCGAUAUUUUGACAAAAUAUUACUGAAGUGUGAGCGAAAUUAUCGACAUCGAUAUUUUCCGAUAUUAUCGUUGAUAUUGUCGAUAUUUGUACGAUAUGUACAUAGAUAUGUUCCGAAAUAUCCGUGAUUCGAAAAAACCGAAAUAUCCUCGAUAUUUCGUCGAUAUUAUCGAUAUUUCAGACUAUGAAGAUACCAUAUCGUCCUACGUCAAUAAUGUGUCAUGUAAAACAGUUGUGUCUUUGUUUCUAUUGGAUUCUAUCUCAUUGUAUCACAUUUUGUUUUGUGAUAUUUGAGAAUCACCGUCAAUACCUUGGUGUAGGUCCGGGAUAAUUCUUUGUUCCACACUCUAGGGUUAUUUACAACUAUCCAAUUAAGAAUACUCAGAUGUACUAGCAAGUGCAUCAAAGAUGCAGUCAUCGAUUUGCCCGAGAGGCCACAAUUACCGCGAGCAAACAUAUUAAUGACGAGGACGGCAUUUUUGCUAUGUUACUAAUACUUGUACUUGCUCUGCUAUUCUGCCCCAUCCUAGCUGAGGAAUAAUUAUGGGGUGUAAAACAAAAAAAUAUGCUGAUUGGGGCCGGGCAUGCUAUACUUAAUUAACUCCCCAUUAACAAUAAAUAAUAAAUAAAUAAAUAAAAAGAAAAAGUAAGGCCAUUCCAUUAACAAAAGACCCACGCCCGAAUUCCAUAGCUUUGGGUCCGUUAUCCCGAUCAUGAUUUUCCUAACCCCAAAGGGAAAGGUCCUUCCCUUUUUGGCCAGUUGUGGGCGAGGAGGGAUUCGAACCCCUGACACCGUGGUUCGUAGCCACGUGCUAUAAUUCUCUGAGCUACAGGCCCCACCCUGUCUCCACUGGAUCUGUUCGCAGGAGUACCCUAAAAAAAGGGAGAGGAAAAAGACAUGGCUUCACAUUAUUAGUGCGGAAUGACACAAUCACUUUACGGGGGUUUUGACCACAUUCAAUUUACUCAAGUCGUUACAAACUUGAACGUAAUCAAGUUGAUUAGAGUAGUGUCUUCCUCCUUUUUGCACUCAAGUUCAAAACCCCCUCACAUGGUUCAGACUCUUGAGAUUUCAAAGAAUUUGCUCAAGGAUUUUGCUUAGUUGUAUGCAAGAAAUUCCUAAAAUAAAAUCAUGAUUUUAAAUCAGAAUUGUCCGGCGAAGUUCACCUACACACCCCUUUAUUUCAUCGUUUCGUAAAUACAUUCUAACAUGCUGUAACGAUUACACAUACAACACGUACGGCAGCUACCCGACAUAUACAAGACAAAACCUUGCAGGAUGGAUGUUACACCCAAUAUUCCGUAAUCUCUGCUAUCUAAUAACAUUUAGUUGCAAAAUCUAAAGAUGUCAUACACUGAUCAGAUUGUAAUGAUAGAACUGCCUACUGCAAAAAAUCUCUCGGGUCGGUGACGUAACCAGUCAAAGCUGACGCAGCAGCCGUAUAGGGGGAAGCGAGAUAUAUCUGGCCUUCCUUGUGACCCAUUCGGCCUGGGAAGUUCCUGUUUAUUGUUGAGACGCAUACCUGCAAAGACAAGAUGGUUAAAAAUCUACCAGUAUUUAUUUUCAAUACAAUUGAAAUUAAAACCAAGAUGUUCUCCUCGCAACAAGGUUAUCUGCAAAUGGGGUUAUGAAACCCCCAAAGGCAGGGAAGUCAGCCCUAAUUCUAUCAAAGACAACGAUAUAGUGAAAUGCAACAAUGCAUGAGGUCCAGCUGCCCCAAGACAUGAGAGCACAUUAGAUCCUUGUGGAUGUAUUGCAGAAAAGGAUGUACUUGGCUGAGGUUCAUUUAAGCGAGCAUACGUGUCUUUCGGACCACCCAGGCAAGCACCGCAACUGGGACUUGCAGGUGUGUCGCAUCCAGCUUCCUCAAAUAUCUGAGAGCAAGUCUUGCCACCAGACCCUGGUACUGGGAGACCAUACACGUCCAUCUAAACCUACAAAUUUAAAAAUAUUCAAAAAACAAGAUUUCAUGUGGAUCGUGUCUUUGAGAAUUUAGGCUGCUUAUAGAAUUCUUGAAUUAAGGGCAUUACUGAAGCAUUGACAUUUCCUGUUUAUAUUUUCUUUCCAUAUUCUUACAAAUUAAAGGUGGAUGAAUGGUCAACACUUAAGAGCACUUCCAUCUGAGUAGUUGACAAAGCUUAUUGAUGAGCAAUGGAAAAGCACAGGCGUCCUCACGGAAGCAGAGGGCUCAUUUAUUGAAGUAAGACUCAUUUAUUCCACAUUUUCAAUUUUCAGUUAAUUUUUUGUUUCUAAGUUCUUAAUUCUUCAAUAUUGCUGUAGAUGACACCUCUCUUUCAAACAAGAUUGUUUGUGGUUUACAAUCUUUUAGAAAAGGUCUGCUGUAUUUGGUUAUAGAGGUUCUUUUCUAUUUAUUUUUUAUUUCGUGGAUUGUAAACACUAGAAAGCUAAGCCUCUGACUACCCUGAGCCACGUUUUUAGAAGGUAAAAAGAGAGGGAUACUUUAUGUUCUAUUUCUUUUGUGUGUUCUUUUAAAAUUUAAGGUUGUGUGAAUAGCAUGUCAAUAAUCAUGCGGAAUCAGGAAGCAUUGCUCAUCUAAUUGUGGAAUUUAGAAUCUAAUCUUGAGGUUGUAAUUAUGACACUUAAAGUGAAACAAAUAUGGUCCAACAUUGAUCCAAAACAUGACUUGCUGGUUUACCACUUUUGUAAUUUGGAUAAUCUUGCGAAGAAUUUCUUUGAGAUUUUUAUAGUGGUUUCUUUUUUUGGUGGGUAAGAGAAUGGAAGAGUAUUUUCUGUGUUACCAACAGUUCAAAAUAGUAACUAAUACUCAUCCAUAUAUUCGCCAGUGAAAUACUUUCCAUUUUUAACUUAUCCUUGGGUAGGAAAUUUUGAUGAAUUUAUGCUUUUUUCCUCCACUUCUCAGUGUUUUCAGGCGAUUGGAGCUGAAUAUGGAGAAGGUUUUGAGAGUUUUGGACAUGUUGGACCUCUCAGGGUUCAUGUGGUGUAAUUUAUGGAGUUAUAUGUAUAGUAGUCAUUGUUUUUUAUGCUCUGUCGAAAUUCAUUUACUGAUUAUGCUAUAUGACUUACUACUGUUAAUUUUUACUGUGGGUAGGAUUUUUUGGAUGACAAACUGCAAUAAGAUUUUCUUAAACGAAUACGAUAUGUCGUGAAACUGGAUGAAGCUUAUGGUCUUAUAUUCUCUUUUGACAAUGUUGUGGUAAGUUUUUAUAACACUCAUUAGUUAUGUGUUUCAGGUUCAGAUGGCUAGAAAUGAAAAUGUAAUGAACUGUGAAACAUUGUAUUUAUGACAUCUUACUAAUCAAGAAAAAGAUUUAAACGUGCAAUUAUUAAAAGAGAUCUAAUUGUAUAACAGUUACUUUUUUCGGCAAGGGUUUUUGAUUUUUCCGACAACUCUAUUUUUUUUUUUUUUUUUUUGAGUUGCAUGUGAUAAUUUAUUUUCAAUGUGAUCCCGUAUCUGUUUAAUUAAUUAUAUUCUUAAAUCAUGUAGGAAGACUAGCAAGUAGCAAUGAUGCUGUUUUCUAAAUAGUUACUCUUCUUAUCGUAGACCAAACCAUUGAGAUAAUAACACUGCAUGUAACAUUCUUUCGAAGCAAUCCAUAUGUCGAUAUUGGUAAGUAUCGUUUCUCUAUUUGUCCCUUAUGAUAUAUUUGUUCACAAUGUGGUAUUUUGACCAACAUUUUGAUAUUAUAAAGGAAUUAGCUUCAUUUUUCACAACUUGAUAUUUCCAAUUUGGUGGAUGUACUUUAUUAAGACAUUUGAACACGGUUGACCAUCUAUGCACAAAUUCAAAUUAUAGUUUCUGUUUUGGGAUUUCUUUAGUCAUGUUAGAAGUUAAAUUGCAAAGACAGAUGAUCAACUGUAUUUAAUAUUUUGUUUGUUUUCUUUGGUUUAGGUUUGAACUAAAAGAAACUAAGAAAGGAAUGAUGCACAGUCACAGUGAUAUAGAACGCUUACAUUGCAGCUUCAGCUAUACAAUUUUUGCCACCCCAAGUGAUCGAUAGGUAUAUAACUUUCUGUUUACACCCUACCAAAGAGUGUUUUCUCCUAUUUUUCAUCCAGCUUUUAUCUAAUAUACAUUUGUCAUUUUUCGAUCUUUGUUAUACAUUUAAGGUAGUGAGACAAAACUAAUCAAAGAGGCAAACGCACAAAAGUGAAUGAGGUGCUAUAAAAUUGCUGAAAAAGGUAACCAUACUAUAUUCUUAUUUUCUUUAUGGUAUAAUUCCAUUGUCAUAUAAAUUCAUGUGUUACAAUAUUUUCUUUCCUUGCCUAGGGUGCUUUCUUAACAAUCAAUAGUACUGGAGAAAAACUUUGAGCGUUGCAGUAAACAACAUUUGUCGUAUUUUGUCAUUCUAGAAACUUCUACAAUUUUUGGUGUCUGUUGCAUAUAGAUUAAAUCUUUCAUAUGUAAAUAGUAUAAAUCUUUCAUGGCAUAGACUUUACAUCUUUGAAACAUAAUCUUUCUUACAAUUUUUAAUCCAAAAGCAACGCGCGGGUAGAGCUUUCUAGUAUAUAUCUAUACGUAUAAUACCACGUAUCCCUAGGUUCUUCGAAUUCAUGCUUUUUGUGUUGAUUAUUUUUCAGUUGUAUUGUUUUUCUGUUUGAUAGCUGAAAAACUGAUACAUUUGAAGCAAUGAAAAGAGAAAACCUAAUAUACAUGCAAUAGAUUAGCUAAUAUGCAUGUUUUUUUAACCAGCCGAGAGGAACUUUGGAUAUUUUACUCCAAAUAAUUGAAAGGGGAUUGAAUAAAUUUGAUGGGUUUUUAUUAUUUCUUAAAUAUAUGUGGUCUGUGAGAAUUCAAGAAUUGUUGUUUUUUUUAUUAGAAGUGUAUUUGGGUUUAGUUCUUAAUCUGUGUUCAGUUCUCCAUUGUCAUUGUUAGGUUAAUUAAGGAUCAAAAUUCUAGUUUUUGAUCACUAGUCCAUUUUUCCUUUCGCUAGAAAAAAAGAGGGCAGUUUCAAAGGUUUCGUGGACUGGAACUUUGCUCUAAAAUCUCUUAAUUAUAUAAUCCUUUAUGGUUGGGAAAAUCCUUGAAUUGAUGCCUUUCUUUAUUGUAUGAUUUCAACCAUAACGAGAUUUCUUCAACAUUAUAUUGUUGUGCUUUGGCCACUAUCUCACCAACUUAUAAACCCACAGUUGAACAAUUUAAAAUACAAGAAAUAAAGACACCAAGAGAAUUACGAGGUUCGGCAAAAACCUGCCUACGUCCUCCGAGAGAUAUUGCUCUUCACUAUGAGAAUAACUAGUACAAGAUACACUUGAGUUAAAUCGACAUAACCCAAACCCCAAUCCCUUGUACCCUCACAGAAUUUUACUAAGAGACUCACUCUCUCCAAGAGUUUCUCACUCUCACUCUAUAUUUUUCUACCACUUGUGUUCUCCUCUGGAUGUUCCCACACUUCUCUUCCCCUCUCACUCGGCAAGCCCUACUUAACAUGCAACCCCUUUCUUUCUUUACAUUAAAUUACAAAGAAAGCAAGCACACUUGCAUAAAGAAAACCAAAGUUUACGGGGUCAUGUUUCCAAAGUCCAAAAGCAAGCCUACUCUUGCUUUGUCCUUUGUAGCAACUUUAAAUGAUGACUACAAACACAAUCAUGAUUGUCUUCCACAAAACAUGCUCCUUGCUUUGACUUUUAAUCAAGCCCCAAAGCCACUCACGGGUUACCUUAUUGUUGCUAGCUCAAAAUAUGAGCCAAUCACAACAUAUAUAAUCCUUUAUGGUUGGGAAAAUUCUUGUUUCUCUUGCUUGAGGAAACUGAUUCUCUUUUUGUAUGUAUCAACUUUUGGAGAUUCUUUCCGACUGUUGUUGAUGUGGUGCAUUGAUUUUUGGUUUCUGCAAAUGAUCAUUCAUAGGUCAUUCGCAUUAUUCUAUUCAUUUGUUAAGAGUUUCGAUUGAAUAUUUUCCCCUAGUUUUGUUUGUUGUAUUGAAUUUGGUUAUUAUGAUUAGCAUUUUUUCAUGAAUUUGAUUAUUAUGAUUAAUUAGACUAGAGCUUACUAUAUUUGUUUGGUUAAUUAAGGUACUUUGUUGUUUUAUUAACGCAUUGCAUAUUAUAUGAUUCGGAUGGUUUUUGUUAAGUAUGUCUUGAAUUGAUUUUUUUGUUACUGCUACUGUUUCCAUCACUAGUAAUUAGAAAUGGGAGAUGAACAACAAGAAAUUGGAAAAGUGAAGGCCAAAAGUGAUUAUAGCGCUUGGACUUUGGAAGAGUGCAAAGUGUUGUUACAAUUGCUCGUUGAAGCUACAUUGCGUGGAUGGCGUGAUGCUAAUGGCUUGCUAACCAAAGAUAUUGUGACGACAAGAAUACUUCCGGCACUUAAUGAAAGACUAAAGUGUAAUAAAACUUAUAAGCAUUACACAAGUCGAAUGAGAUAUUUUAAGAAAGAAUAUGGAAAGUAUAGUCAACUUAUGGGAAGCAACUUUGGCUUUGGGUGGGAUGCCAACACAAAGAGAUUUGUUGCUGAUGAUGAAGUUUGGGAAGAAUACUUUUGGGUGAGCUUCUUGGCUUUUAUUUAAAAUAUUAUAUGUAACUUGAAUGUAUACUUAUAAUUUAUUGAACAAUUGUGAUUUUCUUGUUUAUUUUGUAGGCCCACCCAGACCAAAGAAGCAUUUGCAAAAAAUCUUGUGAUGACUUUGAAGAUUUGCAAAUCGUACUUGGAGAUGCAACUGCCACUGGAAAACACUCAUUGGGAUUGGGUGAGGAAACUGAUGCAAGAACUUUUGUAGUGGAAGAUAGACAAGGUGGAACAGAGGAAGAUGAACAAGUUGGAUAGAGAACUUGUUUUACGAUGAGGAAAAUGGGGGCUUUGUACUAAAUCAAAACCAAGCAUCACACCAAACUUCAUCAUUCGAUCAAUCAUCCCCAUUCUUACCCACUCAAGCCACUAGCUCAAAGAUUCCCUCAGAAAUCACCAACCGUAGGAAACGAAACAGAACCCAAUAGCAAGGGAAUACUAGAUCAUUUGAGACCACUAAUCAAGCUAGAAUUAUGGAAAAUAUUUCACUUACUCUCGGUUCAAUUGCCACUGACUUCCGAGGAGUCCAUAGUCUGUUGGAGAAAAGGGAUAAGGAUAGAGAGAGACAAAAUUCUAUAUGGGAUGCCAUCAAGGAAACCCCAAAUUUGGAUGAACCUACUCGCUAUCAAGCGGUCGCUUUGCUCGAUACUAAAACAAAAAAAGAUGCAUUUAUGAAGAUGUCACCGGAAGAGCGGUCAAAUUGGAUACGCUAUAAUUUGAAAUGAUAUGACUCAUGAUACAUUAGUUUUUUUUGUUCGUUUUAUUUUGGAUUAUGUUUAAUUGGCUUAUUCAUACUUGUUAACUGAAUUAUGUUGGAUUAUGUUUAAUGAAUGAUGUGUUUAGUUUAAUUAAUGAUAUUAUGUGAGAAUGUAGGAUUUAGCUCUGUUGAAUUUGGAUAAUGUACUAUUGCUAUUAGACUAUGUAGGAAAUUGAAUGUGGGAAUGUAGGAUUUGGCUCUAUUGAAUUUUUGUUGUGGUUAACCGAAAAGGCUGCUUGGCUUCCCCCAAUUGAGGAAAUCUGAACUCUACUUGAUCAUAGUGUUCGUGGAACACUCUCCACUUUUUCUCAGGUUUCUAUAUCAGUGUUUUUUGUUCUUUUUCUGAAAUUAAUUUGUGUUUCAUUGUUAUUUGAUUCUAGAUUAGUGCGCGACCUUCUUACACUUUGUAAGUAGUAGACUCGUCAAUUAGUAUUUCUUGGUCUAUUGUGGAGAUUAUGAUAAUGAACCACCAGAUAUCAAUCUUAUUUAAGGGUAAAAUCCUAAGAGUAAAAUCCUAAGAAAUCUUUGAAAGAAGUCCAAAUCUUAAGAAAUCCAUGAAAGAAAUCCAUACAAAUCCAUAGAAAUCUAUAUUAGAAAUCCAUAUAAAUCUGACAAAAUCCAUAUAAAAUUGAGAAUAUUUUAAAAUCCUUUGAAAUCUGUCACUUAAAAAAAGUCUAUUAAAAUCCCGUGAAAUCCAAAUUGAUUUUUUUGGUGGAACCAAGGUACAUAGCUUCAACAGGAAGUAGCACUUGUCAGAUUUCAACAGAGAAGAGCUCUCAUCACCUUUUGGUUAAGGGAGCUUAUUCCGAUGGUGAUUCAAGAAGAAACCCAACGUUCUUAAAAUUGAAUUUCCUUGGGAGAUAUGGAGAAUUUGACAUCUUUUUCCAGAUGAUUUUGGAUUUUAUCAGGCUAUACUCGAGGGGCCUAAGUAGAAGGAAUUUAAAUCUCCCAAUCUCACACUCCUAGGAGGUGUUUGUGAACAGGAAGAAGAAAAGGAGAUUGAUGAUGAUGACGAUACAAUAUGCCCAUCAGGCGAGUUGAUUGAGGGGAAAUUAUCUGAACAAAGAGAGAGGUUGGAAGGGUUCAGUUUUUUUAGUGUGGAGGAACUAAGGGAGUUGAAGGAGAUAACCUCGAACAACAGUUUUGUGGACAAGUCCAGAUUGACAGAGGAUUUUGGUUUUGAUUCUUCGUGUCCGUUCGAGUUUGGUGAAGAAGAGGAGCUUGGUGAUUCUACGCAAGAUGAAAAAGAAAUCUUUGAUGUUAUUGAACGCUUUGACGGCGUGCUCGAGAAUCUCUUCACCGAUACAACCGUGGAAAUAAGAUCGACACUGGAUGAGGUAGUUUCUCAGUAGUAUUAUAAAGGAGUUUCAGACGCUGUGGAACAAGUUGAAAUCAAGGAUACUGAAAAGAACAAGAAUUUGUUAAAAGUAUAGCAGGAGGAAAAGGUUGGGAUCCAUAUCGGUCAAAUGUGAGGCAAAUAGUCGAGCUACCAAUUUCAUGUCAAAUCUGAAAGUUUCUUUGGUUCCACUGAAAAGGUCUUUAUUUCAUGGAAAAAAUACUAGGAAAGUCAAUUUUAGCAAGUAUGUGGGUGGAAAGAAGGGAGAUAAAAAAGUUAAGAGGGGCAUUGUCAAACUUUGUGAAGAUAAUUAGUUGGAACGUUAGAGGUCUGGGAAGUAGGCAGAAGAAGGUAUCUUUGAAAGAGCAGUUUCGUCGCUUAAAGCCCGACAUCGUAAUUUUACAAGAAACAAAGAAAGCAUUAAUAGACAGGAGGCUAGUGGCAAGUGUUUGGGGAAGUAGAUUUAAAGAGUGGCCGGUUUUCGCCCCUGCACAAGGAAGAUCUGGGGGUAUAGUAGUGAUAUGGAACAUAAAACAAAUCUCAGUUUUUGAAUCUUUGGUUGGAGUAUUCUCAGAUUCAAGUCCCUGUUUAGCAGCAAUGAAGAGGAGUGUUGGGGUUUGGAAGGCAUUAACUGGUGCUCAAUAAGGUACCGUUUGGUACGUGGGAUGAGACGGAACAGAGUGGGACGAGACGUUCCGUCCCACGUUUGGUACGCCUAAAACGGGUGGAACGUGUUGUUCCACGGGACGAGUUUUGGGUGAAUUUUCGUUCCACCUCAUCCCCUGGAAUGACUCGUUCCACAUUCGUGGAACACAAAAUUAUAACCUCUUCGUCUCCUUCUUCUUCCUCCUUGUUUUCAUCCGAGGGCAUCUUACUCCCUCUCCGUUCCAUUCCGUCCAGUCCCAUCUGCAUACCAAACGAUACCUAAAUGAAUAUGAGGCAGCUUGGCUUGAGAGGCCUUUUGAGAAAUAGGAAGUUCAAAGUCAGUUUUUGAUUGUGGAAGGGAUAAGUCGCCAGUUCCAGAUGGGUUCUCUUUGCUAAUGUUUCAAAAUUGCUAGGAUAUCUUGAAAGUGGAUAUUUUGAAGGUGAUGGAGUUCUUUGAGAAAGGGAUAAUAAAUGUGGUGACAAAUGAAACAUUCAUCUGUCUUAUUCUGAAAAAGUCAGAUUCUUUGAAAGUGACGAACUACCGGCCUAUAAGCCUAGUUACUAGUUUAUACAAAAUUGUGGCGAAAGUGCUUGCAUCAAGACUAAGGGAGGUUAUUGAUGAGUCAAUUUCAUAUUAUAUAUUUUACCCUAUUCUUAGUAUGUUUUGGUAAUUAUUUUGGUAGAAUUUUGAUACUUUGAUUUAUAUUUUCAAUAUAGGAUGUUCGACUUCCUCUAGAGCAAAACGUGGUCAAACAGACGAAUUUUGGAGGGAUUCAAAUUGAAGGACGUUCAUGUGUCUCUUGGCGUGUUCGUGUAAAAAUUUGAGAUUUUUCUACCAAAGCGGUUAUUUUCUGGAGACGAAAUAAAGUAGCAGUGUGCAGUGCUGGAAAAUGAAGUUUCUGGGCUUGAAUUGCGUUUUUGGAGCCCAAGAUGACCUCUGAUGGGUUCGUAGCCUUCUAGAAAAGUGUUCAGAAUAUUCCAAACCUUAGAUCCAGCUAUAUUAGACCGGAUUUGGAGCAGUUUAAGGGUCCAAAACGUGGCUGUUCAGAUUUUAGGCGAAUAUUACUAUUUAAUUUAGGGAUAUGUUUCCUAUUUUAUUUUAGUAUUUAGUUUCCUAGUUGGAUUGGAAGACAUUUUAUUAGGAGGAUUUAAUUUCUGCUAGGUUACAUAAGCUUUCCCGCUUUAUUCUGGUAACUUCUUCGUGCGUUCUUGAAGAGAGGAAAUUGGCCAAGCGUAGAGAUUUUUAGACUUUUUCCAUUCUAGGUGUUUUCGAUCUUUUAUUUUUUCAAUAAAGAACUUUAUGAUUUUUAUUAUGAAUAUGCGUAACGAAUUCUCUUUUCGCUAGGGUGAGGUCACAAGCAUUAGUAAGAAUAUGUAGUUUCUCUUCAAUUUGCUUAUGAUUAUAUGCAUGUCGGUUUUCGAAUUAUUAAUAACUGAUUUAAACAAUCUAAUUAUCUUGACGCUUGAUCACCAUUAUGACGUUUAGAAAAGUAAUUUGAUGCAAUUUUGGUCAGAGGUUGGUCCCUGAAAUUGACGAAGGCUUCUUGUGAUUAAUAUGUGCAAGUUCACUUAGGAUGAAUACCACGUCUUGAGGGUUGCAUGGUUUUUCAAAAGGUUUCAUAGAAUUUAAUGAGUCAUGCAUGUUUAGAUUUUAUUUGAAUCCCACAAACAGAUUGCAUGUUUGAUAUACGCUCUAUGUUGGGGGUCCAAGUAGGCGUAUAUUAGGAAAACCUAACCUUCGAAAUAUGCAUGUAUAAGUCAUAAGUAAUUAAGAGAACUAAAUAGGAUUGUUAAGGUGACAGUGGAUCCCUAGUGUUUUCUUAAUUUGAUUUCUACCAAAUUGUUUCCUUUUUCUUCAUCUUUAAUAUUGCAGAUUAGUUUAUUUUUAUUAGUUAAAUUCGUUUUAUUAAAUUAGGUCAUAAAAAUCAAUCAUCUCAAAUUUCUGUUUUACAAUAAUCAAUUGGAAUUUGGUUUGCUUAGAAUGAUUUAAUAAUUCCUGUGGAGAACGACCUUAUGAGAUCCGUUUAUACUACAAUAACCUUGUUAUUCCUGCAAGUAUUAUAUGAGUUUUUAACCCUUUUGCAUGUGUGGUAAAAUCUCUAUCAGUUAUGGGUAGCACAAUCUUUCUAUAUCAAGGAGCUUUUGUUAAAGGUAGACAAAUUUUGGAUGUGGUCCUCAUUGCAAAUGAGGUUGUAGAAGAGGUAAGGCAGAAGAAAAAGGAGGGAUUGGUGUUCAAGAUUAAUUUUGAAAAGGCUUAUGAUCAUGUGGAGUGGAGAUUUUUGGAUGAAGUCUUACAAAGAAAAGGUUUUGGCAAUUAAUGGAGGAAAUGGAUGCAGGGUUGUCUAAGUUCCGCAAAUUUCUCAGUUUUGAUCAAUGGGAGGCCUAGAGGAAAAUUUAAAGCUUCAAGAGGUUUGAGACAAGGUGAUCCAUUGUCACCUUUUCUUUUCACCUUUUUAGUUGAUGUCUUGAGUACAUUAUUGGAGAAGGCACAAAAGAAUCAUCUGAUCAAAGGUUUGUGCAUUGGGCAAGAAAAGGUGGAGAUUUCGCAUCUUCAAUUUGCUAAUGACACCAUUUUUUUCUUGGCAGGGGCUGAGGAAGUUUGGAACAAUUUUUAGAGUUGCUCAACUUAUUUUGUACUAUUUCAGGUUUGAAAAUUAACAAAGCAAAGUGCUCUUUGGCUGGAAUAAACUCAGAUUGUGAGAAAAUUAAAAGGAUGGCAGAUUCUUGGGGUUGUGAGGUGGGUAGUUGGCGAAUAAAGUAUUUGGGUCUCCCUCUUGGGGGAAGGCCAAGAGCACUUACGUUUUGGGAUCCAGUUGUAGAAAAGAUCGAACAAAGACUUCAAAGUUGGAAGAAGGCUUUCUUAUCUAGAGGUAGUAGAUUAAGUUUGAUUCAAUCUGUUUUGGGAAGCUUGCCAAUUUAUUACAUGUCUUUGUUCAAAAUUCCUUGCGGGGUGAUUGGAUGGCUGGAAAAACUAUUGAAAGGGUUUUUUUGGGAAGGGGUAGAGGAAGGAAAGAAAAACCAUUUGCUGAAAUGGGAGGUAGUUAUUAAAAGUAAGGAGGAAGGGGGUUUAGGUGUGGGGAAUUUGAGGAAACGGAAUGAAGCGUUACUGGCUAAGUGGUUGUGGAGAUUCCCAAAGGAAUCAAAUGCUCUUUGGCACAAGGUGAUAAGAAGUACGGGUUGCAGGAAAAUGGGUGGGAUGCAAAUCCUUCGUUGUGUGUUUCAAGUCGUAGCCCUUGGAAAGAUAUUUCGUCUGGUCUUCAAUUGUUCCUAGAGUGCUGUAAGUUUGAGGUGGGCAACGGGGAUAGGGUGAGGUUUUGGGGGGAUGAUUGGUUGGAAGGUGGAUCAUUGAAAGAGCAAUAUCCUAGAUUAUUCUUGUUAUCGAGAAUGCACAACCAGAGCAUUUCAAGUUUUGUGGAUUUUUCUCUUCAUUCUUUGAGCUGGACUUUUGAUUUCAGAAGAAAUUUGAAUGAGUUGGAGAUAGAAGAGGCGGCUAGGUUAUUACAGAAGGUGGAAAAUCUUUGUUUGAUUCGAUCAAGAGCGGAUAAUAGAAGGUGGAAACUAGACUUAUUAGGAUUGUUCACUUGCAAAUCCUAUAGCUCUUUCUUGAGCAACAAUGCAACUGUGCAACAUUUUCCACCAUUUUCUCAUAUUUGGAAAUCAAAAGCUCCUCCGAAGGUCAAAGUUCUUGUGUGGUUAAUGGCUACUGGGAAGGUCAACACUUGUGAUCAAGUUCAAAGGCGAAGGCCUUUUAUUUGUAUUUCUCCCCAUUGGUGCAGUUUGUGUAAAUUUGAGGAGGAUAAUGUUAAUCGUAUUUUUCUCCAUUGCUCUUACUCAAUACAGUUGUGGUGGAAAUUGGUUCAGGAAGUUAGAGUUAGUUGGGUCAUUCCGAAGGGUUGUUUCGAGAUUCUAAGCACCAAUUUUGAGGCUUUAGGAAAGGGGAGGAAAGCUAAAGCUUUGUGGGGUUGUUUGGUGUUGGCAGUUUUUUGGAACAUUUGGUUGGAGUACCGUUUGGUACUCAGAUGGGAGGGAACAGGACGAGACAGGACGGGACCGAACAGAUGAUGUAAAUAUUGAAAAAGAUAAGGAGAAAUUUUGUCAUAAAAUGUUAUAAAUUUGUGUUCCACGGAUGUGGAACGGGUCGUUCCAGGGGGAAGAGGUGGAACGAAAAAUCAACCAAAUUUUGUCCCAUGGGACAACCCGUUCCAUAGUUUUUAGGCACACCAAACGUGGGACGGAACGGCUCGUCCCGUUCCGUUCCGUCCCGUCCCACGUACCAAACGGUACCUAAAAGAAGAGUUUUUGAGGAUUAUAAUGGAGUGGGGGUAGCAAAACUAUGGGGUAGAGUAAGAUACUGAGCAGCCCUGUGGGCAUCAGCUUCGAAUGAGUUAAAGGAUUAUUCUCUUUCUCAUAUAGUGUGGGAUAUGUUAGUAGCCGUAAAAUGAUUAUGGUUGAGGUUAUGUUACUUGUAAUCAGAUUUGUUUGAGAGGUCUUAGCUAGCUUUGCUACAUGGGUGGAUUUCUUAUCCACUAUUUUAUAAUUCUUGGGUUUUUUUUUUUUUUUUUUUGAAGUGUUAUCGUUUAUUCUCAAAAAAAAAAAAAAAGAAAAAAAAAAGUAGUAUAAAUUACCUUGCUUUAGCAUCACUGUAAACAGGUUCAUAGGGAACAGACGUCUUAUCCUGCAAUUCAACAUAAAACAUUAUAUAGCUUGUGCUAGACAACACAAAUGUAUGUAACAGUCAAAAUGAACAAUUUUGUGACAGCCACCCACAAAAAAACGUAACUGUAACAAGAAAAUGUAGUGCUCCCAAGCCCAUUUAAAGGAGGAGUGGAAAGAGAGGGAGAGAGGUUGCCAUCGCAGCGUUUGCAGAUUUGUAGCACUAACCUCAAGGUACUUAAAUGUAGUGCUAUCAGCAGGAACAACACCAUUUUGACCCUCAGCCUCAACAACCAUGUUGCAUAAUGUCAUCCUUUCUUCCAUCUGUCCAGCACAGGUUUGUGAAAGAGUAAUUAACAGAUAAAACCAGAUGAAUGGUAUGAUCAUACAUGCGGUAACAACCAUUAUAUUCACUCACAGAUAAGCUUUCAACAGUGCUGCCAACAAACUCCAUAGCGUUAUAUGUUCCACCAGAAACAGAUAUUUCAACAAUAAUCUGCCAUAUGAAAUUCAUUUAUCAAGGAAACAACAAGGCUGGAUGUGUUACAUAUCAAGCAAAUAAAAUCAUAUGUCUCACUCUUAGAAUUUUAACUUCUUCUUAAGCUAUGCAGACUGAAUGAAAAAUAAAAAAAAAAUGCCUUGAGACCUGGUUAAACUUACUUGCAGAAUCAAAUCUUUGGCAAGCAAAUAGUCGGGUAUUUCACCAUCCAUCACAAAUCUCAAUGUUGGAGGCACCUGCAAAUUUAGAAGGAAAUCAGAAAAGUAUGAAAAUACAAUAAAAUUCACAGAAAUUACUGCAAACAACAAUAACAUUAAAGUAUGAGAUAUAUGUAAUACAGCAGAAAUUGUGAAUCUACAGAUACAACUACCUCAAUCACUCAUAGUCAUAGCUCAUACAGGAAAGAGAAACACAUUUAACUUAUCAAAAGCAUAAUUCCCCCUUUUCGGUUCUCUAUAUGGUUUACUUUCUGUUUUCUAAAUUUUUAACAAUGUCCAUAUUCCUUGGUGUAUGCUUUUCGCAGACGAUAUAGUGUUGAUAGAUGAAACUCAGGAAGGGGUAAAUGCGAAGCUUAACCUUUGGAGAGAAGUGUUGGAAUCUAAAGGUCUUUGCCUAAGCCGAUCAAAGACAGAAUAUAUGGAGUGCAAGUUCAGUGCAAAUGGAGGCCAAAAUAAAUUAGGGGUGAGGAUCGGAGAUCAGGAAAUACCAAAGAGCGAUCGUUUUCGCUACUUAGGAUCUAUCUUGCAAAAGAACGGAGAAUUAGAUGGAGAUCUCAACCAUAGAAUACAAGCUGGAUGGAUGAAGUGGAAGAGUACAUCCAGCGUGUUGUGUGACCGCCGUAUGCCACUGAAGCUCAAGGGAAAUUUUUAUAGGACUGCAAUAAGGCCGGCGAUGCUGUAUGGCACAGAAUGUUGGGCGGUGAAGCAUCAACACGUACACAAAAUGGGUGUAGCGGAGAUGAGGAUGCUUCGUUGGAUGUGUGGGCACACGAGAAAUGAUAAGAUUAGGAAUGAGGAUAUCUGAGGUAAAGUAGGAGUAGCUGAAAUUGUAGGAAAAUUGAGAGAAAAUCGGUUACGGUGGUUUGGACAUGUGCAAAGAAGGCCUACUGACGCUUCGGUUAGAAGAUGCGACUACGAGACAGAGGUUCAGGGCCGAAGGGGUAGAGGAAGACCUAGGAAAACUUUGGAAGAGACUCUAAGAAAAGACUUAGAGUAUUUGGAUCUAACGGAGGACAUGACACAGGACCGAGCACAAUGGCGUUCUAAGAUUCAUAUAGCUGACCCCACUCAGUGAAGAAGGCUUUGGGGUAUUUAACACAAUACGUUGAAAUGAAGCAAAGCUUAUUUAUUGAUAUCUCCGAUAAGUUACAAAUAUGUACAUAUACAUGAGUCAAAAUAAACAAACAAGAGGGAGCCUUCACAAAGGUUGCUUAGGAGAAGUCUCAGCAGUCGGUAGAGCCUCAGAAAGAGAAGACACCGGAGGGGGAUCAUUCGGAGCCUUAGUACUGGACAAAACCCUAGAAGGAGGAGGCAUCGGAGGUUGAUCAUUUUGAGCUUCAUUACGCGGUACAGCCCCAGAAGACGAAGACAAUAAAUGCCUUUGGAACAAACCCACAAACCGCUGAUGAUCAAGUAAAACCUGACCAUUAGAUUCCUUCAUCUGGUCAAGCUUCCUCUUCAUGUUUGUAGCAUAGUCAUGUGCGAGCCGGUGUAAUUGUUUAUUCUCAUGCUUGAGCCCUCUAAUCUCUUGUUUGAGACUCAUCACUUCAGCCGCCAAUGAUUCAACUUGGCGGGUUCGAGCAAAUAGGCGUUGGGCCAUAUUAGACAUAGAACCUGCACACUUAACACUUAGAGCUAGAGAAUCCUUAACAGCCAACUCAUCAGACCGUUUGGAAAGUAGUCUGUUAUCUUUGGGAGUGAGAAGGUUCUUGGCCACUAUUGCAGCAGUCAUAUCAUUCUUCAUCAUGGAAUCCCCAACUAUAAGAGGACCAGUAGGGGAUAAGAAGGAUGGGCGCCAUAUGUUGUCUGGAGAAGACGUGGCUGCCUCUUGAACAAGGUUCAAGUCAAAACGAUGGUCGGAGGGGCCAGACAUUUUCAAAGGUGUUGAAAAGAGAAGAGGUCGGAUAAAUCAAGAUCUUAGAAGUGCAAGAAGGGAGCUUCUAUUGGUGAAGAUUCAAGUGUGCUUUGGAACUUAAUGCCAGCCUCUAUAAAAAUCUGCACUCGACAGAGCUUCAGAAAUCGAAGAGGCGUCUGCCCAGAAAUCGAAGAGGCGUUUGCUUUCUCAAAAGCUGGGCUGCUCAGAGACCACAAGGGUCGAUCUCAGAAAUCAAAGAGGCGUUUGCUUUCUCAAAAACUGGGCUGCUCAAAGACCACGAAGGCCGAUCUCAGAAAUCGAAGAGGUGCUUGCUUUCUCAAAAGCUAGGCUGCUCAGAGACCACGAGGGCCGAUCUCAGAAAUCGAAGAUGCACUUGCUUUUUUCAGCCUUGUCAGCACCUGUCACAUGUACACUCAGCUUUGCUGAAAUUACGGGCAUUCUGUUGAAGAUUUCUGGUGAAGUAGAAAACACGUGAAUCUUACUAUUCAAUCAUCCACUUUCCACACGCACCAUCAGCUCAUGGGUACCACAUAUAACUUUGCCAAAGAUCUCUGACAAAGUUUAGACACGUGAAGCUUGCAGCUCUCACUACAUCGCUAUGACCAAGAAGGGUAAAAGAAUAGCAAAGAAACAGCACUAACAAAGUUUAGACACAUAACUUUUAAAGGUCUAGCUACCAUAUUAUUACCCACAAGGGUAAAGGAACAGCACCACUGCUGGAUAAUUGGAAAGUCCCUGUGUGUCAACCUCUGUGCUCCGUGGCAAGGUAGACUAGCAAACAUGCCCAACCUUUACUCAUAUUCGAGAAAACACUCCCAACAAGAUUGCUUGCUCCAAAAUCCAAGAGGCACCGUCCUCCGAAUCUCGAGAGUCAGAUUCCCAACAUGAUUAGUCUCUCAAAAAUCGAAGAGACACCGCUAUCCGAAUCUCGAGAGCCAGACUCCCAGCAGGAUUGCUCUCUCAAAAAUCGAAGAGGCACCGUUCUCCGAAUCUUGAGAGCCAGAUCCUCGACAGAAUUGCUUGUUCGAAAACCGAAGAGGCACCGCGUUCUCAACUUCGAGAGCCAGAUCUCCUUGGAUAAAGCUUGUUUGUAAUCUUCACACGCAACAUCAGCUUUCCAGAUACCACAGACCACUUUUUCAAAAUGCUCUGACACACGUGAAGCUGGCAGCUACCACUAUCGUGCUAUGACCAAGCAGGGUAAAGGAAUAGCAUUACUACUUGUUGUUAGGGAAACUCCUAUGUAUGUCGACCUCUAUCCUCAAUGGACAGGCAGACCUGCAAAAAUGCUCAACCCUUCCUCAUAUCUGAGAGGGCACUCCCAACGAAGCCUCUCGAAAUACUCUGCUUUCUUUUCCAUCGAUAAUACCUCUGCAAACAAGCUACACUAGAGCAAUAAUAUCUCAUAUCAUCAAGGUUAAAAGCAAGAGUAUCCCAUAUCAUGCUUUUUCCCUGUCUUUUCCUUGGGCCUUGUUCUUACCUGCAAGACAAGGAGAAAGAGAGCAAUCGGUCAGCACUUGGAAUCAAGCUUCCAGUCAGGACCUGACUGCCUGGAACCCCUUACCUGAUUACUUACCUGGCAUUGCUCUCGAGUACUCAUCUUCAACAUCUUAUGCUUCCAGAGAAGAUACCACAUCUGCCUGAGGAACAGAUAGGGAAAGUGAGAAGGAUACAAGGAAGCAUGUGGAGACAAGCGUAAUAGAACACGUGCCGAUACAUCCACUACUUUGUCAACAACAAAAGUAUCCCAUAUCAGCAGGGUCGAACGUACUCUAGAUUUGAUGGACUUGUUUUGAUCCUCAAAUUCUUCAGUCGACCUUAUACUCUGGAGGAAACCAGAAAAUCCUCCAACCCAGUUCAAGAAUAAGCUUGUGGAAAGUUACUUCUUCAAAAGCAAAAGUAUCUCAUAUCAUCUAUUCUCCUUUUCUUCUCUUUAUCCUUCAUGCUGCCUGCAAGAUAGGGAGAAUGAGAACAAUCAGCCAGAACUCGAAAUCAAACUUCUGAUUUGGGACUGAUUGCUUGGAGCUCUGAUUGCUUACUUUGUCUGUCACCUCUUUCAGCAGAUCCCCUAGCUCGGCGACUUGGGGGACUUUUACUACAUGGUUUGUAUCGCACUUGACCAAGCCUGAAACUACAAGUAAGCUUCAAGUGAAAUUGAUACAUUACCUUGUGCAUCUCCACCAGUUAAAGAUACCACCCCUGGAUGGAGGAAGAAUACUUCCAGAGAAGAUGCCACAUCUACCUAUGAGACAGAUAAGGCAAGUGAAGACGAGAGCUUGAACCUAUGUCAUUUGUACUAAAUCAUUCACUUGUACUCACUAAAGGAGAGCUUGAACCUAUGUACUUGUGUAAACCCUUCACAAUUAAUGAGAACUCCUCUACUCCGUGGACGUAGCCAAUCUGGGUGAACCACGUACAUCUUGUGUUUGCUUUCCUAUCUCUAUCCAUUUACAUACUUAUCCACACUAAUGAUCAGAGCAAUCUAGCGAAGAUCACAAACCUAAUCUUUUCUGUUGUACCAAAGUCCUCACUGAUUGUGUGCAUCAACAAUCCUUAAGUCCUUACCUUUUUGCGUUGGUAAUGGAUGAGUUAACAGGACAUAUUCAAGAUGAUAUUCCUUGGUGUAUGCUUUUUGCAAACGAUAUAGUGUUGAUAGAUGAAACUCAGGAGGGGUAAAUGCGAAGCUUAACCUUUGGAGAGUAGUGUUGGAAUCUAAAGGUCUUCGCCUAAGCCGAUCAAAGACAGAAUAUAUGGAGUGCAAGUUCAGUGCAAAUGGAGGCCAAAAUGAGUUAGGGGUGAGGAUCGGAGAUCAGGAAAUACCAAAGAGCGACUGUUUUCGCUACCUAGGAUCUAUCUUGCAAAAGAACGGAGAAUUAGAUGGAGAUCUCAACCAUAGAAUACAAGCUGGAUGGAUGAAGUGGAAGAGUGCAUCCGGUGUGUUGUGUGACCGUCGUAGGCCACUAAAGCUCAAGGGAAAAUUUUAUAGGACGGCAAUAAGGCCGGCGAUGCUGUAUAGCACAGAAUGUUGGGCGGUGAAGCAUCAACACGUACACAAAAUGGGUUUGGACAUGUGUAAAGAAGGCCUACUGACGCUCCGGUUCGAAGAUGUGGCUACAUGUUAGAGGUUUAGGGCCGAAGGGGUAGAGGAAGACCUAGGAAAACUUUGGAAGAUACCUUAAGAAAAGACUUAGAGUACUUGGAUCUAACGGAGGACAUGACACAAAACCGAGCGCAAUGGCGUUCUAGGAUUCAUAUAGCCGACCCCACUUAAUGGGAAAAGACUUUGUUGUUGUUGUUGUUGUCCGUUGAUUUGUUUUGAGACAGUCAAACCUCAGGUUGAGUGAGCCUGCAACAUGUACCCUUCUUGAUAUUGCCUUUCCAUGAUCCCAAUGACAAAAUCAAAUAAUACAGCCACGUCUAAUGGCUUUUAUAAAGUCUAACCCGUAGCUUCAAAAAUCAAAGGGAAAUCAAAUGAAAACCCCACUUCCUAAUAAUAGAACAUAAUAUAAAAUGAAAACAUCUCAACGUGGGCUUGCAAACCUGGUACUUGUGCUUAAUAAAACUUGAGCAUCACAUGCAAAUGCUACUAGAGCCAGUUGUUUCAUAUGGCAUGUAUCUAAACACCUCAAGCAGCACUUGCUUCCAGGAAAUAUACAACAAUCUAAAAUUGUCAAAAUCAACCAUUUACUAAAAUCCUUUCAUGUGCAUGAUAACAAAGUUUCACAAACUCAUCACGCCUGCUAGUGCACUUUAGAAAACCAUCACUACCUUCAUGACCACACUUAAAUAAGAGUAACGAAGGCAGAAAAGUUCUGCAGCAUGCAUUUAAAUCAUACUGGUUGGCACUACCUUCUAUUCGAAGCCAUUUCAUAUUGUUUUCUUAUCACUUAUUACAACAUAAAUACUACUACUUUCUUCAACAAAAUACACAGUUCUUGAUGUUUGAAGUCGAAUACUCUGCCAAAAAUCACUGAUUCUAUCAGUCUGUAGAUGUAACAUAUCUGAUGGAAGAUCAUGAUACCAAUGACAAUGCUUCAUUAACCCUUCAUUUAUUGCAAAGAACUUAGAAACUUAUUAUUAUCAUCACAAUAUAAAUAAAACAAAAGAGGAGGUAAGAAAUAACUCCAAAACCAUUGAAGAACUACACUGCAACAAGAUCAGCAAAUAAUAUCAAUGACUCAAAUUUUUUAUACUUGUAAAGCACUCUAUGAAACCUAAACAGGGUGAAGGGGGCCAAUAUUCACCAAUAUUAUGUUAGUGGAAGCUAACCUAUCCGUGGAAUUAAACCAUUUGCAUGAAAUCCAUGAAAACAUACUUAAAAUCUGCAAACCUUGAGCAGGAGCUUCCCAGUGCCCAAUACAAAUACUGCAUCAGUGUUCCCAGUAGCAAAUUGUCCAAAAGCUCCAGCAGUACGUACAUGUAUGAGAAUCUGUACCCAGCAGGACCUGAAGACCAAAUCAGGUGUUUGAUUGCUGCUUUGGACUGAAAAACCAUAAAAUAAUAAUAUUGAACUCUUCAAAGGAAAGUACCUCCCCCGGCCUGCAAUGACCUUCUUGAGCAAGAGCAACAUGGCGUACACCCUUAUAAUCUGGGUUGGCCUGCCAAAUUGUCAACUAAACUCAAUAUCUGAUGAUUAAACCAAUUUUAAAACAUGGUGAAAACGUAACACUUAAAAGCCACACCUUGAAAUUACUUAUCCUUUAUAUCAUAGAAAUACUUGAUGUUUUGCUCCGUGAACAAAUCCCUCAAGAUAUCCACAUUACGGUUUGCACGUUCAUCAGUUGUAAAUAUAUAAUGGUCAGGUAUGAUUACAACCUUUUCACGGUUCCAAACCUGCAAUAGAAAAACAAUGAAGCUCUAUUGAUACCCCAUGACAACAAAAACUGCAGUGAUUACAAAAUCUCAGAUAUGAAAAAUAGACCUUUUCAAAAAUAAUCAACACACCUUCAGAGAUGAUGAAUACUGAAGCUAAACGAAGAAAAUAUACCAUCAAGCAAUGAGUUAAAUGCAAAUGAAUUCCUUCUUUCUUUUAUUUCUGUGAUUGGUUAUGGUUAUUAACAAACAAAGCAGUAAGAGAGGACUUGUAAGUUGAUAUGUUAUAUUGGCCUCGCAUACAUACAAGAGGUCUACCAGCAGAAACGGGCAUGUGGACUAUGACAACAAAAAACAAAGACAACCUUCUCAUUGCUACCAUCCACCGUUGGGUUGGGUCAAUCUACGCUAUGAUGCUAAUGUUCCUUGACUCUUGUAGUGAUGGGCAGAAACCAUUUGGGACACAUUCAUGCAGAAUGUUUUUUUUUGCGAAGCUGGCCUAACCCGACACAUAGAAGUAGAUUCUCUAAUGUGAUCAUUACCAUUGCUAGAUGAGUCAACGACAACACGACUUGAUCAAUGAACGUAUUACUUCUAACUAAAUAUUUAUGCCAACCCCUUUUCCUUGUUGGUUUGUAAAGCAUGUCUAGAUCAGCAAACUAAGCUAUUCAAAACUGACAAAUAUGGCUUCCAAUGGUACUGCUAGUCUUUUGGGUGUUUAAUACUGAAAGUUCUAGGAUGGGUACUAGUUUAACCUAGAGGGGGAGUGAAUAGGUUCCCCUUUAAAAAUCAAAUUCAAUUUUCAAUUUAAUUUUCAGUUCUCAAAUUAAAUCCAAAUUCAAAUCACAUAUCAAACUAUCAUACUCAUAUGCAAUUAAAACGAUAAAUAAAAAGUGCUCACAUGAUGUAGGAUCACGACUGGAAAAAUCCUUGGGCUUCUAACCCAGGACAAACACUAAGAGAAAUACGUACAGAAAGACUUACAAAACUCAUCAACUAGACACGCAUACUAGUAGGCAGUUUUGUUUCCGCGCUUUGCUACUCGAUCUCUCUCAGUCUUCGAGUUAAAGUGGCACGACACUAACGCGAUCAUCAAUCACCUUUUCCUCUGAACUUUGCAAGAUACUAACUUGAUCAUGCAGAAUGUUUAUAUGAUGAAGUGUUUAUUUGAAAAGCAAUCAAUUACGAAAAUCACAAGGCACAUUUUCAUAAUUGACAUUUGUUUGUACCAUACUUGACCAAUCCCGAAACUACUGAGCACCGGUCAACGUUAUACCGUCAAGGACCCAGAAGAGUUUCCCUCCAACCAGGAGGCCAAUCACAGCGCGACAUGUGUUGACAUCAGAAGCCAAUCAUAGCGCGACACGUGUCAACAUCAGAAAUCAAUCACAACACGACACGUGUCAAAGUUAGAAUAAAACUGGAAACUCUCUUCUAUAAAUAGAGAUCAUUCUCUCACAAUAUUUCUUAAUGUCAUUUGUACUAAAUCAUUCACUAGUACUCACUAAAGGAGAGCUUGAACCUAUGUACUUGUGUAAACCCUUCACAAUUAAUGAGAACUCCUCUACUCCGUGGACGUAACCAAUCUGGGUGAACCACGUACAUCUUGUGUUUGCUUCCCUGUCCCUAUCCAUUUACAUACUUAUUCACACUAGUGACCGGAGCAAUCUAGUGAAGGUCACAAACUUAACACUUUCUGUUGUACCAAAAUCCUCGCUGAUUUUGUGCAUCAACAUUUGGCGCAGUAUGUGGGAAAGACACUUAUUCCCACUCUCUUCAGCUUUGCCAAGCUGGUUUCCACCAUUCGUACACUCUCUUUUGACCAGGCAUCCCUCUCCAACAUGGGGAGCGAAGGAAGCCACAACACACAUAAUGACACCCAUCUUGCACCUGGUGCGAAGCAACGAAAGAAGGAAGGAAAAAAGGUUGCUUUUCAAGCUAAAGUCGAUGAGCCAGAAGCUCAGAACAACGAGAUAGCAAUGAAGAAUGAAGUCCUCUAGGAGCAGUAUGAAAAGCUCUUUGAGACGCUCCACGAAACUAGGCGUACUCAAACACGUGAACUCGUUGCCCCUGUGGACAUCAACCAUCAUCUGGGUGCCCCCCAACACAGAGGGUCACCUCCCUUCGACAUGGGUAUCCCUGAUGAGGAGCGAGCUAAUCAUCAAAACAUUGAUCAACAUGAGACUUCUUUCAACCCAGAUGCUUCGACCCGAAGUAGAAGAAGUGGAGGAAGACACCUCAUUGCAGAAGGGUUGGAAGGAUCGAAAGCCGUUUAUUGUGAUUGCUGAGACUUCCUAAAGCAACGUCGAGAGAAUCCCCUCCACAUAUGCUUGAAGAUCAAUGACCCAAGGGUUUCUGAAAGACUCGGUCCCCUCCCACGACCCAGGCCAACUGCCAAUCUAGGGAAGAAACGACUGAUCCCAGAGGAACAUAAAGGUACGGGGGACUCUGAGGUAUUCCGACAGAUUCGCCCUAGAAGUCAGUACGACGAGUCCAAGAAAAAACCACACGCCCUUCCUCAAACUUUUCUACUUCCAAGAGGGGAUGGAGACUUACGAAAGAAAAUUCCAGUGGUACAUGACUCCACUGAUGACCCCCUUGUCCUACAGUGCAUUAAGGAAGUAAACAAGUUGAAGGCCGAACGUCAGGCCGAGAUACCUGACUGGAACCAACCCAGGCCUGGCCUUCUCACAAGAAAGAUCCUCGACACCCCCUUCAAGCGAAGACAAAACAAAAGCUUGGUUUACAACUUUAUACUGGAAGGGAGGACCCAAUUAAACACUUUAACCUUUUUGAGUCCACCAUGGCAUAUCGGAUGCACACCGACGAAGUGCGAUGUCUUCUCUUCCCCUCCACCCUUUCUGGCGGAGCUCUAAACUGGUAUUGCUGUCUUCCACCUGAGACAGUAGACUCAUUUGAGGAAUUAAGGAAACUAUUUGUCUUUCAACACAUCUUCCAGACCGAUCACUUUCAUUCUACAGAUGACUUGUACACUAUUUGCCAGAAGCUGGACGAGUCACUACGAGAGUAUGCCGGUCGAUUUAACCAUGAGUAUUCUUGCUGCGCUGAGGCAGAUGACAAGACCGCCCUCAAGGCCUUCACGGCAGGCCUAUGUGAUUGUUUCUUCAAGUACAUGACCAAUGCCAACACUUGAAAGACUUACUCUGAGGUGAUGGCACAUGCUUACAACCACAUCUCCACCGAAGCAAGGACAUACCAAGGGAACCCCCAUAUGGUUAACCCCUAUCAACAAAUAGGAAGAGGAAGUUAAGUUCUACCAAGUGAGGAGAUAUUAGCCAUUCAGACACCCAUUGCAUCAUCUCCUGCCUCAUUCAGCUACUUGCUAAGUCACCAAACGUAUUUGUCUCUUGGUAAGAGGAAGGAUUUUUACUCUCAGCAAGCCCAUUACAACAAGAGGGAUACAAGUUCGUAUCAAGACAACCAGGGGUGAACAUACCGUCGACUAUUAUGACUAUGGGGCAAAGCCUCACUCUUUCAAAGUGGAUGACUAGGUACUGAAGGAAAUGCUAUUAUAAGAAGGCAUACACAUUACAAAUGUUUUGACUCUCAACCGCUUGAGAUCUUUUGUCACACAAGCCAUUCGGCAAAUAUUUAAAGAAGAGGGAAUUCAUACAACUUCUUCUGAGUCUUUUGCGUUCCUAGCAUUGGAACACUUGGUCUACGCUGACCUACCCUUAUACUCCAACUCAGAGCUUCAACAUGCGUACUUUGACACAAAGUAUGUGAUACUAAGUGUUACAACCAACAUGGUUCACAUAUCAAAAGCAUGGAUCCCUUCAUGCAUAGCAAAACAUUCAUAAGCAUCACUCAUAUCAAUCAACAUAAACAUUAUACAUUCCAACACAUUCAUACAUAAACAUCAUACAUUCCAACACAUCCAUACAUAAACCAACUGUGCUUCGAAAGGGUUCAACAUACUUUGUGUCUUUGACACUUGCUACAAUGUGCCUCGACACCUUGCCCUUAUUCUCACCAACCAGGUGAUGAAAUGUGAAGAAUGAACUCAUCUUCAUGCCACCAAACAGGUGAUGAAAUGUACAACCUGUACUCUCCUUCAUGUUACCAACUAGGUGAUGAAAUGUACAACCCGUACUCUAAUAUCAUUUGGUAACUUGGCACUUAUGCCACCAACCAGGUGAAAAAAGAACUCAUUUUCAUGCCACAAACUAGGUGAUGAAAUGUACAACCCGUACUCUCCUUCAUGCCACCAACCAGGUGAUGAAAUGUACAACUCGUACUCUAAUAUCAUUUGGCAACUUGCCACUCAUGCCACCAAGUAAGUGAAGAAAGAACUCAUCUUCGUGCCACCAACCAGGUGAUGAAAUGUACAACCCGUACUCUCCUUCAUGCCACAAACUAGGUGAUGAAAUGUACAACCCGUACUCUAAUAUCAUUUGGCAACUUGCCACUCAUGCCACUAACCAGGUGAAGAAGGAACUCAUCUUCAUGCCACAAACCAGGUGAUGAAAUGUACAACUUGUACCAUCCUUCAUGCCACCAAACAGGUGAUGAAAUGUACAACCAGCAUUCUAAUAUCAUUUGGCAACUUGCCACUCAUGCCACCAACCAGGUGAAGAAGGAACUCAUUUUCAUGCCACCAACCAGGUGAUGAAAUGUACAACCUGUACUCUAAUAUCAUUUGGCAACUUGCCAUUCAUGCCACCAACCAGGUGAAGAAGGAACUUAUCCUCAAGCCACAAACCAGGUGAUGAAAUGUGAUGAAAGGUGAUGAAGGAACUCACUUUCGUACCACCAACCAAGUGAUGAAAGAAACUCACCAUUCAUUCCACCUACCAGAAGACGAGUGGUACAACUUAUACAUGUGAACUCCUAACAUUCACAAACAAUAAAAAACCCUCAAGCUUGACAACUCAACUAGGGGAGCACUUAUGCCCAACAAGAGUUAUAGUCACCAACAAAGUCUUAUUGCAAGCCAACAACAACUUCAGUGCAUGGCAUACAAAGAUCAAGCUAUUCAGCCCUCUUGCAUCUGCUUCAGACAUUUCCCUUCUGUACCAAUGCAAACACUACAACUCAAGGAAAACUUCACACUCUUGAUCAAGACAGUGUGAAGCAAAACCAAUUUAUGGUGCCAACAAUAGCUUCAUCAAAUGAGUUCAACCACAAUUCUCAAAAGCUUCACACACUCUUGAUCAAGACAGUGUGAAGCAAAACCAAUUUAUGGUGCCAACAAGAGCUUCAUCAAAUGAGUUCAACCACAAUCCUUAAAAGCUUCACACACUCUUGAUCAAGACAAUGUGAAGCAAAACCAAUUUAUGGUGCCAACAAAAGCUUCAUCAAUGAAGGGCAACUACAACUUAUAGAAAGCUUCACACACUUUUGAUCAAGACUGUUCGAAGCAAAUUCAAUUUAUAUGGUUCAUCCAAACCUUCGACUACUACAAGGUGUGGCUUGCAUCACAAUCUCUUACUCAACAGUGUGACCUUCGACUACUACAAGGUGUGGCUUGCAUCACAAUCUCUUACUCAACAGUGUGGAAGCAAAAUUUGUAUAUGUUGUCUCUCCCACAUUUUCAAAUUUAUAGUUUCCAUGAAAAAUAAAAAAAAUAAAUUGGGAAAUUCAACAAAGCUUCAUCAAUGGAGGACAACUACAAAUUCUCAAAAGCUUCACACUAUCUUGAUCAAGAUAGUGUGAAGGAAAAUCAAUUUGUGGUACCCAGCAAAAGCUUCAUCAAUGUAGGACAACUACAAAUUCUCAAAAGCUUCACACUAUCUUGAUCAAGAUAGUGUGAAGCAAAAUCAAUUCAUGGUACCCAACAAAAGCUUCAACUUCAAAGCUUCACCUACAAAGCUUCAACUUCAAAGCUUCACCUACAAAGCUUCAACUCCAAAGCUUCACCUACAAAAGCUUCACCCACAAUAGUUUCACCUACAAAAGCUUCACCCAUAAAAGCUUCACCCACCACAAAAGCUUCACCUACAAAAGCUUCACCCAUAAAAGCUUCACCAACAAAAGCUUCACCCACCACAAAAGUUUCACCCACAAAAGCUUCACCCACAAAAGCUUCACCAACAAAAGCUUCACCCACAAAAGCUUCCCCCACCACAAAAGCUUCCCCCACCACAAAAGCUUCACCAAUAAAAGCUUCACCCACCAUAAAAGCUUAACCCACAAAAGCUUCACCCACAAAGUUUUAACACAAAAGCUUCACCUACAAAAGCUUCCCACUAUCUUGAUCAAGAUAGUGUGAAGCAAAAUCAAUUCAUGGUACCCAACAAAACUUCAACCUCAAAGAUUCACCUACAAAGCUUCACCUAUAAAGCUUAAUAUAUAUAUAUUUUCGGAAAUUCAAAAAUUCAAAAAUUCGGAAAUUCAAAAAUUCAAAAAAAUUCGGAAAUUCGAAAAUUCAAAAAUUCAAAAAUUUAAAAAAAAAAAAAAAUUGCCUAGGCCUCAUCUUCUUUGGGCCUAACAACUUUCAUAACAAAUAUAUAUGAAGGAGGAGUUUUGGGCUACCACUUAGAAAGGAAAAUGGUGAAGUUUUGUUACUUUGGAAACUUGGCUACUAGCAAGACACCUCCUUCAUCAACUCCCUCGACCAGAGACUUGGGGGACUCCUACCAUAUGCUAUUGCACCUUGAUACUCUUAAGUCUCACGACCACUUAGUGACUUGGAUUUUUUCAACUCUCCAACCGAGAAGUUUUCCUCACUCGGGAAAUUAAGAGAGCACUACCUCAACCUACAUGCUUCACUCACAAAGCUUCAACAUACAAGAUUCAACAAAAGGAAAAAUUCAAAGAAUUUAGUGAAGAAGGCCUUAGUGUAUUUAACACAAUACGUUGAAAUGAAGCAAAGCUUGUUUAUUGAUAUCUCCGAUAAGUUACAAAUAUAUACAUAUACAUGAAUCAAAAUAAACAAACAAGAGGGAGCCUUCACAAAGGUUGCUCAGGAGAAGUCUCACCAAUCGGCAGAGCCCUAGAAAGAGGAGGCACCAGAGGGUGAUUAUUUAGAGCCUCAGUACUAUGCAGAACCCCAAAAGGAUGAGGCGUCGAAGGUUGAUCAUUUGGAGCUUUAUUACGCGGUACAGCCCAGAAGACGAAGGCAAUAAAUGCCUUUGGAACAAACCCACAAACCUCUGAUGAUCAAGUAAUAUCUGACCAUCAGAUUGCUGCGGCUGGUCGAGCUUCCUCUUCAUGUUUGUAGCAUAGUCAUGUGCGAGCCUGUGCAACUAUUUAUUCUCAUGCUUGAGCCCUCUGAUCUCUUGUUUGAGACUUAUCACUUCAACCGCCAAUGAUUUAGUUUGAGACUUAUCACUUCAGCCGCCAAUGAUUCAACUUGGCGGGUUCGAGCAAAUAGGCGUUGGGCCAUAUUAGACAAAGAACCUGUACACUGAACACCAAGACCCAGAGAAUCGUUAACAGCCAACUCAUCAGACCGUUUGGAAAGUAGUCUAUUAUCUUUGGGAGUGAGAAGGUUCCUGGUCACCACCGCAGCUGUCAUAUCAUUCUUCAUGACAGAGUCCCCAACAGUAAAAGGACCAGUAGGGGAUAAGAAUGAUGGAUGCCAUAUGUUGUCUUGAGAAGGCAUGGUUGCCUCUUCACCAAAGUUCAAGUUAAAACGAUGGUCGGAUGGGCCAGACAUUCUCAGAAAUGAUGAAGGAGAAAUGAGGUGCAAUAAAUCGUUGAAGUAAGGGGAAAAUUCCUACAAGCAAUAACUUUCUGAAUGUACUUCUUACACACAAUUGGUGCUUUUAUAAAAGAAAGGGCAGCAAGACCGUUGGUUCAAAAAUCGAAGAGACACCACUAUCCGGAUUCCGAAGAGGCACCACUUUCCACAUGUAACAACAGCUCUUCGGGUACCACAGAUAACUUUGCCAAAGAUCUCUGACAAAGUUUAGACACAUAAAUUUUGAAGGUCCAGCUACCCUACUAUUACCUACAAGGGUAAAGGAACAGCACCAUUGCUUGAUAACUAGAAAGUCCUAAUGUGUGUCAACCUCCGUGCUCCGUGGCAAGGCAGACUGGCAAAAAUGCCCAACCUUUACUCACAUUCGAGAAAACACUCCCAACAAGAUUGCUUGAACAAAAAUCGAAAAUGCAUCGCCCUCUGAAUCUUAAGAGCUAGACUCCUAAUAUAAUUACUUUCUCAAAAAUCGAAGAGACACUGCUCUCUGAAUCUCAAGAGUCAGACUCCCAACAGGAUUGCUUUCUCAAAAAUCGAAGAGGCACUGCUAUUUGAAUCUCGAGAGCCAGACUUCCAAUAGAAUUACGUGCUCGAAAAUCGAAGAGGCACCGUCCUCCGAAUCUCGAGAGCCAGACUCCCAACAGGAUUACUUUCUCAAAAAUCGAAGAGACACUGCACUCUGAAUCUCAAGAGUCAGACCCCUAACAGGAUUGCUUUCUCAAAAAUUGAAGAGGCACCGUUCUCUGAAUCUCGAGAGCCAGAUCCCUGAUAGGAUUGCUUGUUCGAAAACUGAAGAGGCACCGCUCUCCGAACUUCGAGAGCCUGAUUUUCUUGGAUAAAGCUUGUCUGUAAUCUUCACAAUCAACAUCGGCUUUCCAGAUACCACAUACCACUUUUUCAAAGUACUCUGACAAAGUUAAAACACGUGAAGUUUGCAGCUCCCACUACAUUGCUAUGACCAAGAAGGGUAAAGGAAUAGCAUUACUACUUGUUGUUAGGGAGACUCCUAUAUAUGUCGACCUCCAUCCUCCACAGCCAGGCAUACCUGCAAAUAAAAAAAAAUGCUCAACUUUUCUUCACAUCCGAGAGGGCACUCUCAGCAGAGUUUCUCGAAAUACUCAGCUUCUUUUCCCCCCGAUAAUACCUCUGCAAACAAGCCACACCAGAGUAAGAGUAUCUCAUAUCAUCAGGGUUAAAAGCAAGAGUAUCCCAUAUCAUGCUUUUUCCAUGUCUUUUCCUUUGGCCUUGUUCUUACUUGCAAGAAAGGAGAAAGGGAACAAUCAGUCAGCACUUGGAAUCAAGCUUCCAAUCAGGAACUGACUGCCCGAAACCCCUUGCCUGAUUACUUACCUGACAUUGCUCUCGAGUACUCAUCUUCAACAUUUUAUGCUUCCAGAAAAGAUACCACAUCUGCUUGAGGAACAGAUAGGGCAAGUGAGAAGGAUACAAGGAAGCAUGUAUAGACAAGCGCAACAGAACACGUGUCGAUACAUCCACUACUUUGUCAACAGCAAAAGUAUCCCAUAUCAUCAGGGUUGAACAUACUCUAGAUUUGAUGGACUUGUUUUGACCCUCAAAUUCUUGAGUCGGCCUUAUACUCUGGAGGAAACCAGAAAACCCUCCAGCCUAGUUCAAGAAUACGCCUAUGGAAAGUUACUUCUUCAAAAGCAAAACUAUCUCAUAUCAUCUCUUCUCCAUUUGCUUCUCCUUAUCCUUGUUGCUGUUUACGACACAAGGAGAAUGAGAACAAUCAACCGGAAGCCAAAGUCGAACCUCUGAUCCAGGUUGCUUGCUUGGAAGUCUGAUUGCUUACCUUGUCUAUUACCUCCUUCGGCAAAUCUCCUAGCUCGGCGACUUGGGGGACUCCUACUAUAGGGUUUUGUAUCACACUUGACCAAGACCGAAACUACAAGUAAGCUUCAAGUGAAAUUGAUACAUUACCUUAUGCAUGUUCAUCGGUUAAAGAUACCACCCCUGGAUGGAGGAAAAGUACUUCCAAAAAAGAUGCCACAUCUAUGUAUGAGACAUAUAAGGCAAGUGAAAAUGAUACCACACUUCGGUAGUUAGAAGUUUCGUGAUUACUCAAUGGCUUGGAUCUUGCAAGUCCCCAACCGAAGAGCUUCCCUCACUUGGGAACUUAGGGGAGCACUGUUUGUACCAUACUUGACCAAUCCCGAAACUACUGAGCACCGGUCAACGUUAUACCAUCAAGGACCCAGAAGAGUUUCCCUUCAACUAGGAGGCUAAUCAUAGCGCGACACGUGUCAACAUCAGAAGCCAAUCACAACACGAUACGUGUCAAAGUCAGAAUGAAACUAGAAACUCUCUUCUAUAAAUAGAGAUCAUUCUCUCACAAUAUUUCCUAAUGUCAUUUGUACUAAAUCAUUCACUAGUACUCACUAAAGGAGAGCUUGAACCUAUGUACUUUUGUAAACCUUUCACAAUUAAUGAGAACUCCUCUACUCCGUGGACGUAGCCAAUCUAGGUGAACCACGUACAUCUUGUGUUUGCUUCCCUAUUCCUAUCCAUUUACAUACUUAUUCACACUAGUGAUUGGAGCAAUCUAGUGAAGGUCACAAACUUAACAUGACUCGGUACACUAGGUGUUAUGAAGAAAAAGUGGAAGAGUUGUGUUUUGGUUUUGCGACUUAUGGGAGGCGCCGGCCGGCUGAGGGGCGUGUGUUUUGGAGUGGAAGUGACUGUGAAGCAGAAAUGACAUGUAGAGGUGUGCAGUUGGUGUUGGUCUGUUUAGGAUGAACUAAUUUAGUUAUUUUAUGUUGUCCAAAGGGGGAGUUGCGAUCAUGAGACAAUGUAGCAGUCGACCAAAUGUACGUAGCAGCAGCAUACCACAUGUUUGCCUGAACUUAUUUAAUUUUGUUUGUUUGUUACCCCCGCUCCUAAGAGGUGGGUUAACUUGAGCGGUUUAAAGCAUAUUCAAAGUGAGGUUACAAGAGUAGUGAACAAAUUUCAAACACCAUACUUCACUUAACCAACCUCGAUCAUCCAUCAAUCACUUUAUAACAUAUUAGUGUAAAAUAUUACCUAUAAAAGGGAAAAAAAUGAAAAGUAUGAUUUGUACUUUAGAUUUAACAUUGUAGUUUCUAUUAAAAAUUUAACCAAAUUUAGUAGUGUGAUUGUCAUGUGGAAGGGGUAAAAGGUGAUAAGUAUAGCGAAUUAUUCACACUUUUAUUUUUUUUAUAUAAUGAUAUAUUACCCUAAUAGACAGUAAUAAAUUAGUUUUAAAAUUGGUCAUGAGAUUUGAAUUUAAAUACAAAUGAAACAAAAUAUCAUUAGACUGUAACAUUACAUGGAAAAUAUAGUUUCACACCUAAACCCUUUUAAUGAUUUUUUUUUUAUCAGACGCACGAAUAUUGAGCAAAUUAUAUGAGAAAUUCGAUGUUGAUAACAAGGUUUUUUUUUUUUGUUUUGUUUUGUUUUUUUGUUUUGUUUUUUUGUGUUGGAUGUUAAUAACAAGUUUAAUCACUCAACAAAUUUAUUGUGAAGCGUUUUAUUUAAGGAAAACUAACAAAAAUUCCAAAAAAAAAAACUUUAGUUUUAAUGAAAAAUAACAAAUAAAUGUGUAGUGAAUGGUACAAAGGAAAGGGAAAAAUGUGGUUUUUCGUUAAAACUCUCUUUUCUUUAACCGCAUAGCUAACAUUACCAUAUGAUUCCCGUCGCGUGAAUUCCCGAAAGAGAGUGAAGGAUAAUUGAAGAUUAGUAGUGCUAUUUGAGGAGAAAUUUUUAGUAUAUUGUGAAUACGGCUUCACGAUCUGGUACGUUAAAUUUCAAAAUAAAAGUGGUAUGAAAUUUUUUUUUAGGUAUCCAACCACUUGUAUCAUAACACCUAGUGUACCGAGUCAUGUUCUCAGUACAACAAAUCUCUUCUAUUAGGAUUGAUAUACAUUCCUCUUGAUCUCAUACUUAGUGUCUUCUUUAACCGCUUAGCUGACAUUACCAUAUGAUUUUCAUCACGUGUAUUCCCAAGAUAGAGUAAAGGAUAAUUGAAGAUUAGUAGUGCUAUUUGAGGAGAAAUUUUCAAUGUAUUGCGAAUACGCUUUGGUGCACAUUUGAUGUGACAGCCCGUCCCGAAAUAUUUUAUCGAUGGUGUGAAAUAACCAUUUUGCCCUUGAACGUUUGGUGGUGGUGUGUAAAUAGGCCAAGGAUUUGGGCCAAUCCAUUUUCUCCCUAAUAUUUUGGACCCAAUUAGAAGUAAAAUUUUUUGUUGGUUUUAUUUUGUUGCCAUUUGGACCACACACACACCCAAACUCCCAUUGACCCUUUCUCUCUCUUCCCUCUCGGAUUUCAUCCAUUUUCAGUACAAUCGUACGAACAGCUUCCAAACCAACACUUCCAUCAUGGAUCGAGGUUCUAGUUGGCAUCUUUGGACUCCUAGUAAGCUCAGGAGUUGUUUUAUACCCUUAGUUGGUCGUGAGAACUUGUAGAACUUUAGUUACCCGAACUCCGGUGAGGGGUAAUUUUUCCUCCGACGUGAUCACGAAGGUUUUAAGUGGUUUUGAGACUUAAGAAGGUAAUAUUUUUACUUUACCAGCACGUUGGAUUGAUUUUGGAGUGGUUUUGACGUUAGCACGUUUGGUUUAUACAGUUGCAGGGUUUGGCUGAUUUCCUCGAUUUUUUCCGAUGACAUUCCGUUGGUUUUAGGACCUUAAAGUGGUAAGAAUGUGUUCUUCUCAUCCUAAGCUUCAUUUUGGUACAAAUUUCAUGAAUUUUGGAUGAGAAAUGAAGAAGAUAUGAAGAUUUAAAAUUUUAUAGUUUUCGACGACACAGAUAGCGGCAGGCGGCGGUUUCUGCGAGGAUCAUCAGAAAAGACAAAGAAUAUUCCGUCAAAAUUAACGGAAUAUUCUUGACGGCGCAAGGUAACUUCGUAAGCUUCUGUUAGUAUUUAACGGAAUAUUCCUGACGAUGUAAGGCUAGUUGACGACACUGGCUUGCGCAUGCGGAAGCGUCUGGCCGUGCUAUUACCGGCGCGUGGGGAUAGAGAAUUUUUUUUAUAAAAAUAUGGGGUUGUUCGUGGGGUUGAGUAGAUCACAUUGGUAUAUUAAAACAUCCCAAUUGAGCAAUGUAUGAGAAGUUAUUACGUAGUUUUGUUUAUGUGUUUUAAAAUAACGUUUAUAUAGUUGUUUCGCAUAUAGGUGAGACCUAUCCAGAGGACGAGCGUAAUCAAGCGAGACUCGGAGGCUACGACCCUUCUGCAUAUCAGUGAGUGGGCUUUUGGUUUUCAGUAUAUACUUAUAUACUUGGUAUUUUUCCCAGAAAAUGUGUUUAAAUGAAAUUAUUGAAAUGCCAUGCCUAUUGAUUUAUGCUUAGACUAUGAAUUAGUAUAGUAUGCAUAAAUGUGAUUUGACGCUGUGGAUGCUCAGGUAAGUACCAGGUGAGUUGUAGAUUGUUUAUGUGAAUUGAUGAUUAGGUGGAUGUGUUGAGAACUCAUAAACCUGCACCUCGGUGUUAGUGCUCCCGCCUGUGGUUAGGGCACAGUCAUUCACGUGAUGUUCACCUCCUGCACCAUAUGCUCACCUUGGAUCCAAGUUAGGUGCACAGUCCUGUCGUACAGACCACUAUAGGUGGUUUCGACUCGUAGGUGACCAACGAUUAUUCGCACAAUUUUCACGUGAUCGUAGCACUAGAGCAUAUUUAUUUACACCUAGUCCUGUCGUGUGCAGGCAUACUUGUUGAGCUAUAGAUUCAGCCGUACAUGCCACUUUAAGUGGAUCUGGCUGAUAUGUUAUUUCUCAUGAGUUAAUUCACCUGAGUUACUUAUUCAGUUAUUUUGAGAUAUUUGGCAUGGCAUACUUUUGAAUAUUACUAUUUUGAGCAUGGUUUUGAGAUAUGUAUAUAUGCUAUUUUAUGGGAAUUAUACAGGUUUUAUGGCAAGGGGUUAUUACUUUUGAUAAUGAAUGGUUUUAAAAAGCUUUGUUUUUGCCCACUCACACUUUCUAUUUUGCGACCCUCGAGGUUUUAGGUAGGAGUGCUUGUUGGUGGCUUACGAGGUUUUGAUGGAGGUUCUGACAGAUUAUCACCAAUGUAGGAUCACCUUUGGGUGUUGUAUAAUUAGUAUUUGUCUUGCUAGACUGUACUUAGGCUACUUAUGCUCUGGUUGUGUAAUCAUACUUAAUAUCGCACUUGCACCUUAUCUUAUCAAGUACUUUAGUUGGUUUUGUUUUUGUUUGUUUGCAUUUUUUUUUUCAUAUUAAUAUUGCUUUCGCACGGGGCACAUGGCUACAUCACCUUCACGUGACGGCCAAUAUGCCUCGAUGUAGGUCGGGGUGUGUCAGUUUGGUAUUAGAGCCUAGGUUUGGCAAUCCUACAUAUCUUGUGAAUGUUCUAAUUAUCUUGGUGUCUUCUAUCAGAACUAUGCCGCCUCGUAGAGAGCCACGUCCUUUAGCUGAGUCUGGUUUCCCUAAUAUAGCUCAAUUAGGGGAAGCUAUAGCUAAUGUUAUUUAGUCAUCAUUUUUCCUUCCCCAGAAGACUCCCCUGGAGACUGUGUAUAAUUUGAAGUUAAGUAAUUUUAUAGGUAAUGAAGGACAUGAGGGAGCAGAGAAAUGGCUUAAUUAUCUUGAGAAGAUUUUCCGUUUGAUGCAUGGAUAGGGAAAUCUCCAGGAGGAUAGGUGGGUUGAGACGACUACAUGGUUUUUAGGUAAGUAGCCUGCAUCCUGGUGGAGAUAAGAGUCUUAUCAAUUGUCACAAGAGGAAGCUGCUGAUUGGGAAGUUUUUAAGCAGUUAUUUCAGAAGAGAUUCAUUCCUCUAGAAUAUAUAGAUCGCAAGAAGAAAGAAUUCACGCACCUAAAAUAGGGAAAAAUGAUAGCUAAUGAGUACUACAUGAGGUUUACUGAUUUAUCUCGCUGUCACCCGGAGGUUGCUGCUAGUCCGGUUAAGAUGCUUUGUCGUUUUAGGUUGGGUACUCGAAAGAAACGGCGUUCUAUGACGACCACAUCUUCCUGUGCUACUUACCAAGAGUUUUAUGAGAUUUUGCUACAAAUUGAAAAUUCAAAGAAUAUGCCUAGUGAGAAUGAAGAUGAGGAAAAGGAUGGAAAUCAGAAGAAAGAUGAUAAAGGUAAAGGUCAAUCAUCUUUGGAACCUCACAAGACUCAGAGCUUUAAGAGAGGUGGAGCUAGUUCUAGUUCUUCCAAUGGGAGUUGGGGUUCCACUGGUCAGAGGAGAGGUGGUAGAUUUUCUGGAGGUCCUCAUUUUCAGAGGCAAAAAGAUUCUAGUGCCACAUGUGCACUUUUAUGUCGUAGGUGUAAUAAUUGGCACUUUGGGGAGUGUAAGCGAGGCAGUAGCGGAUGCUAUACUUGUGGUGAAAUGGGGCAUAUGGCUAUGCAUUGUCCUCAGAAUCAGCAGAGGCCCCAGUAGCCUUCCUUACCACCACCAGUGCUGAUCCAACAAGUUUAAAGAUCUAGCAGUUAUGGUCAAACGGGUUGCGAAGAUGCUUAUCAUUACCAGGGUGAUGUAGCUCCUUAUUUUGCAGGGCAAUAUCAUUACCCACAUGACCCGUAUCAGUAUAGUGGUUAUCCUCAGUAUUCUGGAGGUUAUAUGCCAUAUCCGUCGUAUUCAGCUGGUGGAUCUCAAUGGUAUACUGGAGGACAGCCCCAACAUGUAGAGGUUGCUUCCAGUAGUGCAGGAUCUUCGAGGCAGCGUGGUCAGCCAAGUCAGGGGCGAGGUGUGCAUGGGCCAAGUAAUCAAGCUAACAGAGGUCGUGGAGGACGACAACAAGCCUAGGGACAUAUUCACCACAUGAGAUUGCAGGAUAUGAUUUAGAGUUUGCAAUUCCUAGAUGGGAGAGAUGUUAUGUUAGUUGUGUAUAUCUAGGAUGUCCUGUGUUAGUGGAGGAUGUAGUUAUGCCAGCUAAUAUCAUCCCGUUAGAGAUUGUUGAUUUUGAUGUUAUUUUGGGCACAUAUUGGUUACAUUAUAAUCGUGCCAAUAUAAAUUGCUAUGGGAAGACAGUUACUUUUCAUCGUCCUGGAUUAUCUUAGGUUACUUUUGUGGGCGAGCAUAGUGGGGUGAGGCAUGGUGUUAUUACUGCCAUAAGAGUUAAAAAGUUGUUAGAGAAAGGUUGUCAGGGAUAUUUGGCUCAUGUAGUGUUGAAUGAUAAUGUUCCUAGCAGUGUGGAGAAUGUGUGAGUAGUCAUGCAUUUUCCUGAUGUGUUCCUUGAUGAUUUACCUGGAUUGCCUCCAGACCGAGAUGUGGAGUUCAUUAUUGAUUUGCUUCCAGGUACUGAUCUUAUAUCAUUAACUCUUUAUCAAAUGGCUCCUGCUGAAUUGAGGGAACUAAAAAUACAGUUGCAGGAAUUAGUUGACAAAGGUUUUAUUUAGCCUAGUACUUCACCCUGGGGAGUUCCGGUGUUAUUUGUGAGGAAGAAAGAUGGAACUUUGAGGCUAUGCAUUGAUUAUAGGCAAUUGAAUCGGCUAACAAUUAAAAACCGUUAUCCAUUGCCGUAUAUAGAUGAUUUAUUUGAUCAGCUUCAAGGCACCUGUGUGUUUUCUAAGAUUGAUUUGAGGUCUGGUUAUUAUCAAUUGAAGAUUAAAAGUGAAGAUGUUCCUAAGACAGCUUUCAAGACUCAUUAUGGUCUUCUUAUGAUGCCAUUUGGGCUAACUAAUGCACCUGCAACUUUUAUGGAUUUGAUGAAUCGAGUAUUCCAGCCAUAUUUAGACAUGUUUGUUAUUGUUUUUAUUGAUGAUAUUCUGGUAUACUCUAAGUCUAAAUCAGAACAUGUUCGACAUCUUACUUGGGUGCUGAAGAGAUUAAGGGAACAUCAGUUGUACGCUAAAUUUAGUAAAUGCCAAUUUUGGCUGGACUAAGUGGCAUUUAUGGGACAUGUCAUAUCUGUUCAAGGUAUUCAGGUGGAUCCUCAAAAAGUGGCGGCUGUUGAGAAUUGGAAGCAACCACGAACCAUCACUGAGGUACGAAGUUUUCUUGGUUUAGCAGGUUAUUAUUGACGGUUUGUUAAAGAUUUUUCAGUUAUUGCUUUACCACUGACGAGGUUAACUAGGAAGGAUAUUAAAUUUGAGUGGCAUGAUUACUGGGAGCGGAGUUUCCAGUAGUUGAAAUAUUGUCUCACUCAUGCACCUGUUUUGGCGCUUCCAGAUGAUAGUGGUAAUUUUGAGAUCUACAGUGAUGCUUCCUUAAAUGGUCUGGGAUGUGUGUUGAUGCAGCAUGGUAAGGUGAUUGCUUAUGCAUCGCGACAGUUGAAGCCUCAUGAGAUGAAUUAUCCUACUUAUGAUAUUGAGUUAGUAGCUAUCAUCUUUGCUUUGAAGAUGUGGAGACAUUAUCUUUAUGGCGAAAAAUGUAAGAUCUUUACGGAUCAUAAAAGUUUUCAAUAUCUUUUUACUCAAAGGGAUCUUAAUCUUCGAUAACGAAGGUGGAUUGAAUUGCUCAGUGAUUAUGAUUGCACGAUUGAGUAUCACCCUGGUCGUGCAAAUGUAGUGGCGGAUGCACUUAUUAGGAAGCCUCAAGGGAGAAUUAAUGCUUUGUACGCUUGUCAUGUUCCUCUUCUUGCAGAUUUGAGGUCCACUGGAGUGAAGUUAGGGGUGGAAAAACAAGAGGAAGCUUUACUUGCUAAUUUUCAGGUCAGGCCAAUAUUAAUUGAUCAAGUACUCGAGGCUCAAAUGAAUGAUGAAGAAAUCUAGGAGUUAAUUGAGGCAAGAAAUCAAGGGAAAAAGAAAGAUCUUAGAAUUCGGGAGACUGACGGCAUGCUUAUGCAGGACAACAAAAUGUAAGUGCCGAAUAAUGUGGAAUUAAAGAAAGAAAUUUUGGAUGAAGCGCACUGUUCGGCUUAUGCAAUGCAUCCUGGAAGUACUACAAUUUAUCAUACCAUUUGACCAUUUUAUUAUUGGCUAGGUAUGAAAAGAGAAAUUGCUGAGUAUGUGAGUAGGUGUGUUAUUUGUCAGCAUGUCAAAGCUAAAAGGAAAAAGCCAUUUGGAUUGAUCACUUCCCAUUCCACAAUGGAAAUGGGAAAUCAUUACCAUGGACUUUGUGUAUAAGCUUCCUCUUACACGAAAUGGUUAUGAUGGAAUUUGGGUGAUAGUUGAUCGGCUUACUAAGUCAAUGCAUUUUAUUCCAGUGAGGGAGAAAUAUUCUAUAAGCUAAUUAGUUGAAUUGUUCAUAUCGAAAAUCAUUAAGUAUCAUGGAGUUCAAGUUAGUAUUAUCUCGGAUCGGGAUCCUAUAUUCACUUCUAAAUUCUGGGUGGCAUUUCAGAAGGUUCUUGGUUGAAGGUUACUUUAUAGUACGAUAUAUCAUCCCCAGACAUACGGACAAUCUGAGAUGACUAUUCAGACACUGGAGGAUAUGCUAAGAUCUUCUGUCUUACAGUUUCAUAACGCCUGGCAUUAGCGGUUAGAUUUGAUGGAAUUUGUAUAUAAUAAUAGCUACCAUUGGAGCAUUGAUAUGUCACAUUUUGAGGUACUUUAUAGCAAAUCUUAUCGUACACCUUUAUGUUAGUUAGAGGUUGGUGAAAGACUUUUGGUGGGCCUCGAGAUUAUGGAUGAGACUACUCAGAAUGUUCAAGUAAUUAAGUCUAACCUAAAAACGGCCCAGGAUCGACAUAAAAGUUUAGCAGACAAGCAUGCCACUGACCGGUUGUAUAAAAUUGGUGAUUGGGUGUUUCUGAAGUUGUCACCAUGGAGAGGUGUUGUACGGUUCGGGAAGAAAGGUAAGCUAAGUCCUAGGUACAUCGGACCACAUCAGAUUACCGAGCGAGUCGUUGAAGUUGCUUACAGGCUUAAGUUGCCUCCAGAGUUGUCUAAAGUGCACGAUGUGUUCCAUGUUUCCAUGCUUCGUCAAUAUGUUUAUGAUCCAUUGCAUGUAAUACCUCAUCAACCAUUGAAAAUUAAUCUAGAUUUGACUUAUGAUAAGGGGCCAGUGACGAUUUUGCAUUGGAAAGAUAAGGUUUUGAGGAAUAAGACCGUGCACUUGGUGAAAGUUUUGUGGAUAAACCACUCAGUGGAGGAAGCUACCCGGGAGAUGGAAGAGCUUACGAAAGAGAUGUAUCCACGCUUGUUCUAUGAUUAUUAAUGUGUGAAAUUUCGAGGAUGAAAUUUUUUUAAAGGGGUAGGUUGUGAAGGUUGUGACAGCCCGUCCCGAAAUAUUUUAUCGAUGGUGUGAAAUAACCAUUUUGCCUUUGAACGUUUGGUGGUGGUGUGUAAAUAGGCCAAGGAUUUGAGCCAAUCCAUUUUCUCCCUAAUAUUUUGGACCCAAUUAGAAGUAAAAUUUUUUGUUGGUUUUGUUUUGUUGCCAUUUGGACCACACACACACACCCAAACUCCCGUUGACCCUCUCUCUCUUUUCCCUCUCGGAUUUCAUCCAUUUUCCGUACAAUCAUACAGACAGCUUCCAAACCAACACUUCCAGUCACGGAUCGAGGUUGUAGUUGUCAUCUUUGGACUCCUAGUAAGCUCAGGAGUUGUUUUAUACCCUUAGUUGGUCGUGAGAACUUGUAGAACUUGAGUUACCCGAACUCUGGUGAGGGGUGAUUUUUCCUCUGACAUGAUCGCAAAGGUUUUAAGUGGUUUUGAGACUUAAGAAGGUAAUAUUUUUACUUAACUAGCACGUUGGAUCGAUUUUGGAGUGGUUUUGAUGUUAGAACGUUUGGGUUUAUAUAGUUGCAGGGUUUGGCUGGUUUCCUUGAAUUUUUCCAGCGAGAUUUCGUUGGUUUUAGGACCUUAAAGUGGUAAGAAUGUGUUCUUUCUCAUCCUAAGCUUCAUUUUGGUACAAAUUUCAUGAAUUUUGGAUGAGAAAUGAAGAAGAUAUGAAGAUUUGAAAAUUUUCCAGUUUCCGGCGACAAAGACGGCGACCGGUGGCGGCUCCGACGAGGAUCACCAGAGAAGUCUCCCUCAAAGUUAACGGAAUAUUCUUGACGGCAUAAUGUAACGCCGUAAGCUUUUGUUAGUAUUUAACGGAAUAUUCUGUGGAAUAUUCCUGACGGCACUGGCAUGCGCGUGGGGGUGGGUCUGGCUGUGCCAUUGCCAGCGCGUGGGGACCGAGAAAUUUUUUUAUAAAAAUAUAGGGUUGUUCGUGGGGUUGAGUAAAUCAUGUUGGUAUAUUCAAACACCCCAAUUGAGGAAUGUAUGAGAAGUUAUUACCUAGUUUUGUUUAUGUGCUUUAAAUAACGUUUAUAUAGUUGUUUCGCAUAUAGGUGAAACCUAUCCAAAGGACGAGCGUAAUCAAGUGAGACUCGGGGGGCUACGACCCUUCUACAUAUCAGUGAAUGGGCUUUUGGUUUUUAGUGUAUACUUAUAUACUUGGUAUUUUCCCCAGAAAAUGUGUUUAAAUGAAAUUAUGUUUUGAAAUGCCAUGCCUAUUGAUUUAUGCUUAGACUAUGAAUUAGUAUAGUAUGCAUAAAUGUGAUUUGACGCUGUGGAUGCUUAGGUAAGUACCAGGUGAGUUGUAGAUUGUUUAUGUAAAUGGAUGAUUAGGUGGAAUGUGUUGAGAGCUCACAAACCUGCACCCCGGUGUUAGUGCUCCCGCCCAUGGUUAGGGCAUAGUCCUUCAUGUGAUGUUCAUCUCCUGCACCAUACACUCACCUUGGAUCCAAGUUUGGUGCAUAGUCCUGUCGUAUAGACCAGUAUAGGUGGUUCCGACUCAUAGGUGACCCGCGAUUAUUCGCACAGUCUUCACGUGAUUGUAGCACUUAAGCGUAUUUAUUUACACCCAGUCUUGUCGUACAGACCAUUUUAUGUGGUUCCGACUCGUGUGCAGGCAUACUUGUUGAGCUAUAGAUUCAGCCGUACAUGCCACUUUAAGUGGAUCAGGCUAAUAUGUUAUUUCUUAUGAGUUAAUUCACCUGAGUUACUUAUUCAGUUAUUUUGAGAUAUUUGGCAUACUUUUGAAUAUUACUAUUCUGAGCAUGGUUUUGAGAUAUGUAUAUAUGCUAUUUUAUGGGAAUUAUACAGGUUUUACGGUGAGGGGUUAUUACUUUUGAUAAUGAACGGUUUUGAAAAGCUUUGUUUUUGCACACUCACACUUUCUGUUUCACGCCCCUCCAGGUUUUAGGUACGAGUGCUUGUUGGUGGCUUACAAGGUUUUGACAGAGGGUCUGACAGAUUAUCACUAAUGUAGGAUCACCUUUGGAUAUUGUAUAAUUAGUAUUAGUCCUGCUGGACUGCACUUAGGCUAUUUAUGUUCUGGUUUUGCAAUCACACUUAAUAUCGCACUUGCACCUUAUCUUAUCUAGUACUCUAGUUGGUUUGGUUUUUGUUUGUUUGCAAUUUUUUUUUAUAUUAAUAUUGCUUCCGCACGGGGCACAUGGCUAUGUCACCCUCACAUGACGGCCAACAUGCCUCGAUCUAGGUCAGGGUGUGUCAUUUGAGACAUGAUUAGGUACCGCAAAUUUCAAAAUAAAAGUGGUUGGAAGUUUUUUUUUUCCAAGUAUCCAACCACUUGUACUAUGACACCUAGUGUACCGAGUCAUGUUCUCGGUAAAAAAAAAAAAUCUCCUAUUUGCGAUACAUUUACUUUCACAAUAAUGGCAUAUUCAAAUUGUUGUUGAGGAUGGAUAUACAUUUUAAUUCCACAAUAAGCGUAUUUAGUUACUUGAAAUAUGAGAGACUACGAAUUAGAUGAUAUAAGAAUGUUACCUACUUGUUUACUUGUGCCAUAAACGACUUCCUCUUGGUCUCAUACUUGGUUGGUUGUUCAGGUACAAAUGUAACUUGCAUAUUUUCACUAUGCGAACGUUUUUAUUCAUCUAGAAUCAUCCGUUCAUGGUUAUGAUGGUAUACAAGUUUACAACUUAAAAAGUAAAAUUGUUAAGUCAUAUUCUAAAACCCAAGCGUCUAGCGAGCCAUUUGGAUUGCUCCUAAUCUAGAGGUUUGUUGCGUCUAUCAUUUUUGUGGCAAAGCUACAUUGGUGGUGGCUUUUGUGUUUGUGGUGUGUGAAGUCUAGACUUAGUUGUUUUUGGCUUUUCUUGUCAAUCUUGUAAAUAAGUACAACACAUGCUCUUUAGAUUAGUUUUCCUUAGAUGAGACUUUAGGAUACUUGGUUUAUAAAGUCGGGGUUAUGGAACAUCAAAGUGCAAAUGGUGUUGCUUCAUGACAAGUAAGGUUUGUACAUGCAUAUGCAUUUCAUGUUUAAAGUUUUUAUGCAUUAUGACAAGUAAAGUUGACCCGUCAGAAUUGCAAGCUACUUUUAUGCGAGCUGGGCAUGUAAUUUAAGACAGCCUACAUGGGUUGACUGACACCUUUUAUAUGAGAUUUAGCUUUUCAUCAUUGAUUUGCUCAAAUUGUUUUUACAUUUGACAAGUGUCAUUUUGUACUUUAUUUACAACAAUCAAAGUUUUUGUUUAAUAGUGUUAGAGGAUUUCAUUUCCUCCUUGGCUGAGAUAGAUUAUAUUUUAAAGGAGUAUCUUUGUUUUUCCUCUCCAACUUAGAUCCCCUAGAAGCAUCAAACAUUUUUUUAGGUAAAGUUCUUCAUUGAAUAAUCACAAAACUAUCCAUGAAAAUAUUUGCUUAAAUCUUCUUAGAUGCUCGUUUGUUUUAGGGUAGAUAAAUUUCAUUUUCAAGAGAGUGCCAUAAGCUCUGUGAGCUUCCGCUUCUUGUUUCUGUGAAACCCUAGCAACAUACACCUUUUUCAUGCCUUAAACUUGUGGUAGCUCACCCACAUCAUAUUUGAAAAAGGUUUGCAUUGUUCAUGGUCUAGAUUUUAGUUUCAAAUCAAUAGAUCUUUAUUUGGAUUCUUAGUUAGUUUCUUAUUUCGACUGUUUAACUGGAGAAACUGACUUGUCAUUUGAAUCCACAUCUCAUAUCAUCAUCAUUAUAUCAUUUUGUAUUGGACGUGUUGCUCUCGGUGCCACAAGGAGAAGAGUUUAAGGUUGGAGUUGCCUUCUUGUAAAGACUGAAGACGGCUCCAUCUCAUGCAAAGUAAGGUUACACAAAAGUAAAGCUGCUUCAUAGAUUAGAUCUUGGAAAUGAGCUUGUUGUGGUACUUUGUAUGAACCUUGUUUACACUAGUGCAUUAGACUUAGUAAAGUCCCCAGCUUUUUAACUGAGAGGUGGGUCUUUUCGAUAAAAAAACUUCUUGUGUUCUCUGUUAGUUACCCUUGUUCGCAUAUCUUAUUUAUUAGCAUAUGUUACAUGCAUCCUAUAGGUCGUUAUAUGAUAUGUGUUUGAGACUAAGUUUACAUUGCAUAUUUCGAGAGACUCUGCUAAGAAUGCCCUCUCGGAUGUGAAGAAAAGUUGAGCAUUUUUUUUUAUUUGCAGGUCUGCUUGGCUGUGGAGGAUGGAGGUCGACAUAUAUAUGAGUUUCCCUAACAACAAGUUGUAGUGCUAUUCCUUUACCCUUCUUGGUCAUAGCAAUGUAGUGGGAGCUGCAAGCUUCACGUGUUUUAACUUUGUCAGAGCACUUUGAAAAAGUGGUCUGUGGUAUCUGGAAAGCUGAUGUUGCGUGUGAAGAUUGUAGACAAGUUUUAUCCAAGGAAAUUAGGCUCUCAAAGUUCGGAGAGCGGUGCCUCUUCGAUUUUCAAACAAGCAAUUCUGUCAGGGAUCUGGCUUUCAAGAUUCAGAGAACAGUGCCUCUUCGAUUUUUGAGAAAGCAAUCCUGUUGGGGGUCUGACUCUUGAGAUUCAGAGAGCAGUGUCUCUUCGAUUUUUGAGAAAGUAAUCCUGUUGGGAGUCUGGCUCUAGAGAUUCGGAGGGUGGUGUCUCUUCGAUUUUCGAGCACGUAAUCUUGUUGGGAGUUUGGCUCUAGAGAUUCGGAGAGCGGUGCCUCUUCGAUUAUUGAGAAACCAAUCAUGUUGGGAGUCUAACUCUUGAGAUUCGGAGAGUAGUGUUUAUUCGAUUUUUGAGAAAGUAAUCCUAUUGGGAGUCUGGCUCUCAAGAUUCGGAGGACGGUGCCUCUUCGAUUUGUGAGCACAUAAUCAUGUUGGGAGUCUAGCUCUCGAGAUUCGGAGAGCGGUGCCUUUUUGAUUUUUGAGCAAGCAAUCUUGUUGGGAGUGUUUUCUCGAAUGUGAGUAAAGGUUGGGCAUUUUUGCCAGUCUGCCUUGCCACGGAGCAUGGAGGUUGACACACAUUGGGACUUUCUAGUUAUCAAGCAGUGGUGCUGUUCCUUUACCCUUGUGGAUAAUAGUAGGGUAGCUGGACCUUCAAAAUUUAUGUGUCUAAACUUUGGCAGAGAUCUUUGGCAAAGUUAUAUGUGGUACCCGAGGAGCUGAUGUUGCGUGUGGAAAGUGGUGCCUCUUCGAAAUCCGGAGAGUGGUGCCUCUUCAAUUUUUGAACCAAUGACCCUGUUGCCCUUUCUUUUAUAAGGGCACCAAUUGUGUGCAAGGAGUACAUUAAGAGAGUUAUUGCUUGUAGGAAUUUUCCCUUUACUUCAGAGAUUUAUUGCACCUCAUUUCUCCUUCAUCAUUUAUGAGAAUAUCUGGUCCAUCCGACCGUUGUUUUGACUUGAACUUUGGUGAAGAGGUAGCCAUGCCUUCUCAAGACAACAUAUGACGUCCAUCUUUCUUAUCCCUUACUGGUUCUCUUAUCGUUGGAGACUCUGUGAUGAAGAAUGAUAUGACCGCUGCGGUGGUGGCUAGGAACCUUCUCACUCCCAAAGAUAACAGACUACUUUCCAAACGGUUUGAUAAAUUGGCUGUUAAGGAUUCUCUGGCUUUCAGUGUUCAGUGUGCAGGUUCUGUGUCUAAUAUGGCCUAACGCCUAUUUGCUCGAACCCGCCAAGUUGAAUCAUUGGCGGCUGAAGUGAUAAGUCUCAAACAGGAUAUCAGAGGGCUCAAGCAUGAGAAUAAACAGUUGCAUAGGCUCGCACAUGACUAUGCUACAAACAUGAAGAAGAAGCUCGACCAGCUGCAGGAAUCUGAUGGUCAGACUUUACUUGAUCAUCAGAGGUUUGUGGGUUUGUUCCAAAGGCAUUUAUUGGCCUUUCUGGGCUUCUGGUGGAUUUUUUUCCUGCUUCUGGGUUUUAGUGACUGAGCUCCAAAUAUGCUCUAAUGAUGACUUAAAGGGAACUUCGGUCAAGCUUUCUUGUCCCUUGGGUUUAUUUUGAUCGUGUAUGUACUUUGUAACUUAUCAGAGAUAUCAAUUCAAGCUUUGCUUCUGGUGCAAUGUAUCUUUUCUAGGGCUCUACAGCUGUUCUUGACUUUCUUUGAGCAACCUUUGUGUGAAGCCCUCUUUGUUUGUUUAUUUUGAUUCAUAUUGGCAUCAUUGUAAAUAUCAAUAUUCUAAUUUUUAAAGAUAUCAUUUGAUAAACAAGCUUGCUUCAUUUCAAUGUAUUGUGUUAAAUACACAAGGCAUUCUUCACUAAUUCUUUGUUUAAUUUUUCCUUUUGUUGAAGCUUGUAUGUUGAAGCUUUGUGAGUGAAGCAUGUAGGUUGAGUGCUAUUUAAUUUUCCUAAGUGAGGAAAACUUCUCGUUUGGAGACUUGAAAAAUCCAAGUCACUGAGUGGUCGUGAGACUUCCGAGUAUCAAGGUGCAGUAGCAUAUGGUAAGAGUCCCCCAAAUCUUCGAUCGAGGGAGUUGACGAAUGAGGCAUUUCCUUUUCUAAGUGGUAGCCCAAAACUCCUUCUUCUUUCAUACAUUUGUUAUGAAAGUUGUUAGGCCCAAAGAAGAUGAGGCCUAGGCAAUUUUUUUUUCGAAUUUUCGAAUUUUUGAAUUUCCGAAAAAAAAAAACAUAUAUAUAUAUAUAUAUAUAUUUUAAAGCUUUGUAGGUGAAACUUUGCUGUUGAAGCUUUGUUGGGUACCAUGAAUUGAUUUUGCUUUUUGCUUCACACUAACUUGAUCAAGAUAGUGUGAAGCUUUUGUGUUUUUGUAGGUGAAGCUUUUGUGGGUGAAGCUUUUGUGGGUGAAGCUUUUGUGGGUCAAGCUUUUGUGGGUCAAGCUUUUGUAGGUGAAGCUUUUGUGGGUAAAGCUUUUGUAGGUCAAGCUUUUGUGGGUCAAUCUUUUGUGGGUCAAGCUUUUGUAGGUGAAGCUUUUGUGUUGAAGCUUUUGUGGGUGAAGCUUUUGUGGUGAAGCUUUUGUAGGUGAAGAUUUGGAGUUGAAGCUUUGUAGGUGAAGCUUUGGAGUUGAAGCUUUUGUUGGGUACCAUGAAUUAAUUUUGCUUCACACUAUCUUGAUCAAAAUAGUGUGAAGCUUUUGAGAAAUUGUAGUUGUCCUUCAUUGAUCAAGCUUUUGUGGGUGAAGCUUUUGUGUUGAAGCUUUUGUAGGUGAAGCUUUGGAGUUGAAGCUUUGUAGGUGAAGCUUUGGAGUUGAAGCUUUUGUUGGGUACCAUGAAUUGAUUUUGCUUUACAUUAUCCACACUAUCUUGAUCAAGAUAGUGUGAAGCUUUUGAGAAUUUGUAGUUGUCCUCCAUUGAUGAAGCUUUUGUUGGUGAAGCUUUGGAGUUGAAGCUUUGUAGGUGAACCUUUGGAGUUGAAGCUUUGUAGGUGAAGCUUUGGAGUUGAAGCUUUGGAGUUGAAGCUUUUGUUGGGUACCAUGAAUUGAUUUUGCUUCACACUAUCUUGAUCAAGAUAGUGUGAAGCUUUUGAGAAUUUGUAGUUGUCUUCCAUUGAUGAAGCUUUUGUUAGGUACCAUGAAUUGAUUUUGCUUCACACUAUCUUGAUCAAGAUAGUGUGAAGCUUUUGAGAAUUUGUUGUUGUCCUCUAUUGAUGAAGCUUUUGUUGGUGAAACUUUGGAGUUGAAACUUUUGUUGGGUACCAUGAAUUGAUUUUGCUUCACACUAUCUUGAUUAAGAUAGUGUGAAGCUUUUGAGAAUUUGCAGUUGUCCUCCAUUGAUGAAGCUUUGUUGAAUUUCCCAAUAUUUUUUUUUUGGGAAACUAGAAAUUUGAAAAUGUGGGAGAGACAACAUAUACAAAUUUUGCUUCCACACUGUUGAGCAAGAGAUUGUGAUGCAAGCCACACCUUGUGGUAGUCGAAGGUUUGGAUGAACCAUAUAAAUUGAAUUUGCUUCAAACAGUCUUGAAUUUGCCUCGAAGGUUUGAGAAUUGUAGUUGCCCUCCAUUGAUAAAGCUUUUGUUGGCACCAUAAAUUGGUUUUGCUUCACACUAUCUUGAUCAAGAGUGUGUGAAGCUUUUGAGAAUUGUGGUUGAACUCCUUUGAUGAAGCUUUUGUUAGCACCAUAAACUUGUUUUGCUUCAUACUGUCUUGAUCAAGAGUGUGUGAAGCUUUUGAGAAUUGUGGUUGCCCUUCAUUGAUAAAGCUCUUAUUGGCACCAUAAAUUGGUUUUGCUUCAAACUGUCUUGAUCAAGAGUGUGUGAAGCUUUUGAGAAUUGUGGUUGAACUCCUUUGAUGAAGCUCUUGUUGGCACCAUAAAUUGGUUUUGCUUCACACUGUCUUGAUCAAGAGUGUGUGAAGCUUUUGAGAAUUGUGGUUGCCCUCCAUUGAUGAAGCUCUUACUGGCAACAUAAAUUGGUUUUGCUUCACACUGUCUUGAUCAAGAGUGUGUGAAGCUUUUGAGAAUUGUGGUUGCCCUCUAUUGAUGAAGCUCUUGUUGGCAUCAUAAAUUGGUUUUGCUUCACACUGUCUUGAUCAAGAAUGUGUGAAGCUUUUGAGAAUUAUGGUUGAACUCAUUUGAUGAAGCUCUUGUUGGCACCAUAAAUUGGUUUUGCUUCACACUGUCUUGAUCAAGAGUGUGUGAAGCUUUCUACGAGAUGUAGUGUUUGCAUUGUUACAGAAGGGAAAUGUUUGAAGCAGAUGCAAGAUGGCUGAAUAGCUUGAUCUUUGUAUGCCAUGCACUGAAGUUGUUGUUGGCUUGCAAUAAGACUUUGUUGGUGACUAUAACUCUUGUUAGGCAUAAGUGCUCCCCUAGUUGAGUUGUCAAGCUUGAGGGUUUUUGAUUAUUUGUGAAUGCUAAGAGUUCACAUGUACAAGUUGUACCACUCGUCUUCUGGUAGGUGGAAUGAAUGGUGAGUUACUUUCAUCACUUGGUUGAUGGUACGAAGGUGAGUUCCUUCUUCCCCUGGUUGGUGGCAUCAAUGGCAAGUUGCCAAAUGAUAUUAGAGUACGGGUUGUACAUUUCAUCACCUUGUUGGUGGCAUGAAGAUGAGUUCAUUCUUCACCUGGUUGGUGGCAUGAGUGGCAAGUUGCCAAAUGAUAUUAGAGUACGAGUUGUACAUUUCAUCACCUGGUUGGUGGCAUGAAGGAGAGUAUGGGUUGUACAUUUCAUCACCUGGUUGGUGGCAUGAAUGGCAAGUUGCCAAAGGAUAUUAGAGUACGGGUUGUACAUUUCAUCACCUGGUUGGUGGCAUGAAGGAGAAUACGGGUUGUACAUUUCAUCACCUCGUUGGUGGCAUGAAGAUAAGUUCCUUCUUCACCUGAUUGGUGGCAUGAGUAGCAAGUUGUCAAAUGAUAUUAGAGUACGGGUUGUACAUUUCAUCACCUGGUUGGUGGCGUGAAGGAGAGUACGGGUUGUACAUUUCAUCACCUGGUUGGUGGCAUGAAUGGCAAGUUGCUAAAUGAUAUUAGAGUACAAGUUGUACAUUUCAUCACCUGGUUGGUGGCAUGAAGGAGAGUACGAGUUGUACAUUUCAUCACCUAGUUGGUGGCAUGAAGAUGAGUUCAUUCUUCACCUGGUUGGUAGCAUAAGUGGCAAGUUGUCAAAUGAUAUUAGAGUACGGGUUGUACAUUUCAUCACCUGGUUGGUGGCAUGAAGGAGAGUACGGGUUGUACAUUUCAUCACCUGGUUGGUGGCAUGAAGAUGAGUUCCUUCUUCACCUGGUUGGUGGCAUGAGUGGCAAGUUGCCAAAUGAUAUUAGAGAACAGGUUAUACAUUUCAUCAUCUGGUUGGUGGCAUGAGUGGCAAGUUGCCAAAUGAUAUUAGAGAACGGGUUAUACAUUUCAUCUUUAUACAUUAAGGUUGCACGAUACCACCGGAGAAGAUUAUCAGAAGGGAAAUCGAGCGGUCGAGCAAGUGUUCAACUACAUUAAGUGCCCUGAAAGCUUCAGCAAACAUGAUAUUGACCGAAGCCCCUGUGUCUACCAAGAUUCGUCGUACUUCAAAGUUGGCUAUGUGAGCUUCCACGAUCAAUGGGUCGUUGUGAGGGUAAAUGAUACCUCUUUCUUCCUCAGUGUAGAAACAUAUUAGAUCCUAGUUAGGCUUUUGAUACUUACCUCCCCUGAUGUCUUCCACGUGAAACACUUGGUGGCUAGACCUUAAAGCUCGUUCAUUAUUUUUCAUGGCCCUGUUGGAAGAUUUAGAUAUAGGUGUGCCACCACUUAUGGAAUAUAUCACAUUUACCUGGCGUUGGUUACGGUUACCCCUUGGAGGGUGAAGAAGGAAUUGACCAAUUUUUCCUUCACAUGCCAAAGCUUUAAUAUGAUCACGAAUGGUGAUACACUUCUCGCCGUCAUGGCCGUUAUGCUCGUGGUAGCAGCAAAACAUGCCUGUGUUCUUCGUGGGCUUGUAAUUCGGGUGCCUCGGCUUUGACUUCGGUAUCAAGUGUGCUAUGCUGGGGUAAAUGGCCACUCAUGUGGCGUUCAAAGGUGUGUAUGCCUCAUACCUCGGGGUAGGGGCUGUCCUGACAUGUGCUUGACCCACUAUGUUGACUGCCUAGGGUCGGGGAUUGUCAUGGCGAUACCCUUGGUUAUCACGGUAGUGUCCCUUACUCCUUUUACUAAAAUGAGACUGGUGAGGAUGGAAAUCUUUCUUUUUGCCCUGAGAUUGAUAUGUCUGUUGAUUUGGCAAAGUAUUAAGUAAGGCAGGGGGAGGCACCGCUGCCGUUUGGAAGGUCGAGGUCUUCUCAUUUCGUUGGAUCUAGCUUCCACUCCCUACUUGCUGAUAAGGGGUGGCUAUGAGGGGUUUCCCUUGAUAUGUCAUUGCCUCGGCGGAGGCAUGGCUGUUAGCCUAUGCCAUCACCUCAGAGUAAGUCUUCCAAGUGUUGGCAUUGAUUAUGUACUUGAAGAAACAGUCACGUAAGCCUGCCGUGAAGGCUUUGAGGGCAGUCUUGUCGUCUGCCUCGACAGAACGGAAUACUCAUGGCUGAAGCGGCCAGCAUACAUACGUAAUGACUCGUCUGGCUUCUAGCGAAUAGUGUACAAGUCGUCCGUAGAGUGCAAGCGAUCGGUCUGGAACAUGUGUUGAGAAACAAACAGUUUCCUCAAUUCCUCAAAUGAGUCUACCGUCUCAGGUGGAAGACGGCAAUACCAGUUUAGAGCUCCACCAGAGAGGGUAGAGGGGAAGAGAAGACAUCACUCUUCGUUGGUAUGCAUCCGGUAUGCUAUGGUAGACUCAAAAAGGUUAAGGUGUUCAAUCGGGUCCUCAUUUCUAGUAUAGAGUUGCAAGCAAAGCUUCUGCUUUGUCUUUGCUUAGAGGAGGGUGUCGAAGAUCCUACUUGUAAGAGGGCCAGGCCUAGGUUGGUUCCAAUCAGGUAUCUCAGCUUGUCGUUCGGCCUUCAACUUGUUUACUUCCUUAAGAAGUUGUAGGACAAGAGGGUCCUGAGUGGAGUCAUGUACCACUUGAGCUUUCUUUCGUAAAUCUCCAUCUCCUCUUGGAAGUAUGAAGGUUUGAUCAAGAGCAUGUGAUUUUUCCCUGGAUUCCCCAUACUGACUUCCAAGGUAUGUUUGUCGGAACAUCUCUGAGUCCCUUAUACCUUCUUGUUUCUUUAGGACUUGCUGCCCCUUCCCCAAAUUGGUAGCCGGCCUGGAACAUGGGAGGGGACCGAGUCUUUUAGAGACCCUUAGGUCAUUGAUCUUCGAGCUUACAUGGAUGAAAUUGUCUCGACGUUGCUUUAGGAAAUCUUGACAGUCGCGAAAGACGGCUUUCGAUCCUUCCACUCCUUCUGUAAGGAGGUGUCUUUCUCCACUUCUCCUAUUUCGGGUCGAAGCAGCUGGGUUGAGAGAAGUCUCAUGUUGAUCAAUGUUUUGAUGAUUAGCUCGUUCCUCAUCAGGGAUACCCAUGUCGAAUGAAGGCGACCCCCCGUGUUAGGGGGCACCCAGAUGAUGAUUGAUGUCCACAUGGGUAACGAGCUCGCGUGUUUGAGUACACCUAGUUUCGUGGAGCGUCUCAAAGAGCUUCUCAUAUUGCUCCUGGAGGACCUCAUUCUUCAUUGCUAUCUUGUUAUUCUGAGCUUCUAGCUCAUCGACUUUAGCUUGAAGAGUAACCCUCUUUCCUUCCUUCUUUUGUCCUCGCACCAAGUGCAAGAAGGGUGUCAUUCUGCGUGUUGUGGCUUCCUUCGCUCCCCAUGUUAGAGAGGGAUGCCUAGUCAAAAAAGAAUGUACAAAUGGUGGAAACCAGCUUAACAAAGCUGAAGAUAGUGGGAAUAAGUGUCGUUCCCACAGAUGGCGCUAAAUGUUGAUGCACAAAAUCAGUGAGGACUUUGGUUCAACAGAAAGUGUUAAGUUUGUAACCUUCGCUAGAUUGCUCCGGUCACUAGUGUGGAUAAGUAAGUAAAAAUGGAUAGGGACAGGGAAGCAAACACAAGAUGUACGUGGUUCACCCAGAUUGGCUACGUCCACGGAGUAGAGGAGUUCUCAUUAAUUAUGAAGGGUUUGCACAAGUACAUAGGUUCAAGCUCUCCUUUAGUGAGUACUAGUGAAUGAUUUAGUACAAAUGACAUUAGGAAAUAUUGUGAGAGAAUGAUCUCUAUUUAUAGAAGAGAGUUUCUAGUUUCAUUCUGACUUUGACACGUGUCGUGUUGUGAUUGGCUUCUGAUAUUGACAUGUGUCGCGCUAUGAUUGGCUUCUGAUGUCGACACGUGUCGCGUUGUGAUUGGCCUCCUAGUUAAAGGGAAACUCUUAUGGGUCCUUGAAGGUAUAACUUUGACCGGUGCUCAGUAAUUUCGGAAUUGGUUAAGUAUGGUACAAACAGGACAUAUAUGUGAAUGUGUUCCAAUUUGUGAUUUUUUGUUGUUAGACAGAUCUAGGUAGACUCUGACUAGUUAGACAUACUAGUCAAUUAAGUUUAGUUCUUGCAACUAUACUUUCUGUCAUUGAAAAACUUGUAACUAGUUAGCUAGCUCAUUUAAAUAGUCUAUUGUGCAAAGUUUAAAUUUUUAUUAGCAGGAUAUUCCGCCUAGUACCAAUUUGAAUUGGUAUCAGAGCUUUGCUCUAGUUAUACAUAGAGUAAUCUCUGAGAGUUACUAAUAUUGAGUAGCAUCUCACCAUUGAUUGUGAUCGUGUUACUGGCUCUUAUAACUCACCUCCGUUCUUUGUUGGAACGGACUAUAUGCCGCAUAGAGUGAGAAGUUCACCGCCACGCCCUCUUUAUUCCAUCGUUUCAUAAAUACAUUCUAACAUGCUCUAACGAUUACACAUACAAUAUGGCAGCUACCCGACAAUCACAAGACAUAAAACCUUGUACGAUGGAUGUUAUACCCAUUAUUCCGUAAUCUCUGCUAUAGCAUUUAGUUGCAGAAUAUAAAGAUGACAGACACUGAUCAGAUUGUAAUGAUAAAACUGCCCACUGCAAAAACUCUCUCGGGUCGGUGACAUAACCAGUCAAAGCUGACGCAGCAGCCGUAUAGGGGGAAGCGAGGUAUAUCUGGUCUUCCUUGUGACCCAUUCGGCCUGGGAAGUUCCUGUUUGUUGUUGAGACGCAUACCUGCAAAGACAAAAUGGUUAAUAAUCUACCAGUAUUUAUUGUCAAUACAAUUGAAACUAAAACCAAGAUUUCUCCUUGCAACAAGGUUAUCUGCAAAUUGGUUAUGAACCCCCAAUGGCAGGGAAGUCAGUCCCAAUUCUAUCGAAGACGACAGAGUGAGAUGCAACAAUGCGUGACGUCCAGCUGCCCCAAGACAGGAGAGCACAUUAGAUCCUUAUGAAUGUGUUGCAGAAAGGAUGCACUCGCCUGAGGUUCAUUUAAGCGUGCAUGCCUGUCUUUCGGACCACCCAUGCAAGCACCGCAAUUGGGACUUGCAGGUGUGUCACAUCCAGCUUCCUCAAAUAUAUGGGAGCAAGUCUUGCCACAAGACCCUGGAACUGGAAGACUAUACACGUCCAUCCAAACCUGCAGAUUUCAGAAUAUACAAUAAACAAGAUUUCAUUUAUCGUGCCUUUCAUAAAAUUUCUUGAUAAAUUUAUAUAUACGGAUGUUGUCACCGAAGUACUUAAUUCUGUAGCUUGACAAACCUUUUGGGUAGCAGGCACAAGAUAUGUGGGAACUUUGACCUUUUUCCCCUGCAGCAAAGGAAUUAAAUCUUUAAGAUUAAACCAAGAAAAGAGAAUUUCCAAAAAAACAUUCAGAUGUCGAUUGAAGUCAGCAUUAUAGCAUAUGCAUAUUAUAAAAGGGAAUAUAAAUGAAUAAAAGAAGGGAAUAAAAGAAUAUGCAUAUUAUAAAAGGGCAAAUGAAUUCCAAAAGGCACAAGAAAUGUGGGAACUUUGACCUUUCUCAUUAAUACAAAUGAAUUCCAAAAGGCCAAAUCUCACGCAUCUUAAGUAAGUCAACAGAAGGAAUAAAAGAAUAUGCAUAUUAUAAAAGGGAAUAUAAAAGAAAUGCGUAUUCGAAUCCUAAAUAUGCUUAACAUCCAAUUCUCUUACCUCUGUUGUAGAUUUACAAAUGAUGAUAAGGUAGUUCGUGACAACCUAAACUAACUACAUAAGAUGAUGACCACAUAGUACAUUAAAUGUGACAGUUAUACUUGUAUAUUUUAAAAAAGAUGAAUAUAGAAUGAUGUCUCAUCUACUAACAUAACAUUGUCAAAAUUCAAAUGCACCAUCAAUGCUUCAAAAGUCCCUCAAAACCAAGGAAGAAAAUAUCGGUAAUAUCGGAAAUAUCGGUAGUCCGAAAACACCGAAAUAUCGAUGGAAAUAUCGGGAUAAUAUCGAUAUCGAUAAAAAUUACAUGGAAACCACGGAAAUUGUAAGAAAAACUUGGAAAUUUUUAUUGAAACUUUGCAGGAUGUUUAUUUAGUCAAUUAUCUAUUAGUUUAUCACAAAAAAUUGGAAGGAAAUGCAUUGCAUAAUGGAUUUAACAUUAUCAAGUUGAUUAUAUAGCGAGCUGAUAAACAUUUUGAGUGUAGAAAAUCUGUAGUAAUUAAUGAAAGAAGUCUAAACACACCAUAAUAAUAUAUAUAUAAUGAAUUAGUACAAUAUUUUACACUUUAUACAUUGCAUUUUGGUUCUUCUCUGACAGAAUUUGGUCUUCACGUGGAGAAGAAGAUAAAGUAAGCAGAUAUUUUUGUUCUUCUCUGACAGAAUAUUUGGUUCUUCUGAGCAAAGUCACUUCCAAUUAUCACACACAUAACCAUACACACACACACACACAAAACCAUGGUUUCAUACAAAACCGUGUGCCACACACACACACACACACACACACACACAAUCUCUCGAUCCUUCUCCCUCAUUCCACACACACACGCACACACACCCUCCCUGUCCUUGUUUCUUCUCCAGUUCUCCCCCCUCCCCCCAAUCUCUUUUCUGCAUAUCUCCUUCCCAGAGGAGACAGACACACACACACCCCACUUCCCCGUGUUUCCCCCUUCCCCAAUCCCUCGAACCUUCUCCCUCAUUCCUCCUUGUUUCUUCUCCCCCCAUUUUUGCAACUCUCCUUCCCGGAGCACAGCCACACCACACCCACACGAGGCGGAGGAUCCAUCAAACCCGAGCGGGUUUUGGGAUCUGGAGAGAAGCGGAGGCAGCGGACACCGGACGAUGGACCGGAACUCAUCGUAGUCGUCGGUGAGGAGGACGACGUUGUCCCAGCCGUCUUGGAUUCGUGAGGAAGACGACGUUCCCAGGCUCCUACUUCUCUUCUUCUCGGCAUGUAAUUUCAUUUUUGUACAGAAUUCGAAUUUUCUGCAUGUAAUUUCAUUUUAGUACUUAAUUCGAAUUUAGGGAUUUAGGGAUUCAGUUAAUUUGCUUUGAAUUCGAAUUUGGGGAUUUAGGGAUUCGGUUAAUUUGCUCCGGUGUUCUUCUCCGAUUAGCAUAGUGCCAAAAUAUCCCGAUAGUUUCGAAAAUAUCGCGAUAUUUUGACGAAAACCAUUUGGAUAGUUAAAAAAAUAUCGGACCCUCAAAAAAACGAUAAUAUCGGCGAUAUUAUCGAUAUUUUCUUCCUUGCUCAAAACCAUAGGAAAUACUAUUUUAAAUAUAUGACAUAAAAACGUUAUUAAAUCUAAAAGGAACAUAAGAUUCUAGAGUGCAUGUCCACGUUGAAAGCAAAAUACAUGCUUCAGAGUUCAAACGUUAUAAACUGGAUCAUGAAAUGGUCUAAUAAAAUGUGGAUAAUCAGUAGCAUACCUUGCUUUAGCAUCACUGUAAACAGGUUCAUAGGGAACAGACGUCUUAUCCUGCGGUUCAACAUUAAACAUCAUAUAGCCUGUGCUACACAACACAAAUGUAUGUGACAUUCAAAAAGAACAAAUUUGUGACAGCCACCCACUAAAAAAAAAAGAAAAAAAAAUUAAAUAAACGUAACUGUACCAAGAAAAUGUUGUGCUCCCAACUCUAUUUUACUGACUCUAAAGGAGGAGGGGAAAGAGAGGGAGAGAGAGCCAUCGUAACAUUUGAAGAUUUGUAGCACUAACCUCAAGGUAAUUAAAUGUAGUGCUAUCAGCAGGAACAAUACCAUUUUUACCUCCAGCCUCAAUAACCAUGUUGCAUAAUGUCAUUCAUUCUUCCAUCUGUCCAGCACAGGUUUGUGAAAGAGUAAUUAACAGAUACAACAAGAUGAAUGGUAUGAUCAUACAUGCAGUAAAAUUCACUUACAGAUAAGCUUUCAACAGUGCUGCCAACAAACUCCAUAGCUUUAUAUGUUCCACCAGCAACAGAUAUUUCACCAGUAAUCUGCCAGAUGAAAUUCAUUUAUCAAGGAAACAACAAGGCUGGAUGUGUUAUAUAUCAAGCAAAUAAAAUCAUAUGAUCUGUCAAGCUCUUAUAAUUUUAACUUCUUUGUAUGCUAUGCAGACUGAGUGAAAAAAAAAUGCCUUGAGAACAGUUAAACUUACUUACAGAAUCAAAUCUUUGUCAAGCAAAUAGUCGGGCAUUUCACCAUCCAUCACAAAUAUCAAUGUUGGUGGCACCUGCAAUUUUAGAAGGAAAUCAGAAAAGUAUGAAAAUACAAUAAAAUUCACAGAAAUUACUGCAAACAAUUAUAACAUUAAAGUACGACAUAAAGCAGUACUGCAGAAAUUGUGAAUCAACAGAUACAACGACCUCGAUCACUCAUAGCUCAUACUGGAAAGAGAAACACAUUUAGCUUAUCAAAAAGCAUAAUUCUCCCUUUUCGGUUCACUACAUGGAGUACUUUCCUGUUUUCUGAGUUUUUACAAUGUCCAAUGAUUUGUUUUGAGACAUUCAGACCUCAGAUUGAGAGGCUGCAACAUGUACCCUUCUUGAUAUUGCCUUCAUGAUCCCAAUGAACAAUAUCAAAUAAUACAGUAAAGUUUAAUGCCUUUUAUAAAGUCUAACCCGUAGCUUCAAAAAUCAAAGGGAAACCAAAUGAAAACCCCACUUCCUAAUAUUAGAACAUAAUAUAAGAUGAAAACAUCUCAACUUGGGCAUGCAGACGUGGUACUUGUGCUUAAUAAAACUUGAGUGUCACAUGCAAAUGGUACUAGAGCCAGUUGUUUCAUAUGGCAUGUAUCUAAACACCUCACACAACACUUGCUUCCAGGACAUAUACAACAAUCUAAAACUGUAUAAAUCAAUCUACAUCAACCAUUUACUAAAAUCCUUUCAUGUGCACAAUACCAAAUUUUCACGAACUCAUCAUGCCUGCCAGUGCACUUUCGAAAACCAUCACCACCUUCGUGAUCACACUUAAACAAGAGUAACGAAGGCAGAAAAGUACUGCAACAAGCAUUUAAAUCGUAUUGGUUGUCACUACCUACUAUUCAAAGCCAUUUCAUAUUGUUUUCCCAUCACUUAUUGCAACAUAAAUACUACUAUUUUCUACAACUAAAUACAUAGUUCUUGAUGUUUGAAGUCGAAUACUCUGCCAAAAAUCAAUGAUUCCAUCAGUCUGUAGAUAUAACAUUUCUGAUGGAAGAUCAUGAUACCAAUGACAAUGGUUCAUUAACCCUUCAUUUAUUACAAAGAAGUUAGAAACUAAUUAUUACCAUCACAAUUUAGAUAAAACAAAAGAAAAGGUAAGAAACAACUCCAAAACCAUUGAAGCACUACGGUGUUACAAUGGCUCAAAUUUUUUAUGUGUAAAGCACAGUAUGAAAGCUAAACAGGGUGAAAGGGGCCAAUAUUCACCAAUAUUAUAUUAGUGGAAGCUAAACUAUCUGUGGAAUUAAACCAUUCGCGUGAACUCCGCCAGAGAGUGACAAUUAUAUGUGAUCAGAAAAGCAGAAAUGAAACAUAUUUAAAAUCUAAAAAACCUUGAGCAGAAGAUUCCCAGUGCCUACUACAAAUCCUGCAUCAGAUUUCCCGAUUCCAGUAGCAAAUUGUCCAAAAGCUCCAGCAGUACAUGUAUGAGAAUCUGUACCCAGCAGAACCUGAAGACCAAAUCAGGUGUUUGGUUGCUGCUUUGGACUGAAAAAACCAUAAAAUAAUAUUGAACUCUUCAAAUGAACGUACCUCCCCUGGCCUGCAAUGACCUUCUUGAGCAAGAGCAACAUGGCAUACGCCCUUAUAACCUGGGUUGGCCUGGCAAAUUGCCAACUAAACUCAAUAUCUGAUGAUUAAAACAAUUAAAACAUGGUGAAAACAUAUCACUUAAAAGCCACACCUUGAAAUUACUUAGAUCCUUGAUAUCAUAGAAAUACUUGAUGUUUUGCUCCGUGCACAAAUACCUCAAGAUAUCCACACUACGGUUUGCACGUUCAUCAGUUGUAAAUAUAUAAUGGUCAGGUAUGAUUACAACCUUUUCGUGGUUCCAAACCUGCAAUAGAAAAACAAUGAAGCACUAUUUUACCCCAUGACAACAAAAACUGCAGUGAUUACAAAAUCUCAGAUAUGAAAAAUAGACCUUUUCUGUUAAAGUUGAUUUGUUUGUGGUGUUUUUGGUUAUAAUUUUGGAUCGGUUUCUUGGGGUAGAAUGGCAAAGAAUUGAGAGGAUAUUGGAGUGUUGCUUUCAACUUCAAGGUUGUGCUAAAAAAAUGCAGCAACCAUACUUCAUUAAGUAGGGAAAAUGUGUAAGAGUAUGGUACAUUUCCAUCACUCAUACUUGUGUAAAAGAGUUGGUGAAAAGACACUAUUUAAAACACUAAAUCACCUUACUACUCCAGAUUAAAUCCUAGCCCUUCAUUGGGAUUUAAGUAAUUUAAUCUGGAGUGUACAUUUGUCAUUCACACAUUUAAACAAAACUAGCCGGUUUGAGGCCAACCCUUCAUUUCUUAUUCUUCCUUUUUCGAUGCAGACAACACCCUUUGCUCAAGAGCUCCUUGCUGCCUUCAACCCCUCGACUCCAGGAGCUGGUUAGCUUCCAACACUCCCUUCUAAACUGCUUCUAGGAGUCAUUCCGAGCAAACCACUCAGGUAACUGAAUCUCUUCUUUGGUAGUGCUGUUGUGAAUAUGUCUGCGAUCUGAUCUUCUGUGCUGCAAUAAAUUAGUUUGAUUGUGUUGUCCUACAAUGCCUCUCUGAUGAAAUGAUAUCUUCUUUUGAUGUGCUUUGUUCUUUGAUGAAAAACUGGGUUUUUGGUCAUGGCAAUUGCAGAGGUGUUGUCACACAGCAGUGUGUGGCAUCAACCUGUAAUUCUCCAAAAUCCUUGAGUAUAAACCUUAGCCAAAUAGCUUGAGCCGUUGCUUCUGAUGCACUCACGUACUCAGCCUCGGCUGGGGACAGUGCAACACUUUGUUGCUUCACAGAGGCUCACGAAAAUAACCCUGAACCAAAGGUGAAAGCGUAGCCCGAUGUGCUUUUGCUAUCAUCUUCACUGCCACCCCAGUCACUGUCACAAAAUCCAAUUAGAAUAGUUGACUUCCCCAUUUCAUACUUGAUCCCAUAAUCUAGUGUUCCUUACACAUAUCUCAGCACUCUCUUAGCUGUGCCCAUAUGUAUCUUGCUAGGAUUCUGCAUAAACCUAGAAAGUAGGCUUGCUGAGAACAUUAGAUCCGGCCUUGUUGCAGUUAGAUACAAUAGACUGCCAACAAUGCUUUUAUAGAGACUAGCAUCUGCAGGUUCACUUCCAUCCUCCUUCUUAAGCUUCUCAUUUGCAAUUAGGGGUGUAGAGACCGGUUUGCAACCCUUCAAACCAAACCUCUCAAGCAAAGUUUCAUCAUACUUCUUUUGAUGAAUAAAGAUGCUACUUGCUUCUUGAAUUUCCCCAAUGCCAAAAAAAUGAUGCAAGAGGCCUAGAUCAGUCAUUUCAUACCUCUUCAUCAUCUCUUCCUUGAACUCUUCAAUCAUUGCAACAUCAUUUCCAGUGUAAACAACAUCAUCCACAUAGAUUGAGACAAUGAGUGUCUUGUUGCUUUCUGUCUUGGUGUAGAGUGUAGCUUCACUAGGACUUUUCUGAAAUGCUUUCUCAGUGAAAUAGGAAUCAAUCUCACUGUACCAAGCUCUUGGAGCUUGUUUUAGGCCAUAGAGAGCCUUCCUUAGCUUGUACACAUUCUCUGGAAACUCUUGAUUUGUGAACCCUUGAGGUUGUUCUACAAACACCUCAUCCUCUAGCACUCCAUUUAGAAAUGCAGAUUUGACAUCCAAUUGAUGUAACUUCCAACCCUUCUUGGCUGCUAGGGCUAUCAAGGUCCUUAUGGUGUCUAACCUUGCUACUAGAGCAGAGGUUUCAUUGAAGUCUACACCUGGUUUCUGUGAGUAACCUUUGGCCACUAACCUGGCCUUGUUCUUUUGCACAAAACCAUCUAAGUUGAGCUUCGUUUUGUACACCCAUUUCACUCCAAUCACAGGCUUGUCACUUGGUCGAUUUACAAGUUCCCAAGUGUCAUUCUUCUCUAUCAUUUCAAGCUCUUCAUUCAUUGCUUUCUUCCAAGCUUUGUCUUUCCCAGCUUCUUCAUAUGUUUCUGGUUCUACUACACAGUAAUUACAUGUAGCAUAAAUCUCAUCCAGGUUUUUCAAUCUCACUGAAGUUGAACUUGGAGUUGUUAUCUGUGAUUGACUUGAUUGUGGACUCAUAGUAACUUGCUGUGAAGUCCUUUGUAUGUCACCAUUAUCUGUGACUUCUUCUUGAACUGAGGUCUCCAUAGGCUCCCUUGUUUGCCUUUUGUUUAGGUCAAGUUGUAGAGAGACAUUAUCCUUUUCCUCUACCUUUGUUUCCCAGUUCCACAUUGAGUCUUCAUCAAAGAUAACAUCUCUUGAUAGGAUUAUCUUUUGAGUCAACACAUUAUAAACUCUGUACCCUUUCUCACUGGUACCAUAGCCUACAAAAACACCUUUGUUACUUGAUUUCUCCAACUUGUGCCUUAGUUGGUGAGGGAUGAAAGUGUAGCACACUGAGCCAAAUACUCUCAGAUGCUUCACAGAAGGCUUCCUUCCACUGAACACUUCGAAUGGUGUCUUCUCGUCCAGUGCUUUAGUAAGGCACCUAUUCAAUAGAUACACUGAGGUGUUCACAGCUUCACCCCAUAAUGUAUAAGGCAUGUUCUUCUCAUGCAUCAUAGACUUAGCCAUUUCAACUAUAGUCCUAUUCUUCCUUUCUGCAAUCUCAUUCUGUUGUGGUGAAUAUGCCACAGUGAGUUGCUUCUCUAACCCCACAUCUUCACAGAAUGCAUUGAACUCACAUGAGGUGUACUCACCUCCCCUAUCACUUCUCAGUCUUUUGAUUUGGUAUCCACUUUGCAAUUCCACUAUUGCCUUGAACUUCUUGAAUAUUGUGAAUACCUCAGACUUGAACCUCAUGAAAUACACCCAACACAUUCGUGAGUAGUCAUCAAUGAAGGUUAGGAAAUACCUGUUUCCACUGAUUUUUGUUGUUUUCAUUGGUCCACACACAUCUGUGUGAAUCAAUUCGAGUGGCUUUGUUGCCCUCUAAGCCUUGCCAACUUUGAAUGGAUCCCUGUGAUACUUCCCAAAUGCACAUCCUUCACAUGUUUCAUUGCAGUGAUCCAUCUUAGGUAUCCCUUGUACCAUUUCAUACUUUUGUAGAUUUUCUAGGCUUGUCAUGUUUAAGUGACCAAACCUCUUAUGCCAUAGUUCUAUAGAACCUGUCACACUUGCUUUCCUUGUCACUUCUUCUAAGUACUUCAACACAAGUGGAAAACUUCUGUUUAUCACUUCUACUUUGGUCACCAAAUUUGAUAAGAAUCUGUCAUCAUAGAUCUCAACCACAGUUCCCCCAAAAAGUAGGAAAUACCUAUGCUUCAUCAUUUGACCCACACUAAGUAGGUUUUCAUCCAAUCCUAGCACUAGCAUCACCUCCCUUAUGCAUCUUCUUCAUUUCUUGGUGUUGAUAACCAGAGUUCCUCUUCCAGUGGCCUUGAUAAUGUUUCCAUCUCCCAUUUUCACUUUUCCAGUGAAGUUUGUGUCAAUGUCAAUGAGUAAUGACUCAUGUGCAAUCAUGUGGUUACUGCAGCCACUAUCAAUCUACCACACUUCAUUGUUUUUCUCCACUUUUGCACUGAAGGCACAGAACACAUUUGCUUCUUCCUGCACUUGGUUUGCACAGUUCACUUGCUGCACAUUCUUUGAUCUGCAGUCCUUCAUAAUAUGCCCAAACCUGUUACAUUUGUGGCACCUAGGCUUGUCUUUGAACCAACACUCUCCAAGAUGAAAUUUGUCACAAUGUUUGCAUUGUUGUUUGGUUCUUGGACUUGCAUUAAUGUUGCUGCCUUGGUUAGGUCUAGAGUUGGGAAACCCUUUUCCUUCCCAUUUCUUAUUCUUGCUCUUCCACUGUGGUUUCUGAUUGCUUGCACUAGCUUGAUUACCAGAUCCAACAUUGAGCGAUUGAAAGGCUUUCUCAGGUGUAAAAUCAGCAUGCCUCUCGAGUCUUUGAUCAAAAGCUCUUAAGGAUGCCAUCACAUCUUGCACACUGAGAGUUUUAGUGUCUUUGGUUUCUUCUAUAACACUCACUAUUGAAUCAUAGGGUUUAGUCAAACUAAUCAACAGUUUUUGAACAAUUCUUUCAUUAGGCAGUUCCUCACCAUAUGUUUUCAUCUUGUUUACAACAUCAAACAACCUAGUGAAAUAGUCUUUUAACAGCUCAUUUUCCUUCAUUUUUGUAUACUCGAAAUCUCUUCUAAGGGACUGAAGUUUUACCUUUCUAACUUUAGUGUCUCCUCUGUACUCUUGCUGUAAAACUUCCCAAGCUCCCUUUGAAGUCUCUUCAUUUGCUAUCCUCGGGAAAAUGGUGUCUGAGACAGCACCUUGAAUAAUUCCAAGUGCUCUAACAUCCUCCAUUAGAUUCUGCUUCAGUGUUUUGAGCAUAGGAUUUGAGGCCAAGUGCUCUAGAGCAUCGAUCUCCAUCUCAGGUAGUUCAUACCCGUGUUGAACCAUAUCACAUAGAUCAUAGGAUUUGAAAAUGGUUGUCAUUCUUAUUCUCCAAAAAUCAUAAUUCUCCCCAUCAAAGACUGGAGCUUUUAGCUCACUGCUACUGCUGGAUCCCUUCAUUUUCAGAAUUGUUUGUUGGUUGUUGUUGUUGAGGACACUUCGUUGGUGCUCCCAAAAGUCUUAACUUUCACAGAUUAUGCCAAGAAAUAUUUUUUAUCAGUAACUGAGCUCUAAGGCCAUGUUAAAGUUGAUUUGUUUGUGGUGUUUUUGGUUAUAAUUUUGGAUCGGUUUCUUGGGGUAGAAUGGCAGAGAAUUGAGAGGAUAUUGGAGUGUUGUUUUCAACUUCAAGGUUGUGCUAAAAAAAUGCAGCAACCAUACAUAAUUAAGUAGGGAAAAUGUGUAAGAAUAUGGUACAUUUCCAUUACCCAUACUUGUGUAAAAGAGUUGGUGAAAGGACACUAUUUAAAACACUAAAUCACCUUACUACUCCAGAUUAAAUCCUAGCCCUUCAUUGGGAUUUAAGUGAUCUAAUCUGGAGUGUACAUUUAUCAUUCACACAUUUAAACGAAACUAGCCGGUUUGAGGCCAACCCUUCAUUUCUUCUUCUUCCUUCUUCGAUGCAGACAACACCCUUUGCUCAGGAGCUCCUUGCUGCCUUCGACCCCUCGACUCCAGGAGCUGGUUAGCUUCCAACAUUUUCAAUAAUAAUGAACACAUACAGAGAUGAUGAAUGGUGAGCUAAAAAAUAAAAAUAUGUCAAUAAGCAAUGAGUUAAAUGCAAAUGAAUUGCUUCUUUCUUUUAUUUCUGUGACUAGUUAUGGUUAUUCACUAAGAAAGUAGUAAGAGAGGACCUGUAAGUUGAUAUGUUUUAUUGGCAGCAGAAACGGGCAUGUGGACUAUGGCAACAAAAAACAAAGACAACGUACUCAUUUCUGCCAUCCACCGUAGGGUUCGGUCAAGCUUCGCUAUGAUGCUGAUGUUCCUCGACUCUUGCAGUGAUGUGCAGAAACCAUUUGGAACACAUUCAUGCAGAAUGUUUCUUGCGGAGCUGGCUAACCCAACACAUAGAAGUAGAUUCUCUAAUGUGAUCAUUACCAUUGCCAGAAGAGUCAACAACUUGAUUAAUGAACUUAUGACUUCUGACUAAAUAUUUAUACCAACCUCUUUUCCUUUUUGGUUUGUAAAGCAUGUCUAGAUCAGCAAACUAAGCUAUUCAAACCCACAGAUAUGGCUUCCGAUGGUACUGCUAGUUUUUUGGGUGUUUAAUACAGUAAUGCAUUUAGAAAAACAAAAAAAAGAAAAGGAAGUACCUUUGCGUUCUGGCCGAACUCUUUCUUGAAGAUUCCAAAUGAACCGGGGCCGCAGACGUCAUGGGUCAUCAAAACGUCGACAUCAACCCAAACAUUCUCACCCGGACUCAGCUGGGUUCUCUCAGAAGCUCGAGCAAAUAUCUUCUCAGUCAUCGUCAUCCCCUUCUUAACCUGAAAAUUAACCAAAAAACCCGCCAAAUGGAGAUUCUCAUCAAUCCUAAUCGUACAAAACAAUGAAAAAAAAAGUUCAUCCUAACCGAGCCGGUGGUGGCGGGCUUGUGCUCCGAUUGCUGCGGAGCCAUGACGGAGCAAAUUUUCUUGGAUUUUCUCUUGCAUUUCUGACUGGAAAUCGGCUUUGCGAAGGAGAAAGCAGAGAGAUUCAGAUCCUUCUGAGGUUGAAAUCAAAUUCAGCAAUGGUUUAGUGAAAACCCAACAACAAAAAUUGGAGGAAAAAAAAAAAGUUGGAGCCAAAAAACAAAGGGGACCUUGUUGCUUUUGAGUUAUGAAGGAGGUGGACGGCGGAGCAGCGGUGGAGCAAGCCAUGGGUGUCAGAAUGCAAGUUUAUGCGGCGUAACUCUGAUGUCUCUGCAGAAGAAGAAGAAAGCGACGAAGAAGUGGAAGAGUUGUGUUUUGGUUUUGCUACUUUGUGGGAAGCGGCGGCUGAGUGGCGUGUGUUUUGGAGUGGCUGUGACUGUGAGGCAGAAAUGACAUGUGGACGUGUGUAGUUGGUGUUGCUUUAUUUUAUGUUGUCCGGAGCGGGAGCUCGAUCAUCUGCGACAAUGCAGCAGGCGACCAAACUUACGUAGCAGCAAAAUAACAUGCGUUUCCUGCAACUUAUUACAUUUUAAAUUUAAAACAUAGAUUAGUGUACAGUAUUAUUUGGCAACGGUUAUUAACAUUUCAAAAAUCUCAUUUUACACUCUUCACAAGUAUAAUUUUUUUACUAAUUAUAAAAAGUUUGAAGUGUAAAAUGAGAUUUUUUUAGUGCAAGGAUAAUUUUCUAUUAUUUAUUAAAAAAAUGAAAAGCACAAUUUGUACCUUAAAUAUAAGAAUGAUGAUAAAAGUUGACCUGAUAACUAUAAUCAUGUUAUAAUUAAAAUGUAAAAAUAUAAAUAAAUAAUGUGAUUGUUGUAUCAACUCACAUGUUGCUUCAACCAUUCUGAAAAAUCUUUCUUGCUUAGCUCCUGAAUUUGUCGAAUAGUUAACAUUUCUUGACGAUGUUUCAUUUUCAAGAAUUCCUCAUGUUGCCUGGGCAUUUAUGUCCAAAUUUAGAUAAUUAAUUUUUCAAAGUUAAGAAAACCAAUAAAACAUUAAGACGUAAGAUUAAACGUUCUUACCUUUUAAAUGGGUUAACUUCAUUACAAUUAUUUAGAAUGUAGUUAUGGCACUGAUCAAGAACAUUUAGAUCGAGCUCCACAUUUUCUCCUGAACCCAUAUAACAUCUUUUGGAGUCAAAAAUUGAUAACCCACCAGACACUCCACGUCCAAUACCAUCUUCAUUUCGGCCUCUACGGGUGCGACGAUACUCUACAUCUCUAAGAUACAUGGAACAGAAGGAUAAGCACUCAUCCACCAAAUAUGCUUCAACAAUAAAACCUUCAGGACGACCCUUAUUACGAACAUAGCACUUCAACGUUUGCAAAUACCUACAAUUAUAAAUGAAACACAAAUUAUUAUAAUUAUAAAUUAAAGCUAUGACUACAAUUGUAAAAAAUUUAUAAAAAUUUAUUAACUACCGUUCAAUUGGAUACAUCGAUCUAUAUUGAACAGGCCCUGCAAAAGCUGUUUCAUCUGCCAAGUGAACUGGAAGGUGCACCAUUAUAUCAAAAAAUGCAGGAAGGAAUAUUUUUUUCAAGUUGACAUAAUGUCAAGGCAAUUCUUGAAUUCAGUUGCUUGAAUCUUUCCUCAGACUCCUUCUUACUACACAACCGUCUGAAAAUUACACUCAACUCUAAUAAUACCAUAGUAACAGCUUUAGGCAAAACCGUGCGUAUUGCAAGCGGGAGUAACUGCUGCAUUAAAACAUGGAAAUUGUGACUUUUCAACCCAUGUAUUUUUCGUUCAUUCACGUGCACACAUCGCGAUAAAUUUGAAGAAUAUCCAUCGGGGACCCGAAUGGUAGACAACACUUUGCAAAACGCAGUUUUUUCUUCUCUUUUCAACAUGAACAAUGCUGAAGGUAGAAAUGUUCUAUUUCCUUCUCUACAUGGGUGUUGAAUACGUCUUAUGUUCAAGACUUCAAGAUCUACACGUGCAGCUAAUCCAUCUUUAGACUUUUCUAUAUCUAGCAAUGUUCCUACCACACUGUCACAUAUAUUCUUCUCAAUAUGCUUAACAUCAAGAUUGUGUCUAAUCAACAGAGGCCUCCAAUAAGGUAGUUCAUAAAAAUAGAUUUCUUCUUCUACUGACUGUUACUACUUGUACUGCCCGAAGUUCUUUUUCUGCGUUGCCCAACAGAAGCAUCUUUGUUUGGUUUUCCAAAAGUAAAUCUCAAUCUAGAAAGUUCUUCGAGACACUAUAAACCAGUCCAUUGCCUUGGUGCACUACGAUGCUCUCGACGAUCAUUAAAAUUUAUGGUUUGCCUUCGAAACUUAUGAUUAUCUUCAAGAAAGCGUCGAUGCCCCAUAUAACAAAUCUUACGACUCGCCAGCAAAUAAAUAGAUUCUUCAUCAUGCAUGCAAUGUGGACAGGCUUUAUAGCCAUGUGUACUCCAUCCUGACAACAUUCCAUAAGCCGAAAAAUCACUUAUAAUCUAUAAGACAGCAGCUUUCAUCGUAAAACUUUGGUUGGAAUAUGCAUCAUAAGUGGGAGUGCCCACCUCCCACAACUCAUUCAACUCGUCAAUCAGUGGACACAUGUAUACAUCAAUCUCUUUACCAGGACUGUGCGGUCCUGGUAUUAAUAGAGACAACAACAAAUUUGGUUGUUUCAUGCACAUCCAGGGCGACAAAUUGUAAACAGAAAGCACCACAGGCCAUGUCUCAUUUUCCCAAAAGGAUUAAAUUCAUCACUGGCCAACCCUAAUCUGACAUUUCAAAUUUUUGACACAAAAUCCGGAUAUAAAUUACCCAAAUGCUUCCAUGCUGGAGAAUCUAAAAGAUGCCUCAUAAACUCAUCCUUAGGACAUUCAGUUGCAUGCCACCUCAUAUGUUCAGCCGUAUGCUUCGACAUAAAAAAUUGUUGCAAUCAUGGUUUUAAAGGAAAAUACUACAUAACCUUAGCUGCGAUCUUUUUUCUCGAGCUAUCCUCUGCGUUGGUAAUUUUAUAUCUUGAUUCACCACAAACCGAGCACACGGUCAACUCCGAAGUAUCUUUCAAAUAGAUCAUGCAAUCAUUAGGACAUGCAUCAAUUUUCACAUACAUCAAACCCAAAUCAUUUAUAAGUUUUUUUGCCUUAUAACAGGAUUCAGUCAAACAAUCUCCUUCAGGCAACAUUCUUUUAAUUAACUCCAGUAAAGUGGUGAAGAUCUCGUAUGGCAUUCCUGUUAAACACUUGAUUUGAUACAGUCUUACAACUGCUUCCAAUUUCUUAAACUCUUUACAUAUUGGCCACAAAUCUUGAUCUAUCUCUUCAAGCAACCUAAAAAAAGUCUCCACCUCUUUUGGACGCCUUUCCCCAAUAGGGGGUUUAGUAGACGGCCCAACACCUUCUUCUGUUAAUGGUUGGACAAAUACAUCAUUAAGAAAAUCAUGCAUACCAGCCACCUCAUCUCCUGUUUCUUUUUCUCCGAUUGCCACAUUUUGCUCUCCAAUGUUUUUCUCACCAUGAUGUCGCCACCAAGCGUUUUUAUAAUCUUUAUCCAUAUCAUACAAUAUGAGAUGUUCAACACAGUGUUCCUAACAAAAGUAUAUCGAUUACAACAUCUUUUGCAAGGACAUCUAAACUUAUCAGGGCCAACACCAUUUGCAACUGCUUGGUCCGAAAACAAAUUAAUUCCAGCUGUAUAAGCUUCCAAAUUUCAAGCUAUCGUCAACCAACUCCUGUCCAUGUUUUACCACUUUACGAGGGCAAAAUAUUACGUUGACACUAAGAUGCCUACAAUCUUUCAAUCCUUAUCAUGUAGGCAUAACUAUUAGAAUUUUCAAUUUCUAUCUUUCAACCCUCGAACUCUAUCACGAUUGCAAUCUUUAAUUUUCAAUACCUAUUAUAGUAAAAACAAAUUAAAAUAACAACAAAAAGUUAUCAAAAUUAUGUUCAUCUAAUCCAUUCUAGUAAAUAACAACCAAAAGUUAUCAAAGUUAUCAAAAUAACAACAAAAACAAAUUAAAAUAACAAUUAGAGUGCAAAACAAAUUAAUUUAACAUAAUAUAUUCUUAUAUUACUAAAUAUUAUAAGUUUAUGUUAUAUUUAAUAUGUCAAUUUUGUGAUAACCCGUCCCUAAUUUUAAGAGUUUUUAAAGUUUUAAUAAAGGAUUUUACAAAAAUGCCCUUUGAGGCACGCACAUUAUUCGAGGUUAAUCGUUGUGUCGUGCCAUCUAAGAUUUGUUUUCUUAACAUAUCCUCGUAGUACUCGUCGCUACGGGCGUGUGGGCGCUGACGGUUCAUGAUUUGGAGUUAUAUCAAAAAAGUUAUUAACGUUUGAAAUUUGGGAUUUUAAGGAAUUAUAAUUUUAGUAAAAUCCAGAAUUUCUUUUAUGAAAAUGGACGGCCCAGAUUUAAUGAAGAAUGAAAUGGAUGGCUUGGAUGUAAGAGAAAGAAAAUAAAAAUAAAAAGAUGAAAGAAGGUUUUGUGUGUGUGUGUACGUGAAAGGAAGAAGAAGAAGAUGGAGGAUUGGGCAAAGCUGCCCAAUCGGAACAAGAGAGAGGGAGGAGUUGGGCCAACCAGAAAGAAGAGAAAGUGGAGGACCAAUCAGAGGGAGAAGAAAGGAGGAAAGGAGAGAGGGCGAGAAGCGGAGGAGAGAAGGAAAGAAACGGGUUUUCCCCCAACCCGUUUACCAGCGCACCCACCUCCAUUUUCCGACGAUUUUCACCGGAUUUCUCACGAAUUGGAUCAAGGUACCACUCCCAAUCAACACCUAGGCCUUCCCUCUUCAUGUUUCAACCCAAAAAUCAUGAAAUUUGAUGAUGAUUUGGUGAAAACCGCACCCGUGGGUGCCUCGACUUUUUGUUCAAAUCUUGAAAUGUUUUCUUUCAAUUACUAACACCAUUAGCAUUCCCCUAGGACCUGGAACAAAGCCCAAGCAUUGGUUGGGACGGCGGAAUUGAUUUGAAGGUCGAAUUGAAAACACCAAAUUCUAGGGUUCUUCACGGUUUUGGUGAGAUUGGAGCUCUUCCAGGCCAAAUUGGCCUUGGCCACAGGUAUAAAGUUUUCUCUACUCAUUGAGAUCUUCAAUUCUGUAUUUUUUGAGAAUUUUUGGAAAUAGUUGGAUUUUCCGGCAAGCCGGGGCGGCCAACCGCCACCCGCGGUGGCCCGUGCGGUGGCGCGUGGCCAAUGGCCCUCCAAUAUCAUUCUUGGCAUGUGCUUAAGGUUCUAGGUUCAGUUUUGAUAAUUGAUGGACGUAAAUUGAAUAAUUGAACCUAAGUUCGUUACGAUUCGUGGUUAGGUGAAAAUGUGAAUUGACGAUCUGACCGUUGGAUCAUCACCAAACUUUGAUACGUUGUAAUACGUAAUAUUUGAGGAUUAUAGGAACUUACGGAUUGGAAAUACGAUUUACGGAUCUUCCGGAAUUGGAGUUGUAAGUUCAUAAAAUAGAAUGUUAACCGUCACUUGGUUUUGGAAAUUGACGGAGAUCCGACCGUUGGAUGGUAAUGAAAUUUUAGGAUGUUGUCCUAGAGGUAUAUUGUGGACCUCUGGAAGUUAUGGAUUUCAAAUCUGAGUUGCAGAUCUUCCAGAUCGAACUGCGUAGUGAUGUGUUUUAUAUAAGUUAUAUUCUAUCGAUAUGAUUUCUGAGGUUGGAUUUGAUUAUUGUUCUAGGCGCCGAUCGUCAUGACGCCUUGAUGUGUUGUGCUAGGGAGUUGUUGGGCGAACUCCAGGUGAGUGGGCAGUACUUUCUAUUUAUACCUAUAUACUAUGAAUUUUCCCAGAAAUUGAGUUUUAAUGAAAGUAUGUUUCUAAAAUGCCAUGCAUGCAUAAUAUGAAUGAUAUGAAUGAUAUGAGUUAUAUGAAUUGAUAAUUGAUGCAUAUAUAUAUAUAUAUAUAUAUAUAUAUAUAUGUGUGAAUUGGUGUUGUGGACGCACAGGUAAGUAUCAGGGGAGUUUUAUAUUAUUCAUGUGAAUCAUUGAUGAUGUAUAUUAUGUUGAUAGCUCAUAACCUGCAAUCAUGGUGUUAGUGCUUAUAUUAUUCACCUCGCACCGCACACUCACUUUGGAUCCAAGUAAGUGCAUGUCGUACAGACCAUGAGAGGGUUCCGACAUGUCGUACAGACCAUGAGAGGGUUCCGACUGAUAGGUGACCUUAGAUUAUGUGCACAGAUGAUUGAUGAGAGAAGCACUAGAGCGUAUUAUUACACCAUUCAUGUCAUACAGACUACUUCAGGUAGUUCCGACUUAUAUGCAGUGUAGUGCCGCACAGGUCACCGAGGUGACUCCGGUUGGAUUGGAUGUUGAGCUAUAGAAUUAACCGUACAAGACCAACUGCAGGGUAUCCGGUUAAUUCACCAUUUCACCUAUUACAUUGAUGCAUCAUUCAUUCUGUUUUUGAAAUUAUAACAUGGCAUACUUUCUGGUUUUUGAGAAAAAUUGAUGAUUUGAGAUUUAUGAAAAGUAUAAUGCUAUUAUGCUAUUUUCUGGGAAAGUAUACAGGUUUUACAGCGAGCAGUUAGAAAUGUUUUAAAUGAAAAGUUUUCGAAAAAAUUUGUUUUGCUGACCCACUCAAUUUUGUUUUGCGCCCCUCCAGGUUCUAGAUAGCAGAGCUUUGGUGGCCACGAGGAAUCCAACGGUGUUCUGACAGAAUUCACAAAAGUAGGACUCACCCUCGGGUGUUUCAUCUUAGUAAUUGUAUUUUUAAAGCUUCCGAACUGUGUAAAUGGUUACGUCACUCUCACGUGACGGCCAGCAUGCCCUCCUUCGGGACGGGGUGUGUCAAAUUUCACAUAAAUGCUUAUAAAUAUUAUUCAUUUCCAUUUUCUCAUAACAAUUCAAGUGACAAAAUUAAUUAAUUCGACUAAAUAUUUAUUAAUUUAACAAAAAUAGUAGAAAUUUAUCUAAGUACUUAAAUUAGAACUUUUAAAUAAAUAAACUUGUGUAUUAUACAAUUUAAAAAUUAAAGAAUUUAGUGAUAGAAACCUGAAUUAUGGAAGAAUUCCGGCGUCGAUCAAAUCUUUAUGUACUUAACCAACUCAAAUAAAUUCCCUACAAAAAUAAAUUGUAAAUAAAAAUUAAACAUGAGUGGAGAAAAUAAAAAUAUUAGAAGCAAGAAAAACUUACUGUUGUGAAGAAUGAACAAAUGAAGUAGGAAGAACAAAUAAGAAAGGUGCAAGAGAGAAAACACGGGGAGGGUUUGAAAUUGGAAGAACGAACAAGAAAAAUGCAAGAAAGGAAGAAGAAAACACGGGGUAAAGUAUAUAAAUACCAUUAUUCUGUCACUUGCAACCGACACCGGGUUUUAAAAUAUUUAAAAAAACUAAAAUCUAUGCCGCUCAGAACCGACGCAAGCUUUAAAAUAUUUAAAAACAAGGACAAGUUUGUGUGGCGUCGAAAUAUGGACAACUUUGUGUUGGUUAAAACCGAUGUUCCCUGACAGUCUUGACAGUCGUAAUAGGCGGCCUCGAAAUAGAACAAGUUUGCGUCGGUUCAAACUGACGUGAGCCUGACAUGUCAGUGCACUUGGAUGUGGCGUCAAAAUAAGGAAACUUCUGCGUUGGUUAAAAACGACGCCAACACUCACUGAAAAAUCUCUUCCAGUCGUUUGCCCCUACACUCAUAAUUUAUGUUGCUUAAAAGCGACACCAAUAUUUAAAAAUAUUAAAAUGUAUGUUUACAUCGGUUUAAAAGCGAUACUAGUAUUUUAUGACGCUUAUAAGCGACAGUAAAUCUGACGUCAUGUUCAGUUAGUGUCGCAACUGUCUUGUCUACCACUAUAUUAAAUUAAACCGACACCACCCACUGACACUAUAAGACCAUUUUGUAGUAGUCUGUAGUUUUCAUUGAAGUUUUAACCAAAUUUACUCGUGUGAUUGUCAUGUGGAAGGGGUAAAGCAAAAAGUUUAGCGUAUUAGUCAAACUUUUACUAUUUUAUAUAAUUAUAUAUUUAUACUAAUAGAUCGAAUGAAAAUUAGUUUCAAAUUGUCGUAUAAGAAAUUUGAACUUAAAACUUCUUACUUGUCAUUUAUAUGUGAAGAAAAUAUCAUCAUAUUAUAAUAUUAUGUGAUAAACAUUAUUUCAUACUUAAACCCUUUUAAUGAUUUUUUAAUGAGACACACAUGAAUAAGAUUGAGCAAAUUAUAUGAGAAACCCGAUGUUGAUGGCAAGUUUUUUUUUUUUUUUUUUUUUUGGCUUUUGAAGGUACGUAUAAAACUCCGAAGGAUGAUAUUGAUUUAUCACGAAGCCACAUUCAGGAAUUUAGAGAUGCCCAGCCGGAAAAAUCAAGGGAGAAUGAGAGCUGAGGGAAGCCCUCGACGUCAGUAUUUGUUGGGCAAAACGUUCGGUGGAAACGUCCCAGUUUUGGGACUUUGAAUAUUAACUGUGAUGGGGCAUGGAGUGGAAAAUCGAUGUUAGGUGGCUAUGGGUGGGUGGUGAGAGAUUUUGCGGGACUUUUGAAGAUGGCUGGUGGGUUGGGGGCCGAGUUUUUUAAUGGUGCAAAUAUGGCGUAGCGCCGGGGGUAGCUGCAAUUCGUGUAGCUUUGGUGAUGUGCAGAGACUUGAAUUAUGAGAUGGUAGAGAGAGAGUCUAAUGCUCUCUUACAAGUUACAACAUGAUAAAUGGGGAAUGCUCUAUUGAUGCAAGCUUGGAAUGUUUCAUUUUUUAUAUUAAGACAUUGGCGUCUCAGAUUAGAGAGGUGGAGUUUAUGUAUGUUAAUAGGAGUGGUAACCUCAUUGCCCAUGCAAUGGCUUCCUGUGCUACCUCGCGUGGUGGUUUGUUCCAGUGAGAUCUUAUGGCCAUAAAUUCUUUUUUUAAUAUUCUUGCAGAAGAUGCAAAUGUUUCUAUUAGAAUUUAAUAAAAUUUAUCCUUUGACAUAAAAAAAAAAAUCUCUUAUUAACAAAUUUAUUGUUAAUUGUUUUGUUUAAUCGGCAUAGCUGACAUUACCAAAAGAGAGUAAAGGAUAAUUGAAGAUUAUAGUAGUGCUAUUUGAGGAGAAAUUUUUGUGUGUAUUGAGAAUACGGUCCGGUAUGUAUUGAGACUACGGUUUGGUACAUUAAGUAUGUGGAUUUGUAUUCACGAUGGAGUAGAAGGAAGACUAGCAUAUUCUAUAACCAUGGCGGAGACAAGAGUGCAUGGACUAACCUAUUUGGUUGUAAUCCAAAGUAUCGUGAGAUUGUAGUCCACAAUGGCCAUUUGUUUGCAUUGGUCGGGGACCAAUAAGUUCUUGUUUGGGACUCAGUUAAACUAAAUAUGGUAAAUACAAAAAAUAUAUAUGACAAUAUUCAGGAAUUUUUUGUAUAUUUAUUAAUCUUCAAAGUGGAGUUACUAAUGGUAUUACCUAUACACUUCGUCAAUGUGGGAUAACAUAUUACUAUUUACACCUUAACUAAUAUACAACUCGCAACACUCCCUCUCAAGUUGGAGGAGCAAAGAUGUCACACAUGCCCAACUUGUCAAGCGAGUUGGAAAACACACUAUUAGACACAGCCUUAGUAAGCACAUCAACGUGUUGAUCUUCAUAUCCCAUAAACAGAAACAAAAUAAUUCCAGCAUCCAAUUUUUCCUUGAUGAAAUGUCGAUCAAUCUCCACAUGUUUUGUUCGAUCAUGCUACACUGGAUUAUAAGCAAUCUCAAUAGCAGCCUUGUUAUGACAAUGGAGAUUCAUAGCACCCUUGCGUUUAAAUCUAAGAUCUCUUAACAAUUUUUUCAACAACAACUCACAUACACCAUGAGACAUACCUCGAAACUCAACUUCAACACUUGACGUAGCCACCAAUUUUUGUUUCUUGCUUCUCCAAGUAACUAGAUUAUCACCCACAAAUGCAAAGUAUCCAGAUAUAAAUUGCCGGCCAGUGAUAGAACUUGCCAAAUAUGCAUUUGUAUACCCUUUGACAUUCAAAUGAACAUUCUUGGAGAAAACCAAGCCUCUGUCAGGAGCCAUCUUCAAGUACCUCAAAAUACAGAUUACUGCAUCUAUAUGAGCUUCACUAGGUGAGUACAUAAACUGACUUACCACAGUAACUGCAUAAGUAAUGUCAGGGCGAGUGUGAGACAAAUAAAUUAAUCUCCCCACAAGCCUCUGAUACCAUUCCUUAUGAGUAGGAACUUGAUCCGGAAAUAAACCCAUACAAUGAUUCUACUCAAUCGGAGUAUCAAUAGGUUUGCAAUCUAACAUACUUGUUUCAGCUAACAAAUCAAGAACAUACUUCCUUUGAGACAGAAAAAUACCAUGUUUCGAUCGUGCAACCCUGAUUCCAAGAAAAUAUUUCAAUUCACCCAAUUCUUUCAUCUCAAAUUCAUUAGCUAGGUACUUUUGAAGGCACUGUAUCUCAUUCUAAUCAUCACCAGGCACUAUCAUGUCACCAAAAUAAAUAAUCAAUACAAUUAGCUUACCAUUUUGUCUCUUGGCGUAGUGAAGCUGAGGUGAGUCUUGGAACGGUUCAAAGAUUUCGCAACUAAGGUCAUAUCAUAGACCUCCAAGAUAUUGCGAUAUCCCUAACAGUAAAGACAUAACCAUUUGGCAGCAUAACAAACAAGACAAGCAUCAUUAUGAGGAUCAAGGGGGUCGGUUGGCUCACGAUACAUUGGGAUAAGCCCAAUCUGUAGUACCUUUCAUAGAAAUACAUCUUUAAUACCAAUUCAGUGGAUGCAUGUAGGCGUGGUGUUGCAUCUUUACCAAUAGAUCAACAGCGAAUGAGAUAUCAUGUCUAAUGCAAUGAGGCAAGUAUAACAAAGCGCAAAGGUUGAACUCAGAUAUGGAACUUCAGAUUCCAUAACCUUUUCAAGGGUCUCAUUUGCAUAUAGCGUAUGGUAGAUCAUGUGUAUACUCAAAGGUAACACCUUCGUGGUGUAGUUCGAUUGGUAGCCCAAAAUACCGUCAGAAUAAUGCUUGAACUUCAUAUCAAGGCUUAAACGAGUUUUUCCAAGAUCCAUCAUCUCAAAUUUUGUCUUCAGGUACGAGGCAAUUUUCUCAAGCUCUUCCAGAGUCUUAGUGAGAUUUAUGUCAACGACAUAAACUGCAACUAUAUCAAUUUGGAAUAAGACUUCAUAGUUUAACACGCAAGGGGAUUCAUUCAUAUCCCUAAUUGAUCAAAUAAUCACUUAGAUGGGUAUACCACAUCCGGCCACAUCCGCCGAAUUGCUUCAAUCCAUAAGUGAACGCCUUAAAUGAGUUGAUAAGGUGUUAUGUGGUUUGGAAUUAUUUGAACCAGUCCAUGUAAUUCUUCAGGAACUUAGGCGUAAAUCUCCAAAUUAAUAUCCCCAUGGAGAAGCACUAACCAUAUUCAUAAUGCUACUGUCAAUCACAAACAUUGCACUGUUUCGUUCAUCUCAUUACGCUUCAUUUCUUACUUGUAACACAACCUUGGGCAGUGUAGGAACUACAGGUCCAAACACACCUUGAUAAGGAAUUUAACCUGGUUUGAGAUUUCGGUUGUCUAAUUAGUUCUACGUUGUCAAUAAUCAACAGAACACAUUUUGAUAUCGUUGUUUUUCAUUUAUGUCGAUAGCUAACAUACAAGUGAAAACAUCAUCGAUGAUAAUCUCAUUCCAAUUCCAUUAUCUCAUUCACACUAUUAUAUUGGACCAAGAACUUCAAGUCUCAGGAGUAAUCCAGAUUAAUCUCAUGAGAUAAAACGAUCGAGUAUUCUUGCAAAGGCUCUAAGGGAGCUAGUGCGCAGGAGAAUCAUAAUCGACAAAGAUUCACAUCCUUCUUUGAGGACCCAUAACGGUGCAACUUGGCACAUGGAAUGCACACCCAAAUGCGUAAAUACAAAACGUCAGGUUUGUACCUAGUAACCAACUAUAACGUCAAAUAGGUUAGGUGGUAAUGGGCCUCAAGGCAGACCAAUAUAGCUGCGUACAAGAUUGCAUAGCCCUAGACCGAAACCGAAAGCUUGGUGUGUUAACCAAGGUCCAUGCGAUCAUUGAAUUGCGCUUUAUGAUCACUCUGCAAGGUUGUUUUGCGAUGAACAUGGGAAUUCGAUGUUCAAUUAUAAACCCAAAAGACAUGCAAUGUUUUAUCAAAAAUCGUCUAUAUAAACUCUUUAGCAUUAUCUAGUCUUCUAGACUUUAUGGGAUAAUUAGGGUGGUCAACCCUUAAAAUCAACUAGGAGGUUUAGCAGCAAUGUGUGUGGACAAACAUGUGACCAUUUUGUUCAUAUAUCAACCAAAACCAUAAGUAUUUAUAUGGUCUACAUUUUGGUUGGAUUAGUCCACACAUAUUCUCUUGAAUCCACUGUGAAAAGAGGGUGAUUUUGUAUCUUUGCAAGGAAUGAUAGAAAAUCAAAUUCCCUUUUACGAGUGGGCUUGGUGAAGUGUGCGUGUAAGCACAAGAUCCUUACUUCGGGUAAGGAGAUGUUUCGUAGCACCAUUGUUAGACCUAAGUGUCCCAAAGUGUCGUGCCAAAGUAAGUAAACUACUCGAAUCGUCCUGCUACAGGCCGGCCACAUGUGGUGUGUUCCCAGUUGGGAGGCAGCAUAUUGGCCCUAAAAUAUGGCUUCGGGCUUUGUAUUUUGGAGGUGGUGCAAAGAUAUUCCACUCUAUUUUCCAUUAGUGGUUUCAUUCAUGUUUAUUGUCAUCUCGAAUAUCCUUAAAACUCAACGACGUUCUUCUCAAACGAGGAGAAUAUAAGGUCUCUCAAAUGGAAUUUAGUACCAUUCAUACAAUGAGGACCAUGCCAAUGCUCUUAAUCAAGUUGGAUAGACCUGAAGUCAGUUACUAGAGAUGUGAUUUAGGAUAAAAUUAGUGUGCAUUGUAUUGCAUUCAUCCAGACAAUUAACUUUCCCACAUUCGUACAUAAUCAUGUGUUUAAUUGAAUUCAGUCACAUGUAUUAGAAACAUGAUUCAAUUAACUCAUAUUUGAGGACAAUAUUGUUCAGAUUAUCCGUAACUAAAACAAACACCAAAUGUGAAUCCAAGAAUAUAGAAAAAUGAUCACAAAGUAAACCAAAGUUACUAAGGUGGAUUCGGCCGACAAGUUUAUUCAAUUCAAAAUUCUGCUCUUCCAACAAUGUUCGGUGACUACAAGAAUGGUACUCCUCAACGACAUUGGUAGGGGCAUGAACAGGUAUGUAACCAAUGAUCUAUUCCAUUGAGACGGAAGUAGAUUCUGUAGGGUUGAGGUUCGAGAACAAUAUCUCUUAUUCUUGAAGUGUUAGGUCUUAGGUGCCGAUCACACUUCAGGCGUGACACCACACCUUGGCAGGACCUGAUUCUAUCAUAUGUUGUAAAAACAAAGUCGAAAUUAGAUUGUGAGAGAGAGAUAGACCCAUACUUGGGUUCGAUAGGCUCUAACCGAAACUGAAGGGGUCUAUUUGGUAGGCCUCUGCUAAAGCAGAGCAAUACCAUAUCUAUCUGGCCUAGUUAAAGAUAUAAUUGGAGAAAGUUAAAAUAAAAUUAAUAAACAUAUUCAGGGAUUGUUUGAUUGAAAAGUGUUGGAAAAUAUUAGUAUUUUGGUUUAUUUGAAUGUUUGGUUUUCUGGGUUUAGCCAGUUAGAAUUAGGUUUUGUUAGAAAUUAGGGUUAGUUUAUUAUAAAUAGAGUGCUUUGUUAUUCAUUAGAAAAGAAAAUAAGCUAGUCACAAUGUAGUCUCUUAGGGUUUUGUAGUCGUUCCGGCAUUCUCGUUUGUUUAAUAAUAUUCCUAUUAUUUUGUUAGUCUUGUUCGUUGCGUACUCUGAUAUUCAACUAAGGCGAACCGAGUACACAAUGAGGAAAGUCUGUCCCAAGUAACCGAAGAUGGCAUCUACUUCCUUCCGGACUCCUGGACACCCAGCUAGUUGUUUAAAUUAAGUAUGCUAUAUAUCCUUGGCGUUCAACUAUGUUAAAGAGCCACUCCAUUUAACAUGAGGCAACAACUUCAGCAUUGUCACAGAAGCUACUGUUGGAACUGAUGACCGAGAUGAAGCCUCUUUCCAGUACGGAGCUGAUUGAACAAUAAAACGUAGUUGAUUAUUACCCGAUGCUUCCGAGUAAGCUUGCACUCCAUCACCUAUAUUGAGCACAUUUACCAGAUGCACCAGAAGUCAAGGUGCAUUUUGUUUUUGAUCUCCAGGUAACUGUAAACCUGCAUGAAUAUACAAACCCAUCUACAGAAAAUCACACACAAUCAUACACGCUUUGAAUGACAAGUUUUAAAGAGACGCGAGACGUCUAAAAUCAUAAACAAUUACGAGAAAGUGAAACAAAGAACCAAAUGCAAAUAUGAAGACAAAAAUGUAAAAGCUGACCAAGGACCAAAAUAGUGUACAACAUAUGAAUGAAAACAUCAACUGAAAUUGAUCAAGCAAAGUGAUUGACAACAAUGCACCAAUGAAAAGCAGAGAACUUUCUGAAAAAAGGUUAACUUCGCCAAAAUUAACAGCAGCUAGGAGAAGAUUCUCCAAAUCUUUAAUUUUGGCAGCCUCAGCCUUGUCCAGAGUAGGAACAAUUGGAAUGCCUUGACAAGUUCUGAAACAGUAAGCUUUUCGAGUAUCAGCCUACACUUUUUCUAACUCUCACCAACGCUCCAAUCAUAUUAAUCCUCUCCUACGUACACACAACGACUGAAACUUCUAGAUUUGAAUAGCAUACACAAAAUGCCUAAAACCCAGAUAGAGAAAGAAAAAGAGAAAGAAAUGAGGUGAUUAACGUAUUAUUAAUAAAGGAUCUGAUUAAUGUAUUAAGGGAUUAAAAGUAGAUAUUGAUCUUACUCAAGGUUUCAGUCUAGAAGUCAUUUUUGUCAAAGAUUAGAAUGAAGUUUCCUAUAAAAAUAUAUUGCUCAUAAUUAAUAUAAGUUCCCAUAAUAAGAAAUUCAUAUGUUAUCAUCUAUUCUUCAUGGGUGUGAAUUUCACCAUAUACAUGCACGUUAAGUACCUACGUUUUUAUUAUAGUUAAGUACUGAGACAUAUGUACCCAAACCUUUGCACUAAUACAUUUUUAUCGUAACUUAAGUACCAAUACAUUCGUACCAAAAUUUGUACUGAAACUUACUUACUAUGAGCUUUCUUAAUAUAAGUUUUUUUGUAUUGUUUUUAAUUAUAAGAAUUUGAAGUUUGAAUAAAUUUUCAUCUAUUAAUGUAAUUGGAGCUUAAACGAAAUACAUUAAUUGUGGAAUGGUAAAGAAUUUCGGAUAGUGAGUUUAAAAAUAAUAAAUGUGUUAUAAGUAUUUAAACACGGUGAGUCUUAAGUGGACUUGGAUUCUCUGCCCUCCCCGUGCCCUCCUGUUUGUGUGGUCACGGUUAAGCCACGUCAAUAUUUUAUAUUACUAUUUUUUUUUUUGUCUUAUUAUUUUUAUAAAAAAUAAUAUAAAAUGUUAGCAUAGAUUAACCGUGACCACACAAAACAGGAGGGCACAGGAAGAACACCGAAAUGGGAGGGCAGAGAAUCCAAGUCCGUCUUAAGUAGGGACUUGAAUUAGAUUUAGAAUACAAUUCAGCCUGGAAUUUAAAGAGAAUCUUAUUUGAGCCCUAAAAUUUAAAAGCCCAUAAAAUUUAUUUUCCUAAAUAAUAAACUACUUUUCCUAUGAACCCUCUUCACCAUGACUGCAACUACAAGCUCAGACUGCGAGAAUUCCGGCUCCUUAGCCAUGUCUUCAACUAAAAGCUCUCCAGCGUGCGCGGAAAUCACCAUGACUGCAACUAAAAGCCCAGACCCCGAGAAUCCCGACUCCAUAGCCAUGUCUGCAACUGAAAGCUCUCCAUCGUGCGCCCAAAUCUGUUUGGCCGUCUUUGUGACUGCUCUUUUACUCAUGCCUUUUCCUGUUAUAAUUGGGCUCCAGAUUCGGACCAGAAAUAGAAUGUCGGAGUACAAAUGCCCUGACUUCACCAUGAGCGGUGCUUAUCUCAGCGAAUUCAAUUACACCGAAAGCAAUCGUACUCUCUCAUACAACCUCGCCCUCAACAUCACUCUCACAAACCCUAAGAAGAAACUCUUCCACGCGUUGAUUGACAUCAAAGUCGGUGCAUACUAUCAAGACAAGAGAAUUGGUCAGGUAACGUUGAUGGAUCAGUGGAUGUCGACGCCCAAGAACACAAACGUUUUUCAGAAUGUAGUCGUUCAAGGGCACGAUAUGUUGUUUCAGGAAUCUGUGACCCCUGCAGCUGAUCUUUACAGUAUCGACGUGGUCAUUGCUUUCCAGGACGAGAACAAUGAUCGACGGGGUGAGGUCAUUUACAAUCUAAGGCUUCCUUUGAGUUCCAACGGGAGAUCUUGGGAUGCCGACAAGACUGCAAACUGCCCCAUAUAUGAUUAAGUUUAUGGGAAACUUCAUUGUAAUCCUUGAAAAACAUCUCUUUUAGACUUUAAACCAUGUGUUUAUACCAGUUUUUCCCUAUAUUAAAUUUGGGAUUCAAAAUUUAAGCAUCUUUUUUCCUAAUAAUUUAAUUUGUGAAUUUUAAAUCAUUGAUUUGUUAAGGAGAAAUUAGGAUGCAAUCCCCAACCACCAAUACCCUUUGAUUGAAAUCCUAUUGAUUUUAAAUUUUUUAUCAAAGUCCUAUUUUAUACACAUUAGCAUAUUUACAUUUAAAACUUAAUGCCACCCCUAAAUGUAAUUAAUUCAUUUCUUUUCAAAAUUUCAUGAGAUUAUUGAGAAAUAAUCUUAAUAAAUGUGUUAUUGUUGCAAUCCUAUUAGAUUAUGAAUGUGAUUGUGUAAAUCCUAGUGUAUCUAGGGAUAUCUUGAAAUAUUCCCUGAGGUUAGAUAUUAUCCUAUUAGAGUUGUAAUCCUAUUAGGAUAAGAAUUUAACCUACCCUACUACUAUAAGUAAAGGCAUAAUGGGGUGAUACAACACACACCUCAGAAUUACAUAUCUCUCUUCUCUCUAUUGACGUCGGCCCUCUCCCUCUCUAGUCCUAAAAAUAGCUUAGUAAAUUGGGCCUACAACACGUUAUUAGCACGCUCUUGCCAGAAGCUAAGGAACUGAAUGAUCAUGGAGGAGGCUCUUGUGCACAAUCAAAGGCUUAAUCAUUUUUUGCCAAUCAGGUUCUUUUAAAAUAAAUUAAGAUAUUUGAAACGACCUUGAAGCAUGAAAACAUUCCUCAUGAUGCAUCAACCCCCUAUAUUUAUAUUUUCCUUUUAGUUAUAUAUAUGGCAUAUGUGUUCAUAUAUUUUAUCAAUAUAUAUAUAUAUAUAUAUUUGUUCAUGCAAUACACAAUUAUGCUAUGUGAAACUUGUGAGUCAAAGCAUCGAAAUUAAUUUAGAAGCAAAUAGGUUUUUUAACCCUAGAAUUUUGAAAAAAAAAAGGGGGGGGGGAAACUGAGAUUUCUCGCUACUCCACGCUGCACCGUCAAGCCAACAUGGCUGGCCUGCAGCCACGCCAUCACAAGGAUAGCGUCGUGUCGACGCCAUGGACCACCUCACAGCAAUCCCGUGGGCUUGCUGCCCCUGCCAAGACAACCAGGCUUCAAACUGGGUUAGGUUACACAGGCCUAAAGCCCUGAGCCCACCAGCAAGCCUGCAACCUUGCUGGACCGUCCCCUGCAUCUUGGCCCAACCCGCAAGCAAGUCUUAUGCUUGCUGGGCUUUGUCCUAGCUCUGACCUGCCUUCAGCAAGCUUCGGCUUGCUAGGCUUGUUUCCCCAUAACCCACAACCAAGCUAGCUCUCGUUGGGCUGCACGCACCCAUCCCAGGCCAGCUCCGUGCUAGGCCUGUGCACUAGCGCCUGUUGUGGCCCAAAAACCAGUAGCUUUGCUGCUGGGCCUUUUUCCCUGUAAUGGCCCAUGGCUUGUAGCCUAUCCCGUGGCCCAAUAGGCUUUUAGGGCCUUGUCCCGUACACAGCUUCUAGCCUACUGAGUUGGGCUCCGUUUUUUUUCGAACCCAAUGCUAUUUUUGGCAUUCCCGCUAAUAUUAACCCGAAUUGUAUUAUUUUGCUUCUAUGAUCAAACCUGGAUGGUUACGAUCUAUUAAAUUAAUUAAAGUGACCAGCAGUCUAUUAAUAUGACAAUUAAUCCAAAAUUAUUGGCUUGGAGCUCACUUUUUGGCAAUUAACGAUUCAAUAAACUAUUUCUUUUCUUAGAACCAUUGACUAUCUUUGUAUUGAAGCCAAUAAAGGUUUUGUUAGAUUAGUUUCAAGGAGUAAAGACUCCUUGAUUCUUACUUUAUUAGGACUAUUGAAUUACUUAUAUCACAAACAACUUGAUUAACACGUUAUUUGCAAUCCAAAUAGAUUCAUUGGUAUUCAUGAACUUUACAGGAAAUGUUUGUGGCCAUGGACAUAUUUGCCCUCAACGUUACAAGCAGUGCAAACAUUGGAUGUGUUGGUGGCGUCUGUGGCAUAAUCGUCAAAGCAUUUGACACAAGUAAAAUAAAACUCCCUUGAUAAAUUUUUUGCACUGCCCGUUACAAAAAAGGUUUUCCACUGUAAACAAUGUAGAAGAGAGUCAUCACGUUCAUGAAAUCAAGCUCUUCAUGUCCUUCCUUCUUUGGUUCGUGGAAAAAAAGAGGUUACUCAGAUGCAUGCAACCUUCAUACAUCUCCAUGUAUGCCAAGAACUCCUGCAAGCUCACUCGGUCAUUCCAGCACGGUCCAUUUCGGAGAAAAACUCAUCUGCCGCCCGUUGGAUUUGCUCCAGCGCAUCCUUGUAGUAUGCAAAUGCUGUUUGGCGUAAAUCCUUCAUUUUAAAACUUAUGUUCUUGAUUCUUAGAUAUGGACUAGCAAUUGAGCCCCUGUGAGAUGCCGCAAGUUUUAAGACCGUUUAAAGUGAUAUUAUUUUACAUAUAAUAUGUCCACACUAAGAAAUGUUUUUAAAGUGUUAUUUACAAAGAGAUGAUACUAUUUACAACUAGCUCAAAUCACAUUGACAGUCUGCUCUUUGAGGAAGCUUUCAACAAACAUGAAUAGUAAAAUGGACAAAUCAAUAGGUUGUAGGAGAUGAAUGCAAUCAAUUUGGAUUUACCAUGAAUGGAUUAAUGAAGAAUCGAUAGUAACUCUAAACAUGAUAGUCAUACAGAUUAGAAAGUCAUCCAUCUAUAAGCCAGCCCUCAUAAAUUCAUUCGCUUCGACUAUUCUUCUAAUGUUUGAUAAAGAAAGCGAAGUUCCUGUAGGUACUCCCUAACCAUAUGAGCAAUAAAGUCUUUAAUUUAAAAGGAAUCCCAAUUUUCUCGACAUAAAAAUAAAAAAUAUAUAUAUAAGCAUUACUAAUCACUGUAUCUGCAAAACCAAAUCUCCUUUUUUGUACGCGCUAAAGUACACAUAUGAAUAUCAAAACGGAAACCUCAAAUUAUCAUAGCAUUCCCUUUCUACCUUAAUUUCUAAAAAAGGAAACACAAUGGAAGAAAAAAAAUUCAAUAAUUUUAUCUUGUAAGUCAUUGCUAAAGAGAGUCAAAAGCACUUCAAUUAUGGAAGGAGGGAAAAGGGGUGCAAAUAACUGGUGCUAAAUACAAAUCACUGCCUAGUCAUCAAAUCUUUGUAAGCAAACAUUAGAAAGGUUUAGGAUCUAGCAUGAUAGUUUAAGUUACUUGAGAUUUUUCAAUGUUCGCAAGCAUUCUGCUGCUAUAUAAAUUGACGGAUUCUUCAAAAGAAUAUAAUUGGUGUGUACUUAUACAUAACACCACAUAAUUAGCCUUAAAAUCAAUAUGCAUAACUUAAUAAACUUGCACGACACUCAUUUUACUACUUACCAUUUUAAACAUUGGCUCUUAAGAUAAGAGAUGUAAUGGUGACUUCUUAGCCUUAUACGAUGCAUGGUACCUUAGAUCGCAGAAUGUACAAAACUCUAUGAAUGUCCAAAAUUCAUACUUAUAUAAUCAACAAAACCCCAGCAAAAUGUUUUAUACAUUAGUUUUCGAUACUGCUAACAAAAUGCACAUGUUUAUACAGGGAGUUACAACAAAAUGUAAAUCUUGGUAUUCUUCCCUAAACCGUAGAAGCCCUCCAUACCUAAACUUUUUUCAAUCUACCCCGAGUUAGUAACGAUCUACUGUAGGUUCUUUUGGUCUGGAUAGCAAUUGAAUGCAAUCUGAGCGUGAAGGGUACCUGAUGCAUGGUGGUUUAAUUUUCAUCUGCUGCUUUUUGAGCGGAAAUGGACUAAUUCUUGUCUUGAGCUUAAUGAUAUCAAAUUCAGCUUGGUCCCAAAUGUUAAAGACAUCUUUGCAAGUAAAAAGCCAAUUGAAAGUUAAAGACAUCUUUGCAGGUAAACAAUAGUUUAAUUAGUAGUAAGAUUUGAUCAGCUCUGCAUCACAGAGGUGGGAGCACCAUAUAUAAAAUUAGGUCCCUAAAUAUUUUCAGCAAACUAAAUGACAAUAUUCUUAAUACGGAAACUACAUUAUGGUUCGUAAGAAAUAUUCUAAGCUAGAACUGGCCUAAAAUUGAAAUAAAGAAGUGUUGUUAGAAAUAACGAUUCCGGUAUGUUUUGGUCCUAUAAUUACUCACUCCCAAAUUAUCAAAUUCUAAAUACCAUUUUCUCAAAAACUUGCAUACAACGGCUAUCCAUCUUAGUAGUUGUAAACCAAUUCAUUCUCAGCUCAGUUUUGGUCCUAUGAUUACUCACUCCCAAAUGUGAUUGUUAUUCUGUGUGCAAAAUAAAAUUCACUAAAAUUUAAGGCUGUGAACAUUUAUUCAUCACAAAGUUUUCAUACCUAUGCUGUUUUUAAAACCUUUUGAUUAGUAAUACAGAAUUGAAUGUGAGCUAUUCUAUUUGGUAGGAACCAAUAAACUCAAAAAUGCCCAAGAAGCAGAAGCUCGAAGACAAAAUAGAAAACAAAAAUCCAUUGGGAAAGAGGAAGUUUUUGCCGGGGAUAUCACAAAUUUAACAAUUACAUUUGUAUGUGUGCAAGAUUUGGUUUUAUACAAGAUGUACAUCUCUGUACAAGAGUCCAACAAUUUACAGCUAAAUUUUUACUUACCUGAAAUCAAUACCAUAUUUCAUGCGCCUUUUGCUUAGGGGAUGUCUAAACGAUUCCUACCUUUUAGUUUAAAAGAGUUUUUAUCACAAAUAGUGUCUGAAAUUGAUUCAACUCAUCAAAAUGUUGUUUGAAAUUAAACAUUGAUCAAUGUAUUCUUUGAAAAUAAGUGUCGCAAAUCAAAGUCGUCAUUCCGUUAUAAUUCCGUAAAAAUAUUUGUUAUGUAAUGGUGUGGCACAUAACUGAGACCAACAAAUCUAAUUAAAUAUUGCUAUGUGAAUUUAAAAUAUUUAAAUAAUAAAAAAAUUUGUUUAUAUAAUUAAAAACUUAAAAAAAAAAAAAAAAAAAAAAAGAAGAUGACUGGUCAUUAUCUUCUCCUCCUCCCAUCCGAGUAAUCAUAGGAGCAGACUCGUCGUUUGCUCCUCUACGAGCACUGCCUUUGAGGCCGACCGAGCUCCAACUUCCGCCAAUCCGUCCAAUCUUUUACCUUUUCGGGUUGGGCACGGGUUCGACCUGCACAAGCUGGAGCUCAGGUACCCUCCGAUCAAACCUCAUGGCAGAGGCUGGGAUGCGCAUUGCGACGGUAAUUCCUCCAUAAAUCUGCUUUUUCUUCCCAUAAUUUCACAUUUUCUAAUUUAUUUUUUACAUUUUCGAUAUAUUUUUUGAAGUUUGGGGAUGUGUUGCUUCAUUGUGUGGUGGAUGCGAUAUUCGGGGCUUUGGGGCUUCUGGAUAUUAGGCAUAUAUUUCCUGAUUCAGAGCCGAAGUGGAGGGAUGCAGCUUCCUCGGGUGGAGAAAUUUUUCAUUGUGACAGAACCUAAGUGGUACACUACGUGUUUUUAUGUAAGUGGUGAGAAUUUUUAUAUUUUAAGUUAUUAACUUUUUAACACACAUAUUCCACAAUUUAUAUAGUAACAUAUGGUGUAUUACCCCGUGUAUUGGUCACACUGAAAAAUCUUUCCCUCGAGUGAGAGAAGAAGAUGAGAACAACUCCAGGUUUGAGGCCUCUUAGGUUUAGAUUAUACCCUAAUUUCAUUAGCCAGUAAAUGCUUCUGUGACUUUGUUCUUAUUAGUAAAUUCUUUAAACAAUGGAUUUUUUUCCAAUUUAAUAUUGAGAAAAUAAACAGAAAUACAGAGGUUCUCGAACUGAAUCCUCAGCCCUUUGGCGACUACUUUGCAAAAAAAGCAGCAAAAUUAAUAAUUUGAGAUUGAAUUCACAAAUUAAAAAAAAAAGUAAUUGCAGAGGGAUCGAAAAUUGAAAUCACUCCUAAGUAAAGCUCGAAGAGAUUGGAUUAGGGUUUAGGAAUUGAGGAUUAAGGAAUCUCGUCGAAAACUGAAUUUUCAAAGAAAUUUUUCCAUAAAUGUAUUAGCUUCUACAGGAAAGACUGGACAACAACUUACCUUUGAUUCACCUUGAACCGUAAAGAAUCGAGGCAUGCAACGGGUGAUUUUGGUUUCUAAGAUGAAGGUUAAACGACUGGCUGUAACAAUAAGGUCUGAUCGCCAUCGUUUGGCCAGAAACAGCUCGCUGGACUUCAGGCACCAACUUAAUAAUAAAAAACGGCCAAUAAUUUCUAGAAAUAGAUUUGAGGGUUACAUUGAAGUGAGAGAGGUAUGUUUUUAGUUGGUUUGUCGGUCUGUAGUCACUGGAAACGGCGAAAUCAUCGCCGACCACAUACAAUGGUGAGUCGUGGAGUGAAUAGCGAGAGGGAAGGGCGAGAAGGGAGACAAAGAAAAGGAAAAAAAAGAGUUUUUCUAUAUUUUCUCAAACAGUAGCUUAUGAACAGUGAUUCAGUGUGUUUUUUAUUUUAGUUGCACUCAGGCAAGGCAGAAAGUGGUAUAUAUAUUAUGGAUUUGAGGUUAAGUUUCAAGGAACUUUCUCAUGUGAUGUGACUAAUUACGCGCUAUAUAAGGGGAGGUGGAUUGUCUGCCCUCCCAUUUCCAUACUCUUCCCAUCCCCUCCUAUUUGUGUGGUCACAGUUAAGCCACGUCAACAUUUUAUAUUGAUUUUUUUAUAAAAAUAAUAAAACAAAACGUAAUAUGAAUAUAAAAUGUUGACAUGGCUUAAUCAUGACCACACAAAACAGGAGGGGAUGAGAAGAGUAUGGAAAUGGGAGGGCAGACAAUCCGCCUCCUAUAUAAGGUCGGUAGCAUUAGUCAUCAGUGGUGGGGUUUCGUGGAAAAGGAUCCGGUGAGGUUUCGUGGAAAAGGAUCCGGCGAGGUUUCAUGGAAAAUGAUCCUUACCGGAUCUUUUUCCUGGGGAUCCUAGAGAUUCCGUAAUCGUGAUCGUUUAUCAUACAUAUACGAUCAGAAAUCAUUUCAAAAUUUAAAAUUUAAAAUUAAAUAUAAAUAGUACCCAGCGAAAACUGACCGCACGAUGUACGAUGAACAAUCACAAUCACGGGAUUCCUAAAAAAAGAUCCUUAUUCGGGUUUCGUCUUCAAACUUGAAGCUUCCAAACAAUAAGGAGCUUAAUUACGUGCUACUUUCAUUGAAAACAAAGAAAAAACGUGUUACUUUUAGGUUUAGGCUAAUUGUUUAUACGAUGAGUUUUGAUUUUGAUGUAAUUUUUCGCUUGAAUUUGUAACUGUGUGAUUUUUCUUUUUCUUUUUAUUUGGUGUCACAUGUUAUUCAAUUCCAAAAUUAUUGAUUUGAUUGGUGUAAUGUUUCUUCAAAAUUCGAAGUUUUCUUUAUUUUGACUUUAGUUUCACAAUAGUCAAAUUAACGAUUUUCUUGAUUAACUAAUUAAGUUGGGGCACCAAAUCAACCUAUAGGAACAAAAGUUACACAAUUUGCAAGUUGAGAAAGAAAAAUAAAAUAUCAAUGAGACAUAUAAACAAAAAAACCUUUCAAGUAAUACGUAAUCUAGUACUGGUUUGGUACUGAGAUGCUUUUAUAAAAAGUGGGUAUAAAAAAAAACUAAGCUCAAAAAUGUGUUUCGUAAACACUUAAAAACAACUUAUUUUCACAGUUUUUGGUGAAAAAGCUAAAAACGUGAAGCAACAAAAAGAGCUUAUUCUCACCGCACAACAGAAGCAGUUUUUUUUUUCAAAGUACAGCAAUACCAAACCAACCCAAAUCUAAUGUACAUAUAUUACUGCAACCGCCAUUGUACAAGUUAAGGGACAAUACUAAUCUGGGUUGGCCUGCCAAAUUGUCAACUAAACUCAAUAUCGAUGAUUAAACCAAUUUUAAAACAUGGUGAAAACAUAAAACUUAAAAGCCACACCUUAAAAUUACUUAGAUCCUUUAUAUCAUAGAAAUACUUGAUGUUUUGCUCCGUGCACAAAUCCCUCAAGAUAUCCACAUUACGGUUCGCACGUUCAUCAGUUGUAAAUAUAUAAUGGUCAGGUAUGAUUACAACCUUUUCACGGUUCCAAACCUGCAAUUUCAAAAUAAUGAAGCACUGUUUAUACCCCAUGACAACAAAAACGUUGACUAUCAGAGUGCGCAAUGAACGAGACUAAUAAAAUAGAAAGAAUAUUAUUAAACAAAUGAGAAUGCCGAAACGGCUACAAAACCCUAAGAGGCUACAUUGUGACUGACUUAAUUCUCAAACUAAAUUACAAGCUUUAUUUAUAGAGAAUUAAACCUAAGGAAUCCUAACUCAUAUGGGUUAGUCUCAAAUCCUAAACUAACAAGGAAAACCCAAAUACUAAAAUAAACCUAAAUACUAAUAUUUUUCAACACCCCCUGUCAACUCAUGGCGGAACACAGACAUGAGUUUGCCAAAGUAGAUGUGGAUGCAAAGCUCCAAAUUCUAAUGUCGAUGCCGAUGCCAAUGCCGAUGUUGAUACCGAUGCUAAUGCCAAUGCCAAUGUCAAUGCCAAUGCCGAUGCCGAUGCCGAUGUCAAUACGAAUAUCAAUGCCAAUACCAAUACCAACUUCCAAACAAACAAUAAAAAAAUCCAACCAAAUAAACCAUAUAUUUCUUUCUGCCUGUGUGGGCCUUCAAACAAAAAACCAACAUUUUUUGUCUUUAUUCUUUUCUACCUUUUUUUUCCCCUUUUUUUCCCUAUUCUUUUUUUUCCUUCAAACAACACGUCUUCUUUCUUUUUUUCUUUUUUUCUCUAUCCUUCUUCCUGUAUUCUUCUUCCAACCUCUUUUGUACAAACAAACAGCAACUUUCAAGGGUGCAGCAACUGGUUCGUGCAGAUGGUGGUGGUGAGUUGAACUGAUGCAAAUACAACGGAUCUUGUACUGGUGCAAGAGUGGUCUAGGCAGGCCUGGAUGCAGUGAUGCAACGGUGGGGCUGGAGGGAUUCGAAUAUGCAGGGAAGCAGCGGAUUCAACGGGUGAUGGAAUGGACAAAUAAAUUGUAGUAGCAGGUGCAUGCAGAUGCGGAUGGUGGUUCAACGGUCCAUAUGCAGAAAUGUUGUGGGAUGCGAGUCAGGUGCAGGUCAUAAGCCGGAGUACAAGACAAGAAUGAACGACGACAAAGGCAAACAAUUGAUACCAAUGAGAAAGGAUUGAACCCUAAGGAUCGAACCCACCCUGAUACCAAGUUGAAUAUCAAAGUGCGCAAUGAACAAGACUAACAAAAUAAAAGAAUAUUAUUAAACAAAUGAGAAUGCCGAAACGGCUACAAAACCCUAAGAGGCUACAUUGUGACUAACUUAAUUCUCAAACUAAAUUACAAGCUCUAUUUAUAGAGAAUUAAACCUAAAAAACCCUAACUCAAAUGGGUUAGGCCCAAAUCCUAAACUAACAAGGAAAACCUAAAUACUAAAAUAAACCUAAAUACUAAUAUUUUCCAACACUGCAGUGAUUACAAAAUCUCAGAUAUGAAAGAUAGACCUUUUCAAUAAUAGUAAUCAACACACCUUCAGAGAUGAUGAAUAGUGAUCUAAACAAAGAAAAUAUGCCAUCAAGCAAUGAGUUAAAUGCAAAUGAAUUCCUUCUUUCUUUUAUUUCUGUGAUUGGUUAUGGUUAUCAACAAACAAAGCAGUAAGAGAGGACUUGUAAGUUGAUAUGUUGUAUUGGCCUCGCAUACAUACAAGAGGUUUACCAGCAGAAACGGGCAUGUGGACUAUGACAACAAAAAAACAAAGACAACCUUCUCAUUGCUGCCGUCCACAGUUGGGUUGGGUCAAGCUACGAUGUGAUGCUAAUGUUCCUUGACUCUUGCAGUGAUGCGCAGAAACCAUUUGGGACAUAUUCAUGCAGAAUGUUUUUUCGCGAAGCUGGCCUAACCCGACACAUAGAAGUAGAUUCUCUAAUGUGAUCAUUACCAUUGCCAGAUGAGUCAACGACAACACGACUCGAUCAAUGAACGUAUUACUUCUAACUAAAUAUUUAUGCCAACCCCUUUUCCUUGUUGGUUUGUACAGCAUGUCUAGAUCAGCAAACUAAGCUAUUCAAAACCGACAAAUAUGGCUUCCGAUUUUACUGCUAGUCUCUUGGAUUUUCUCAUGCAUUUCUGACUGGAAAUCGGCGCUGAAGAGGAGAAAGCAGAGAUAUUCAGAUCCUUCUGAUGUUCAAAUCAAAUUCAGCAAUGGUUUAGUGAAAACCAAAAAAAAAAAAAAAAUGGAAGAAAAAAAAGUUGGAGCCAAAAAAGCAAAAGGGACCUUGUUACUGAUGAAGGAGGUGGACGGCAGAGAAGCGGUAGAGCAGGCCAUGGGUAUUGCGGCGAAGCAGAAGAAGAACAAAGUGAAGAAAAAGUGGAAGAGUUGUGUUCCGGUCACAAUGAAAAUUUUUUCUGGCAACUGAGAACCUUGUGUUUUGGAGUGGAUAUGUCACCGGUACACGAGAUAAUAUACGACGUGUUACUAUACAAAUACUGGAAUAUGUUUGUUAAAAAGUAAAUAACUUAAAAAGUAAAACUUUCUACCACUUUUAUUAAAAUAUGUAGUGUACUACUCCUAUUCCGGUCACAAUGAAAAAUUUCUCAUUUGCUGAGGGGCGUGUGUUUUGGAGUGGAAGUGACUGUAAAGCAGAAAUGACAUGUGGAGGUGUGCAAUGUUGCGAGUUAUAUAUUAGUUAAAGUGUAAAUAGUAGUAUGUUGUCCCACAUUGACGAAAUGCAUAUGUAAUACCAAUUGUAACUCCUAUAUAUACUCCACUUUGAAGAUUAAUGAAUAUACAAGAAAUUUCCAAAUAUUGUCAUAUAUAUUUUUGGUAUUUACCAUGUUAGUUUAACUUGAUAUCAAAGCAAUUCGCUCUUUGAGACUUGUGUGCUUUAAUUUUAUACCCAUUAAAAAAAAGUGAAUAGUGCCACAAAUAAUGCAUCGCUGUAGUGCAGUGAACAAUGCCUUGCUACAGCAGUGAACAAUACAUUGCUACAAUAUAGUGAACAGUGCCUUGCUACAAUAUCAUGAACAGUCUCUGCUACAGUGUGUGAAUAGUGUUAUGGUAAAUUGUUUUCAUUUCGUUACAUAUCUUUUGUGCCUUUAUUGUUCGUGGUUUAGUUAAAUGGCUCAAUAUAAUCAUAGUGUUGUUAUGCAUCUUGGUGGAACAAAUAUAUGGAUAAUUGAUACUGCGGCCACUGAUCAUGUGACUGGUGACCCUAGAGUGUUUGAUAAGUUAUGUGACUAUGUUCGUGAUCCAUUUAUUAAUAGUGCAAAUGGAGCACAUUCCUCUGUGAAGGGUGAAGGCACUAUCUCUCUUACUCUGACCUUAUCACUUAUUCCUGAUGUUAAGUGCAAUCUUUUGUCAGUAGGAAAACUACUGGAUACCUUAUAUUGUUAAGCUCACUUCUACCCUACAUAAGAUAAUUGGUCGUGGUAAAAGAAUUGGGGGUUUGUACAUCUUGACUAUAGAGGAUACUGUUGUUUCCGGUUCAAAUAAUUAUCAAGUUUUAAGUGCUAAAGUGGAUGAUAGACAUCAAAUUUGGUUGUGGCAUGGAUGAUUUGGGACAUCCAUCAUUCGGUUAUAUGAAGCAUCUAUUUCCUUCUUUGUUUCACACUUAUAGUGAUUCAGAGUUCAAGUGUGAAACAUGUGUCAUGGCUAAUAGUCAUCGUGCUUCCUUUCCCAUAAGUGAUUCUAAAGCUACUUUGUCAUUUGAUUUAAUAUAUUCUGAUGUGUGGGGUCCGGCGAAGGUUACUUCUAAUGGAUUCCGUUGGUUUGUUACUUUUAUUAAUGAUUGUACUCGAUUAUCUUGGGUGUUUUUAAUGAAGAUUAAGAGUGAUGUUCCUUUGCUUCUUCAAGAAUUUUGUGCAAUGAUGUCUACUCAGUUUCAGACCAAAGUUAAGGUCUUUAGGUCUGAUAACGGAAGAGAAUAUGUGAAUCACACUUUGGCGUGCUUUUUUCGUGAUUAGGGUAUUAUUCACCAAACGACUAUUCCGUUUACACCCCAACAAAAUGGUGUGUUCGAACGGAAGAAUCAUCAAAUAAUGGAGGUUGCUCGCUCCUUGAUGUUGGAUACAUGUGUUCCUAAUCAUUUGUGGGGUCAUACUGUUUCGGCUGCUGUGUAUUUGAUAAAUCGUGUUCCAAGUAGGGUUCUUGAUUUUCAAACACCGCUUGAUGUGCUACAAAAGCAUGUUUCUCUUGUUUCUAUGUCCAAACUUCCUCUGAAGGUGUUUGGGUGUAUUGCAUAUGUGCAUGCCUACUCUUAUCAGCGAAGUAAACUUGAUGCAUGUGCUCUCCGAUGUGUAUUUAUUGGGUAUGCUAACAAUCAGAAAGGCUAUAAGUGUUAUCAUCCUCCGAAUCAGAAAUAUUACCAUGGAUGACACCUUGCACAAAGAAGUUUCGUAUUUUGUGAAGCCCUCCGACUCUCCACUUCAGGGGAGGAAUGUGAGUGAAGUGCAUAUUCGAAGAGAUGGUAUAGAUGAUGUGUUACAGGCAGAGUUGGGGACAUAAUCUAUUAUGUUGCGUGAUACUGAUCAGUCGGCUAUAGAUAAUGAUUGGUCAACUAUUAUUCACGAGACUGUUUCUACUGACGACCGAUCAGAUGUGCACAACGAGUUGCUUGUUGGUAUGUCUAAUGAAUUACCUUCUCAUGACUCAUUGCCUACUGCUGGUAUGUCUAACGAGUUGCCUGAUGAUGGUUCAUCUAGUGAUGAUUCUUCUAAUAGUUUGGUACAAGAUUGUGACAUACAUGAGGUAAAUUCUUAUGAUUCUUCUACUUAUCAGUUGCCUCUACGAGCUAAUCGUGGAAAACCUAAAGUACAAUAUGAGUCUGAUAUGCAUGCCAAAGCCAAGUAUCCUAUCAACAAUUACGUGUCUACUCAUCGUUUGUCCAAACCAUAUGCAUCUUACAUAUGUCAGCUAUCUAAUGUAUCAAUUCCAACAAAAUUGCACGAUGCUUUGUCUGAUCCUAAGUGCGUUAAUGCCAUGAAAGUAGAGAUGGAAGCUUUGCAAAAGAAUUCCACUUGGGAUUUGGUUCCUUUGCCAAAUGGGUUGUUGGUUGUAGAUGGAUGUUCAAUAUUAAACACAAAGCAGAUGGUUCUAUUAAUAGGUAUAAAGCCAGAUUAGUUGCUAAGGGUUAUACUCAAACCUAUGGGGUGGACUAUCAGGAGAUUUUUACUCCUGUUGCCAAACUUAAUAUUGUACGUGUUCUUCUAUCCUUAGCCGCAAACCAGGAUUAGCCUCUAUUGCAGUUUGAUGUUAAGAAUGUUUUCCUUCAUGGUGAUCUCAAGGAAAAAGUUUAUAUGGAUCUCCCACCUGGUAUCGGAAUAUCUCCUGGAAAAGGUAUUGUGUGCAGAUUGCGAAAGGCUUUGUAUGGUUUGAAACAAUCACCUAGAGCAUGGUUUGAGAGGUUUAGAAGUUCAAUGAAGAAGUUUGGGUAUGUCCAGAGUCAUUCAGAUCAUACUUUGUUUCUAAAGCGACAAAAUGGUAAGCUAACUGCAUUGAUUAUUUAUGUUGAUGACAUGAUAAUGACUGGUGAUGAUCAGAAGAAGAUACAACGCCUUCAAAAGUACCUAGCUAUUGAAUUUGAGAUGAAAGAAUUGGGUGAAUUAAAGUAUUUUUUUUUGGAAUUGAGGUUGCAUGAUCCAAGCAUGGUAUUUUGCUAUCUCAAUGGAAGUAUGUUCUUGAUUUGUUAGCUAAAACAGGUAUGUUAGAUUGCAUACCUGUUGAUACUCUAAGUGAGCAAAAUCAUCAUCUUGGUUUAUUUCUGGAUCAAGUUCCUACUCAUAAGGAAUGGUAUCGGAAACUUGUGGGGAGAUUAAUUUAUUUGUCUCACACUCGCCCCGAUAUUGCUUAUGCAGUUAGUGUGGUAAGUCAUUUUAUGCACUCACCUAGUGAAGCUCAUAUGGAUGCAGUAAAACGUAUUUUGAGGUACUUGAAGGUGGCUCCUGGCAGAGGCUUGGUUUUCUCCAAGAAUGGUCAUUUAAAUGUCGAAGGGCAUACAGAUGCAGAUUGGGCAGGUUCUAUCAUUGAUCGGCAAUCUACAUUUGGAUACUUUACGUUUGUGGGUGGUAAUCUAGUUACUUAGAGAAGCAAGAAAUAAAAAGUGGUGGCUAGGUCAAGUGCUAAAGCUGAGUUUCGUGGUAUGUCUCAUGGUGUAUGUAAGUUGUUGUGGUUGAAAAAAUUGUUGAGAGAUCUUGGAUUUAAACCCAAGGGUACAAGGCUGCUAUUGAGAUGUUCAUAAUCCAGUGCAACAUGAUCGAACAAAACAUGCGGAGAUUGAUCGACAUUUCAUCAAGGAAAAAUUAGAUGCUGGAAUUAUUAUGUUUCCGUUUAUGGGAUCUGAAGAUCAACUCGCUGAUGUGCUUACUAAGGCUGUGUCUAAUAGUGUGUUUUCAACUCGCUUGACAAGUUGGGCAUGCGUGACAUCUUUGCUCCAACUUGAGGGGGAGUGUUGCGAGUUAUAUAUUAGUUAAAGUGUAAAUAAUAGUCUAUUAUCCCACAUUGACAAAGUGCAUAUGUAAUAUCAAUUGUAACUCCUAUAUAUACUCCACUUUGGAGAUUAAUGAAUAUACAAGAAAUUCCCAGAUAUUGUCAUAUAUAUUUUUGGUAUUUACCAUAUUUAGCUUAACUGUUGGUGUUGCUCCGUUUAGGAUGAACUAAUUUAGUUAUUUUAUGUUGUCCAAAAAGGGAGAUGCGAUCAUCUAAGACAAUGUAGUAGUCGACCAAAUUUACAUAGCGGCAGCAUACCACACGUUUCCCAGAACUUAUUUAGUUUUGUUUGUUUGUUACCCACACUCGUAAUAGGUGGGGCGUUUUUAGGGAUGGCAUUUCUAGCCGUUAAACCAGAUAAUCGUGGAUAAUUGUCCAAAUGGAAUGGAUUUGAGUAUGGAAGUUUGGGUAUAUUUUGGAUAUGGGGAAAAACCGUUUAUAUUAUUCGGUUAUAGUUUUGGAUAUGGUUAUAGACGUCCCAAGCCGUAUCCAUAACCGAAUCCGACCCGAUUAGUAAAUAAUAUAAUUUAUAUUUAAUAUAAUAGUAUAAUAUAUAUAUAUAUAUGUAUGUAUUUGUAUAUCCAUUAUUCACCAAACCAUUACCUUGAGAAUACAAAAGUUGCAUUUUGUAGGAAAGUAAAGUUUUGAAUCAAAAUCAAUGUGAACUCAAUGGUGCUUACGUGACAAGCCAACAUCAUUAGUGUUUUAAUUUUGGGUAAAUUACACAAAACUACCUUAACUAUUGGUCUCACGACACUUUCAUACCUAAUCUUUUUAAAAUGACAAUGUCAUACCACAUUUUACGAAUUUGUGCCAAUGUCAUACCUCUCGUUAGUUUGGCCGUUAAUUUGUCAGUUAAGUGCUGAAGUGGCUUGAUCCAGAGCCCACUUUCUAUUAAAAAAUUAAUAAAAUAUUAAAAAACUAAAAAAAAUCAUUUAAUAUUUUUUAAAUAUUAAAAUAAUAAAGAAAAGUAAAAAAAAAACAAAAAACAAAAUAAAACAAAACCUUUCGUCCCUCCCCCCCCCCGGUCCCCUCUUUUUAAAUAUUAAAAUAAUAAAGAAAAGUAAAAAAAAAAACAAAAAACAAAAUAAAACAAAACCUUUCGUCCCUCCCCCCCCCCCCCCCCGCCCCCGGUCCCCUCUGUCUCUCUCCCCUCCCCCAUCUUCAUUUUCUACCCUGCAACCCAGAAAAAAAAAAAAAAAAAAAAACCAAUUUGUCUUCCCUCUUCCCCACCCCACCCCACCCCCUUUCUCCCCCACCUGAGCCCAACCUGAAACCCACCCCUUUCUUCCCCCUCCCAUCUUCCCUAAACCCUCCGCACCCACUUCCUGCAACCCAGAAAAAAAAAAAAAAAAAAAAAAAAAAAAAAAAAACCCAGAUCCCAUGUGGGUGCGAGGUUGGGUGCGUAGGGUGGGUGUGAGGGUGGGUGCUGGGAGAAGACGAACUGGGAAGAAGAUAAAGAUGGGGGAGAAAAGGGGAGAGGAUGAGGGGAAGGGGAAGGGGUCGGGGUCAAGGAAGUUUGGGCUUUUUUUUUUCUUUUUUUUUUCUGGGUUGCAGGUAGGGGGAAGUCGGGUGGGAAAGGGGGAUGCAGAGAAGAGAGAGAGGCGAGAGAGAGGGGGGAAAGAAAGGAGAGAGAGAGAGAGAGAUUUAAUAAAAAAAAAAUAUUUUUUUAUUUUUAAUUAUUAAAAAUAUAUUUAAUAAUUUUUUAAUCUAGUUGGAUUAGUGAGUGGAUCCUGCAUGUAGCCACAUCAGCACUUAAUAGAAAAAUUAACAGAAAAACUGACGGAGGUAUGACAUUGGCACAAAUUUGUAAAAUGUGGUAGGACAUUGUCAUUUUAAAAAGAUUAGGUAUGAAAGUAUCGUGACACCAAUAGUAGAGGUAGUUUUGUGUAAUUUACCCUUUCAUUUUUAUACUCAACAAGAUGCAUUCAUUGGAUCAUUUUAUACUCAACAAGAUGCAUUCAUCGGAUCAUUUUAUACACCAAUAUUUUUCGUAUUGACAAAGAUGGAUAUACUCGUUAACCGAUGUGGAAUCCGUUACCCUGUGGGUAUGGUUAUGGAUAAUACCCAAUGGUUAAUUUGCAGUUAUGGAUAUGGUUAAUUUUUGUGGUUAUGGGGAUGGAUAUAACAUUUCCGUCCCCAAACCGAACCGUUGUCAUCCCUAGACGUCUUUUCUAACCCGAGUGGGUUAAAAGCAUAUUUAAAAUGAUGUUACAAGAGUAGUGAACAAAUUACAAACACCAUACUUCACUUAACCAACCUCGAACACCCAUCAAUCAUUUUAUAAUAUAUUAGUGUAAAAUAUUACUUAUAAAAGGGAAUAAAAUGAAAAGUAUAAUUUGUACUUUAGAUUAAACAUUGUAGUUUCUAUUGAAAUUUUAACCAAAUUUAGUAGUGUGAUUGUCAUGUGGAAGGGGUAAAAGGUGAAAGGUCUAGCGUAUUAUUCACAAUUUUAAUUUUUUAUAUAAUGAUAUAUUUACACUAAUAGGCAGUAAUAAAUUAGUUUUAAAUUUGUUCAUGAGAUUUGAAUUUAAAUAUCUCACUUACAAGUGAAACAAAAUAUCAUUAGACUGUAAUAUUACAUGGCAAAUAUAGUUUCACACCUUAAAAACCAUUUUCAUGAUAUUUUUUAUCAGACACACGAAUAUUGAGCAAAUUAUAUGAGAAAUUCGAUAAUGAUAACAAGUUUUUUUUUUUUUUUGUUGGAUGUUGAUAACAAGUUUAAUUACUCAACAAAUUUAUUGUGAAGCGUUUUCUUUAACCGCAUAGCUGACAUUACCAUAUGAUUCUCGUUGCGUGAAUUCCUGAAAGAGAGUGAAGUAUAAUUGAAGAUUAGUAGUGCUAUUUGAAGAGAAAUUUUCAAUGUAUUGUGAAAAUGGUUCGGUGCACAUUGGCGGCACGAUUUGGUACCUCAAAUUUCAAAAGAAAUGGUUGGAAGUUUUUUUUUCAAGUAUCCAACUACUUGUACUAUGACACCUAGUAUACCGAGUCAUGUUCUCGGUAAAAAAAAUCUCUUCUUACAUUUACUUUCACAAUAAUGGCAUAUUCAAAUUGUUGUUGAGGACUGAUAUACAUUUUAAUUCCACAAUAAGGGCGUAUUUAGUUAUUUGAAAUAUGAGAGACUAUGAAUUAGAUGAUAUAAGAAUGUUACCUACUUGUUUACUUAUGCCAUAAACGACUUCCUUUUGGUCUCAUACUUUUGUUCAGGUACAAGUGUAACUUGCAUAUUUUCAGCAUGCGAACUUUUUUAUUCGUCUAGAAGGGGUUUUUGAACAUUAGUCCUUACAAAAGAUUAAAAUUUUAAAAAAAACCUAGUGCUAGAUUAAAUAUUCAAUUUAAUCCCUUGAAUAGUGCUUUUAUCAAAAUUUACAUUCAAUUUUUGUUAUUUAAUGUGUAUUUUUAUUUAAUCUCUCCAUAUUAAAUUUGAAUUUUAUUAAUAUGCACAUAUUUAGUUUUUUAAUUAUAAAUGAACGUAAAUGAGAAAAUAUUAAAAGACAUUUGUGAUACAAAAAUAUAUAAAUACAUAAGUGUACAGAAAUAACUAUGCCGAAAUAUAUAAAAUUGACUUUUUUUGUACCGAAAUAUUUGUACCUACAUGAUUGUACCGAAAUGUAUUAUUGAAUUAAUGUACCUAAAUGUCAAUACCGAAAUGUAUGUACCAAAAUGUACGUACCGAAAUGUAUGUACCUAAAUGUCAAUACCGAAAUGUAUGUACCUAAAUAUCAAUACCGAAAUGUAUGUACCAAAAUGUACGUACCUAAAUGUAUUUACCGAAAUAUAAUAUAUUGAAUUAAUGUACCUAAAAGUCAAUACUCAAAUAUGUGUACCAAAAUGUAUGUAACGAAAUGCAUUAUAUUGAAUCAAUAUAACUAUAUGUUUGUACCAAUGGAUAUACCGAAAUAUUCAAAUAUAUUAAUGUACCUAAAUGAAUAACAUACAAAAUUGUUAUCGGAAUAUAUAUUAUAAAAGAAUUAGUUACCUAAAUGUAGACAUUAAAAUAUAUUAUGAUGAAUGAAAUAAAAAUUAAAUUUAAAUGUAAUUGAUACAUUAAAAUAAAAAUAAAUAAAUAAAUAAAACAUCAAAAUAUAACUAAUAAAUGAUAUGAUUAAAUGUACUAGGGACUAAAAUUGGAUUUUAAUCUUACACAAGGUUAAAAUCUAAAACUCAUAUUUUUUAAGGAUUAAAAUGAAGUUUUCUAUAUUCUAAAACCCAAGCUUAUAGCGAGCCACCUGGAUUGCUCCUAAUCUAGUAAUGUAAGGUUUGUCGCGUUUGUCAUUUUUGUGGCAAACCUACAUCAGUGGUGGCUUUUGUGUAUGUGGUGUGUGAAGUCUAAACUUAGUUGUUUUUGGCUUUAAGUCAUAUUCUAAAACCCAAGCGUAUAGCGAGCCAUUUGGAUUGCUCCUAAUCUAGUAAUGUGAGGUUUGUCGCAUCUGUCAUUUUUGUGGCAAACCUACAUCAGUGGUGGCUUUUGUGUAUGUAAUGUGUGAAGUCUAAGCUUAGUUGUUUUUGGAUUUUCUUGUUAAUCUUGUAAAUAUGUACAACACAUGCUCUUUAGAUCAGUUUUCCUUAGAUGAGACUUUAGGAUACUUGGUUUAUAAAGUUGGGGUUAUGGAAGAUCAAAGUGCAAAUGGUGUUGCUUCAUCACAAGUAGGGUUUGUACAUGCAUAUGCAUUUCACGUUUAAAUUUUUUAUGCAUUCUGACGAGUGAAGUUGACCCAUCAGAAUUGCUCGCUGCUUUUAUGCAAGCUGUGCACACAAUUUAAGACAGCCUGUGUGGGCCGACUGACACCUUUUAUAUGAGGUUGAGUUGUUCAUCAUUGAUCUGCUCAAAUUGCUUUUACAUUUGACAAGUGUCUUUUUUGUACUUUAUUUACAGCAAUCAAAUUUUUUGUUUAAUAGGGUUAGAGGAUUUCGUUUUCUCCUUAGUUGAGAUAGAUUAUAUUUUAAAGGAGUAUCUUUGCUUUUCAUUUUCCAACUCAGAUCCCUUACGAGCAUCAAACAUUUUUUUGGAUAAAGUUCUUCAUUGAAUAAUCACCAAAAUAUACAUGAAAAUGUUUGCUUAAAUCUUCUUAGACCCUCCUUUGUUUUGGGUUAGAUAAAUUGCAUUUUCAAGAGAGCGCCAUAAGAUCUUUGAGCUUCUGCUUCUUGUUUCUGUGAAACCCUAGCAACAUACACCUUUUUCAUGAGUUAAACUUGUGCUAGCUCACCCACAUCAUAUUUGAAAAAGGUUUUCAUUGGACGUGUUGCUCCCGUUGCCACAAGGAAAAGAGUUCAAGGUUGGAGUUGCUUCCUCGUGAAGACCGAUGAUGGCUCCAUCUCGUUCAAAGUAAGGUUACACAAAGGUAAAGCUGCUUCAUAGAUUAGAUCUUGGAAAUGAACUUGAUGUGGUACUUUGUAUGAACCUUAUUUGCACUAGUGGAUUGGACUUAGUGGGGUCCCCAGUUUUUUAAUCGAGAGGUGGAUUUUUCCGAUAAAAACUUCUUGUGUUCUCUAUUACUAACACUUGUCCACGUAUCUUAUUUAUUAGCAUAUGUUACAUGCAUCCUAUGGGUCGUUAUAUGAUAUGUGUUUGGGACUAACUUUACACUGCAUAUUAUGAGUAAUGAACUAUAUUGUUGUUGACUAGAAUAACUCGUAGGAAACUAAGUAUGUGUGAUAGAUUUGUGCUUGGUUAACUAAGGAAUCUGGACUUAGUUGACUAGUGAAUUUGACUAGCCAAUCCAGCCUACUUUAAUUCAUAAUUACUUUGUCAUCGUUGUUUGCAUAAUGGACAGAUGUGUGAAUGCGUUCCAUUUUGUGAUUUUUUGUUGUUAGACAGAUCUAGGUAGACUUUGACUAGUUAGACGUACUAGUCAAUUAAGUUUAGUUCUUGCAACUGUACUUUCUGUCACUGAAAAACUUGUAACUAGUUUACUGUGCAAAGUUUAAAUUUUUAUUAGCAGGAUAUUCUGCCUAGUACCAAUUCGAAUUGGUAUAAGAGCUUUGCUCUAGUUAUACGUAGAGUAAUCUUUGAGAGUUACUGGUAUUGAGCAGCAUCUCACCAUUGAUUGUGAUCGUGUUAUCGGCUCUUAUAACUCACCUCUGUUCUUUGUUGGAACGGACCAUGCCGCAUGGAGUGAGAAGUUCACCGACACGCCCUCUUUAUUCCAUCGUUUCAUAAAUACAUUCUAACAUGCUCUAACGAUUACACAUACAAUAUGGCAGCUACCCGACAAUCACAAGACAUAAAACCUUGUAGGAUGGAUGUUAUACCCAUUAUUCCGUAAUCUCUGCUAUAGCAUUUAGUUGCAGAAUAUAAAGAUGACAGACACUGGUCAGAUUGUAAUGAUAAAACUGCCUACUGCAAAAACUCUCUCGGGUCGGUGACGUAACCAGUCAAAGCUGACGCAGCAGCCGUAUAGGGGGAAGCGAGAUAUAUCUGGCCUUCCUUGUGACCCAUUCGGCCUGGGAAGUUCCUGUUUGUUGUCGAGACGCAUACCUGCAAAGACAAGAUGGUUAGUAAUCUACCAGUAUUUAAUUUCAAUACAAUUGAAACUAAAACCAAGAUGUUCUCCUUGCAACAAGGUUAUCUGCAAAUUGGGUUAUGAACCCCCAAAGGCAGGGAAGUCAGUCCCAAUUCUAUCGAAGACGACAUAGUGAAAUGCAACAAUGCGUGACGUCCAGCUGCCCCAAGACAGGAGAGCACAUUAGAUCCUUAUGAAUGUUGCAGAAAGGAUGCACUCGCC
rnacentral:lncRNA from 1 species